rnacentral:lncRNA from 1 species
UUUUUUUUUUUUUUUUGGUGAAAAGAAAGUAGACUACUAGACCUGAUGGUCCUGAUUUGUAGUCUCAGCAUGAUGAUCAGCAUCCAUGUUGGUCAAUUCCACCUGGCUGAGCCCAAUUUCUUGCUUCUUUUCCUCACUUUCUCGUCCUGAUUUUUCACUGCUUUCACUGCUACAGGAGCUAUUACUAGUAGUACCAAAAGAUGAUGCUCUACUAGACAUUGGUGUAGCCAACCAAGUAGGCUUCUCUUGGCCAGGCAUGAUCACAAGAAACUUCUCUUCAAAAACUCGUACACCUGGUUUUUUCAAAUCACCAUCGGAACCAUCUUCAUUGGACUCACCAGCCUCAAGGUCUCUUUCAUUGUUUGCACCGCCUUCGAGAUAUCCCGAGAGUCUCCAGUAUGAGCAAGCCAGAAUUAAAAGAGCAAAAGCUAUGAGUCCCAACAUGGCUGCUAGUCCUCCAAAGAGGUAUGGCACCGGCGAGUGCCAUGGUGACCGCGUCGCCGGGGUCGAUGCCACUGAUGGGCUUUGUGCAAUUGUCAUUGUUUUCUCAGCUGAAGUAUGAAUUCUGAAAUUUACAUUCAUUUUUCAAGAAUUAAAAAAAAUGUGUUUUUUAUGGUAUAUUUUGUCACUAAAGAUGAAGGGGAAGCCUAGAAAUUGGUGGUGGUGAUAGGAGGAGGAGGUGAAAAGGGUGAACUGAGGAGGCAAAUGUGGAUGGAGGUGGUGAUUUAUAGGGGAGAAGAGGAGGUAGUUUUGGGUAUUGGGGUAAGUGACUUGAUAGAGUAAGAGAGAGAUGGAGUGCGAAGCAGAGGUGGGAGUUUUGUAAUUUUGGUGAACUAUGUCGUCAUCUGCAUGAGAAAUGGGGUCUACAAUGUUUAUGCUUUUUUGCAUCUAAACAAUGUAGAGUGGGAUUGGAAUGCCCUUGAAAGCAAAAAGGUGUAACUGGUUUUGGUGAUGAUAUCAUGAAAAGAAUCACAUCAAAUUGUGGGUCGGGUGCAAAUAUGCGAAUUUAAUCGAGUUUGAUUUGAUGUUGUUAGCGUUUUUGUAAGGGGGAAUCGAAUAUUAAUGUAGUUUGGCAUGUGUAGAAUCCAAUGACUUUUUUUUUUUUCUUGUAUUUCUGAAAAUUAAAGGUGUUUCACAACCAAAAGGGAAUUAGCCUGGAUUAAUAAACGUGGAUACGAUUAUGAUUCUCAUGUUGCCAGUGGGGUUUAUCUAGACUGGUUAUUUGUGGGAAUUAACAGUGCUUAGUAUUCAUCAUCAGUAACUAAGAUAAAUUUGUUAAUGGUUUCAUUUCUAAUUUUUGAUGCAUGAAACUCAGAACAUUGAAAUAAUUUCGAUCAUCAUACGCACAAUACACCAAUACCUUUUUGGAAUAUAAAAUAUAUGAGAUGUUUACAGAAAAGAUGUGGCAUCAGAAAUCCUCCCACUGUAACAAAAAUUGUGGAGGUUUCUGUUCUAAUAUGAUGAGAUCAGAGAUCAGUCAGUACUAAAUUCUAAGAAGUUUCUGUUGCUCAAUCAAUUGCUUUGCGGUGUUAUAAAGAGAUAAGGCAAGAAAUGUGGAUGAUUAGAUUCUGUCACAAGCAAAUGUUUCCCUAUUGAGCUUACAGCUUCUACCACUGUUGAAGACUUCUUCCAUCUCUUCUUUAUUAAGGAGGCAUAUUCUAUUGGCUUUCAAGUUUCAUCGCAGUUAGACAAUUUGGCAGUAAGUUUAUUCCUACAUGAAACUACUCCAAUAGCUGCACGCAUCUUCCUUUCUAAGAUGCUUUAAUUGCUGUAAAGAACAACUCAGGAUAAUCAAAAGCUGGAGGAGCCAAAAGGGGGCCAGCAGCUGCACAUUUCGUUUCUCAAUUAGUAUGAUUCAUAUCCUUACAUAGGAACUUAGCUAACCUCCUAUAUAUAUAUACAAGGGUUCCAUAAGGGAGGCAUCCAUAGAAGGCAUAGAAGCCAACCUUACAAGAAAUGAAUAAUCUUCGAGCGAGCAAUGUACGCAAAUUGCAUAAACGUUCGGUAUAUCACCUCAACAAUUUUUACCUAAAUGAGACGGUUUCCAUAGAAUUUUGGCUACCUAAUAGGAUUGGUACAUUUUUUUGUACAAAAUCUUGAUCCCUAAAAUAGAUAUGAUUUGAUUCAAUUUUGUUUUCUUACACAUCAACCCCAUGUGGAGGGAGUGUACCAUUAUUAUAAUUAUUACGAAAACUAUUUUCUUUGCGUGAAAAACUUCUGCUAUUAUACAAUUAUGUUCUUGGAGCUUCUAAGAUUUUGCCCUGAAAGCAACAUAACUCGGUCUGAUUGUAUUCCUAAAUCUUUCUUAUCAUAAUUUUUUGACAGAAGAAACCAAGUGAAUUAGAGCCCCACAAGUCCCACAUCGGCUUGGAGGGUUUGGGGUUAGGAUAUUAGUCUUCUCAGGAACCACGUAAAUUACCGGUUUUUGUGAUUUUCUGUGGAUUAAGGUUAGUAAACUACUGUAAAAGUCUUUAUGCUUUGGUAAAAAAAAAAAAAUUAGAGCCCCACAAGUCCUUGGUACUUCCCGAAAUUGGAUCCAACAUGGCUAGAUCAAUAAUCAUGGAGCAACAACAAAAUGGCCCCAAUUUGACAUCACCCCAUCUCCAAGUGCAUUGAUUCAUUUCAUGUCCUGUUGUUCUCAACUCUCGUGUCUCAGCAUCCUAGUCAUCCACUCACCAUUAAUUAAAUACAACUAAAUUCUUAGUCAUCUGCAUACAGCUUUUGGUUCUGUUCUGUAUAUAUAGCCCCUCAACAAACAUCCCGCAGAUGUAAAAAGGCCAAUUUUCUUCUGAUGAAAUUUUCAUCUGCAAAUUGUAAAGCCUGGAACGGUUUCCAAAGGCCAUUCGACGGUUACCUGUCACAAAGGAGAGCUUAAUAAUCGGAGAUUGUGGCGGGAUGGGUGAGGGCUAAGAAGCUUUUAUGGCGGGCCGUUUUGCUUCACGACAUAACGCAUGUAACACCGUCUGUAAAGACAUCAAGCGGUUACCAAGAUUUGAUGUCAUCUUGCUAUUUUCUAGUAGUAUUUUUUUCGCAACUCUCCAUCACGCUGUUUUGCAUGGCUGCUUAGGCUCUGCAAAUUUUUGUCCUGAUUCCCUUGUUGCAUUUCCGAUAAUUGUAAACUGCUCUCCGUCUUUUUUAUUUUGGACGUACCCAUGCACGGAUUUGAAAGAGGAUCCAGAACAAAUACUGAAAUGAAAAAAAAAAUGAAAUUUUCUGGCUUGAAUUUGUAAUGAUUGAGACCAAUUGGGGCAUAAAAUGGUUCCAGAUUCCAAUUUUCCAUUCACGUCAGGCAUUUUUACCUUAACCAUCAGUUCUUUCAUCUCUGAAAUUGUAUGAAUCAUGCAUGCAGAUGUUAGGAAAGUUAACCAAGUGAUGUCAAAGAAGGCUGCAAUAUACGGCAAUUAUUAAAAUGGAAGUCGUUGUUGUGAUUCUAAAAGUUACAGACCGCUCUCCACUACUUUUUUUUUUUUUUUAAUAUUAUCAUUUUCCUAUCUCCACUGCUGAUUUGUAAAUACUAGUGCAAAUUUUUUUAAAUAAAAAAAAAAUUUUUAAUCGAUGUUACUAACGUUGGAGGGAGUGUUAUAUACAUUAUCUAGCUACAAUAUGAAUCUGAUAUGACUUGAGCCCAUAAUUUUUUUUUCUCUCUCUCUCAAAAACUCUGAUUCCAAUAUGUCUUUUCUAGUUGCGCAUCUAUUUUUAGGUUAUGAAAAAUAACAUGCAUCUCAUUUUUAAUAUUCCCACGUCUAUCCCAUUAUCCCACCUAUAUCCCCCGAGUGAAGAACAGAUACUUAAGGAGUAUCUUCGCAUGAAAGUUACAGGAAAUCUAAUCCAAGGCUCCGAGCUUAUAUUCUAAAACUAAAAGAAGAAACAGAUGAGCCACCUUUCCCACAUUAUAGCAUUUACAAAUGAAAUUUCAUGAUAAAGCUUGAUCACGUAUGAUCAUCUCGAGGUGGUCUGGAUUAUUACACAACUUGAGAGAAUGGAAAAUGGGACCCCUGAAAAACUAUGCGAUUCUUUCAAUGUCCCCUCCACUAUAACCAUUGCAUUUUACUACUACAAAAAUAACAAACAGUAGUACGAAGCAGCCAGCCAGCUUGUGUUGUUUACAAAAUCAACAAAAACCACCCCCUAUCCCUGCGAACAAAUUUGUGAUCAUUUCAACGGUGCGGGCCCUUGAGGUUUGAACUAGUACUCAAAGCAAAUUGACCCCACAUCCAUUUCAGCUCGGGGGAUCCCCACAUCACAUCGUCGAUUCGUCACCCUCCACCAUUUCGCACUUCCACCACCCCUACGUACACGCCAAGGACAAUUGGAUAUUCUUUUGGCUACGAAAGGUUAUCCAAGCCCUGGUUACUUAGUUGGAUUCUUGGAGCUUAAACCUUACUAUUUUCUAUCCAAUUUAUAAUUUCUAUAAGAAUAAAAUAAAAUUCCGAUACCUGUAUCAUAUUAAACCUCAAAUGCAGCAAAUGAAUAAGUUGUUACUUUUUAGCUACCAGAAAUUGGCAUUUUGGAUCACUUGUGAUGUAUACCUCAAACUAUGACUGCAUUUGUUGUUUUUCCAUUAAUUUCUGGCAAAGUGAUUUUCUUAAAAAAUACCACUCAUAAUUUGAAUUCUUCUCAAACAUAACUCCCAUAACUUGAUUUCUCAAGUGUACGUGCGUAAUAACAUUGAACCAAAUCGACUCACAUUCGAUUAAAUCCUUCUCUACUAUCAUCAUAUUCAGGUUCAAAUUUUGUGUCUAACAGUUAGGGAUUGGAAUGGCGCAGGAGAGGUGGGAAGUGUAAAGCAAAUGACAAAGGUACCCUACGAUGCAGCAUAUAUCAAUUUCCUUUGCGUGUACUAAAAUUCAAAUCUGUCCCUUUUUGCAUUAACAUCUCGUACUAUAAGAUUACAUGGUACAAUCAAUUGAAGGAAAAAAUUUUUAGCGACACGUGGAAGCUGUGAGUGUGACUACGCAACACCACAAACCAUAAAAAUAACUUACUCGAAGAAAAAUAAGAAUAUAUUUUUCAUCAGUUCAUACUGAAUCCCACUCACUUGUAUAUUUAAAGCUUUAAACGAAAUUGAAUGAGACUAAUCUCGAGUUAAAUAUAGCCUAGCCUAGGGCUUACUUUUCCUUUUCCCGCCUUAUCGUUUUGUCCUAGUUAAAGCGGCCUAGGCUUGCAAAUUAUUGCUUUGUCCGAGUUAAUACUACGAAUGUGUACCAUGUAAUAAGAAUCCAAGAAUAGUGUGAAAAGAGAGAUAAGACUUUAAUUGUGGAUAAUUACGUAGAUAUUCAAUUUACACCAACUGGAUUUUUUUUCUUCUUUUUGGGAAGCUAUGUAGUACCCACUAAUAAUGAAGUGGGGUACCGCCAAUUGGUUAUUAUUUUGGCUGCUGUCUUUUCUUAAGUAGCUUUUAGUCAGAAUAAUUAAGGCUAAAUAAUAGCAAAUGAAAAGUUUGUUAAAGCUCAAAGUAAAAUAAUAGGAUCGUGAACUUUGUAAUGAAUAAACAAUUCCUGUGCUGAAGAUACUGUGGGCAGAGCACCAAUUGUUUGAGUGACUUUCAGGUGGUAGUGAUUGGAAUGGCUUGUUUCUUGAUCUUUUACAUAUAAUGGCCUGGGCAUAGUGAAGCACCUAGUAUGAGUGUACAAAGGAAAGGAAAAUGUUGGAAUCUACAGAAAAUGCUAAAGAAAGAAAGAAAAAGAGAAGAAGACUGGGAAAGAAUAGUCUGAUCAUCAAAUGCUCCCUACUUUGGUGGAUGUAUUGCUUGUUGCUGCUCAUUAUUGUGUGCAUAUUAAGCCAUAAUUAAUUGAGUCGUCUCUUAUCUCAAUCCUUUCCUUAGUGCUUUAAUAAAGGAUUGAAAAUAAGGUCUAAGUGAAAAGAGCAGGAUACUAUUGAGUAUUGUAGUAUGAGGAAUCCCAUAUUCAACAUUUGUUAGAGGUUGAUCAUUGAAGGAUGUUGCCAAAUAAAGGAUUGAAACAAGAUGUCACUAUCUUACACAUCACAUAAGUACAUUUGAUAGAGCCACUACAAAGCCUAAGGUAAAUUACAUUCAUAUCAACAUAUAAUCAUCUCUUUCUUGAGGUUUUCUGUAAGUAUGAAAUUUUUACUAAUUUAGUUAUAUAUAGAUAGUAGAGUUUACCUUUUCGAAAUCUCAUAGUAACUCACUUAAGCAAUUUCUAUGUGCUGAUGACAACCUCAAAUGGCACUCUAGUCUUUAAUUAAAUAACAGGCGGGUAAGAAACUAAUACGGCAGUAAACAACCAAGAAAAAACAAAAAAAAAAAAAAAAUGAAACAAGAAAAAGAACUAUAUAAUCCAUAUAAUGGUAAAACUGAAGAUAAAAAUUCCCACUAUUGAAAUUUAAAAAAAGGGGAAAAUUGAGGGAAGUUGUUCUAUUUUUACGGUCACUGCACUUUAUCGCAGAUAAAAAUGAAAAAGGGAGAAAAGCUAGUCUACACUAUACAGAGAGGUGGGUGUUUAAGCUAUUUGGGUGUACUUACUGAUGAUGAUAUUGAUUUCUUUUUUUUGUUGGUAAGCGGGAGAUCUUAAAAUCAAGAUUUCUUACUUACAAUUUCUCUUACUUUACCAUGGAACCCAACUCUCUCCCAAUAUUGAUUUCUGUUAUGCAUUAAUUAACAAAAAAAUUAGACGUCCACGCAUGAUCAAUACUAAAUUUGGCACAUAUACUUUCCGCACAGCCUAAUAACUAAUCACUAAAUUGACUCUUUAAAGUAAUUUUUUAAUGGUAAAUUACGGAACUAUUGCCUCUAGUCAAUCUCCAUUAGCAUCGGAAAUGCUUACUCAACCUCCAUUAACAACAGUAACACAACUAGGAAAUUUCAUGCACGCAAGCAUUUUUGAUUGAGCUGUUAAUAAAGUUGGUACUAACUCGUUCACGUUUCAACUUUCGGUUUGGGCCAUUUGGCACUUUGAGAUUUAGAGUCUGGAAAUGACAAAUGAUCGAUCACGCUUUACAGGGAAAUGGGCAGGGACGGUCAGCAGUAUGACCAUCCCUGAACGGUUAAUGGCCACGAUCUGGCCUCAAAAAUUUGUGCGGCUGAGAUUAAGUUGUAACUCGAUUUCCACGCCAUGUAUGGUCCCACAAAAAUUUACUCUAAAGUUACGCGAUGUGCAAUAAAAGUUACACGAUGUACAAAGAAAGUUACGCGCAGUUGAAAAUGGCUGCAACCGUCCGUGCCCUGAGUCCCGCUUUACAGAUAUUGUAGAAUAAUUGAGUUUUUAUUAAAGAUGAAUCUGACCGUUCAAGAUCCGUCUAGUUUUGUGAUUAAUUGAUGUUUAAUUUUGAUAUGACUUGUCUAGGUGUGACGUACGUAGCAGUUACUAGGUUUGUUGGAUGGAUUUGUCAAUUAUCAUUGCUUGACUAGGUAGCCAGAUGCAUGGGUAAUGCAAAAACAAGUUUUUUUUUUUUUUUUCCUUAUCAAAUCGUUCUAUCAAAUGAUUUCCAACUUCUCUACGAGAAAAAGGAAAAGAACCACAAAAAAAGGGGGAUUUACUGACUAAUUAAUACGGCAAUUUCAUAGAUUGAAUCCUAUUUCUAGUAACAAAAGUUUAUGAACUUAGAAAUGGAUUCCUAACUCAUUUAUGAUGUCAAUCUUUCAAUAAACCAAGUCCAUACUCACUCGUUGCUGAGAACGCAUGAUUUCGAGUCAACUGAUUCUCUAACGAGCAUAGAUAAUUAAUUUUGAAAAGACAUGUAAAACAUUUUUCUAUAACUUUCACAGGUAAAAUCCAUUGCGGAAAGACUGCCUAUAAACCAUACAGAUUGCUAUGGCCAUCGCGAAACAGAAGAAAACAUAAAACCAUAACGUGUUGUUUGUCCAGUAAUGGUGACAAACACAGAGCAUUUUUUCUCAAAGACUGAAACCAUUAACAAAUGAACUGGAAGAGUCACGUAUAUAGUACAGUGGCCUUGGGGCCGACGAGGAACAGCAUAUGUCCAAAUUAUCCUUAGCCAAUUUAUGUCUGGCACUUAUGUGAACAGCAUGAUAUAUUCUUGAUGUUGGUCCAAGGCCCCCGCAAAAUUCGUCCCGUGAUCUAAGACCACCACAUUCUUAUCGGUUAUCACUCAAUAUCAGUCCCAAACCCGGGUGACCAUGUUGAAAAUUUAAAAUCCAGAGGUUAUUUAUAUAUAUUUCCAAUCGAGAAAAUAAUUUAAAUUCGAAAUAUAUUUCCAAUCGUUUCCUGGUACUUGAUUUCAGUCAACAAAGAGAAAAAAAAAAUAGAAUCAUAAGGCUGCCAACCAGAUGAAUAAAUUGAUUCAACGCAAGGUUGACUGUGGCAUUAUACGUAACAUGGGUUCAUCUCAGACGGUACUGAAUAUAUGGUGGGCGCAUCGCGCAUAAGAGAUAUUUUCUUGGUCUCCCAUUUGUUAGAUUCUUGACUUGAAAGAGACAACCGUCCUCAGGUUGUCAACUAUUGUUUGAACGAUUUGGUUGUCUGAUAAUUGGAUAAUGGAUUAAACUAGCCUUUGGUCCUCACUCGAAACAGGACAGAACUGCAGAUACUAAAAGGAAGAAGAAGAAGAAACAUUUGUAUGUGAAUGUGACUUUGGAUAAACAUUUGUUGACUUUGAGGCGUUUGAGAACUUAUGCAUUAGUAUAUGAAUUUACUUUUCUUUUUUUAGUAGGAUGGAAUUUGAGAAGCUAACUGAGAGAGGGGAUCAGAAAUUCGAAUCCAAUACCUCUUAUUUUUAGAGUUUUGACUUUAGCUGCUAAAUCAAAACUUUCUCUGCCUUAUAUCUGUGCUUUUGUUCAUCAUCACUCUUCUUCAAUGCAUAACACAAGAAGCAGGCUUGAAAUAUGCAGUUUCUUUUAGGCAAACUGCAGGCAACUUCAAUUCAUGAUUAGGCGUAGAAUCAAUUUACGCUUCGCAGGGGAACAUCCCACGGUCAUAUAUAACUGAAGUUACCAUGGGAUCAUUUAUUACGUUGUAUAGAAUAUAUUUGAUAAAGAACAUUCAAUAUUAGAGUGGCGGAUCUAUUAUUUUCUUAUUAGUAAUAUUCUAAAACGCAGGAGGGGAAAAGGCAUUUAAAUAAGAACUAUUGAUGAUAAAGAUUCUCAAAGUUUGCUUAAGAACCACGACCGCACGGGCCACCAGCUCCAACAGCACACGUGCGUAUAACACACCUAAUUCAAAUUAUUAAUGACAUCUUUGUAUGUUUCUGUCUUGGCCUGAUGCUCAAAUACCUUAUAUUCGAUUUCUAGCACCUGCGUCUUUUUCCUUUUUCUUCUAUGAAUAUGGACGUAUCAUCAUCAUCACCAGGGGCGGAGCCAAAAAAAAAUCUUAGUGGGGGCAAAAAUAACACUAAAAUUUUUUAUCUACUCUUUUUCUAAUUUUUUAAGCAAAAAAAAAAAGUCUCAUGGAUAAAAUCACCAUUUCACAAGUUAAAAUAUUUAUCAAAUAACCCAUUUAUUAGUUAUUACAUUAACUAAUCAAUUUUCAAAUUUCUUUAAAACAGUAAUAGUCUCAUGCUCUAGAAAUAUAUUUGCAAACAAAUUUAAAAUAAUAAUAAUAAGAAGUAAUUGUUUAGAACCUGAUUUUGAUGGUCUCCUAAAGUUGGUGAAAAGAGCUGCAAAAUGUGGCAGAUCCAGGUUCUAGAAGAUCAAUUGAUUCUGGUGCAAUCUCUAAAUCGGAUGAAGUAAUCAAUAGAAAGAGUAACAAGCUUUGGUUGUGGAAGAAAAAAUGGCUCUUGUAUGUAUGUUGGGGAGUGGGGACAACCGAGAGCCAGAGGAGGAAAGGGAAAUUGGGGAGUGGGGACAAAGAAAGUAAAUGAUAAUUGGAUAAAGUGAUAAAAAGAAAGAGUAGUUGGCUUGGGUGUGGAAGAAAAGGAGCCGGUUGUGAAGGGAAAUGGGGGACCACAGGAGUAAAGGGAACUUGGGGAGUGGGGACCAGAAGGAAUGACUGAUAUAAUUGGUACUUGGCCCUGUUGGAGGGAAAAUGAGGACUAGAGGAGGAAAGUGAAUGAUAUAAAUUUUGUGACACAUUCUUUCACAUUUUUUCUAAAAAACAUUUUGGGGGCACAUCUAAAAUUAUGUCAAAAUUGUAAGUGUAUUAUAGAAAUUUAAGGGGGGCAGUGGGGGCCGUGCCCCCAGUGCCCCCCUUUAAAUCCGCCCCUGAUCAUCACCACCAUCGCUCAUUUUUUAAGAUACUCUGAAAAAUCUUCUUAAAUUUGAAAGUUUCAAGAAGAAAAUAUUCUCUAUGUAUCAGAUUGUAGCUAAGAAAAGGAUAGAAAUAGUUGGGCCCUUACCAUUUAAGUUAUAGCCGAAUCUCAAAUUAAUCUCUCAUCCGUAUGUUUCAACUUCUUGACAUAUCUUUUCCAUUAUACUUUUCAACUAAGACAAAUUUAACACAUCAAAAUGGCAAUAUUAUACUUAAUACUUCAUGGACACAAUAAUUCAAGCGUAUUAUGAUGAAAACAAAUUGUGAUUGUUUGCCAAAAACUAGAGGCUUAAUGUGUUCAACUAAAACACGAAAGAUAAACUAAAACCAGUCCAUCAUACUUCCAAGGGAUAAUGAAUUCUCCGUGUCUAGAUCGGUCUGGUUGAUGUGACUUUUAUAAUUUUUGGUAUAAUCUCGUAUAAUUUUGAUAUAAUUGUACUUUAUAUAUGAGUUGAUAAAUUCAUAUAUAUAUAUAUAUAUAUAUAGACAGACACACACACUAAAAUUAUAUUAAUCUGUGAUAAAUAUUCUAAUAAUUAUAUAAUUUAAUAGAAUUGGACAAAAGUUGGAUCGAAGAUUAAGUCUCAAUGAUGAAUGAUAUUGCUUCCCAUAGGUUAAAAACAGGACCUACAACUUGCUACCUAACCAUAUAGGAACUGAACCCCACAAUGUAUACAGUCCGCCGCACCCUGGGUCCUAUAUUUCCCCUCCAAUGUCACUUUCUUCAUGCACCCUCAGGGGCUGCCCUCCUUUAUCAGUCAUGCCAAAGCUUUUUCAGUCCACUUUUACUAGUGGAUAAACUCUCUCUACAUCACCUAGUUGAAAUUACCAAUUUCAAUCAUUUUGUACCCAAGAAUAGAAAUACAACUUGUAUUUCAUUUGUUUUGGACUUGUUUACGCCAAAGCUGAAUACAAACUUACGCUUCCCACAGCUGAUUGUUAAGUGCUGGCAACAUCUUCUUCCCGGAUACGUGAAUAUGCAGAAGCUAGCUGAUUGUUAAGUCCAAGUGGACCAUUUAGUUUGUUGAUUAAUGAGUUGAAAAACGUCAACUGAAGAUCAGAAUCAUCAUCAUCAACUUGGAGCACUCAUAGAUAUAUUGAGUUUGUUUGGAUAGAGAGUAUUUGGUUUGCAAAAUUUAUUCUCACAAAUCCCAAUCACCUUUUUAUCUUCCCAAUCACCUUUUUAUCUCACAUACAUCACAUCAUAAAAAGUGCUACAGUAACUGGAUCAAAUAAAUCAUCCAAAUAAAUUCUUAUCCAAACAAACUCAUUGUUUUCGCAAAUCUGGCAUCAAUAUCCAUGACGGCUGAUGCUAAGCAAUAUUCCAGCACCAACCUCUGUUGUGACAUGUAUUUGACAGAACGUCCCAAUAUUCCAUACAAAGAAUCUGAUGCAAAUAUAGAGCCAAUUCACAUUUAACUUGACAAAAAUUUCAUCAACUAUCCCCUUAUCAAGAUAGAUAUAGGCUAUGAGUGAUGUAUUAACUUCGUCCUUACUGUGAUGAGUAACAGGCGGCCUAGCUCAUUGUUGCAUGCCAAAGGGGUGUAUAUUGCAACCGCCAAAGUUGUAUAUCUAGCAACGACGCUAGGUUACACACGCUCCCCCCCCCCCCCCAAAACAACACAAAAAAAAACCCUAAGUCAAGAGUCAAUGAUAUGGCCUAGGAAGCAGAAUUUGGUAUCGGGGAGAACUGCUGAGGACAAAAGUUGUCACCCCGUGUGUACCCCUUUAUCCAACAAGACCAGGGAAAAUAAUGUCUACAAAAAAAAAAAGGUUGGUCAAUUUUCAACAAAAUAAUAAUCAAAAUAACAUUAAUAAUAAGGAGGGAGUGGAGAGGAUUGGGUUGGGUGGUGGAGGGAGGGAUUGCAAGUAAAAUAUCUAGGAUUUAAGGCAUCUCACUUAUUAAAAAAAAAAAUUUAAUGAUAAUGAUUAUAGUUCCUACAUCUUGGGGUUGUUUUGUAAUAUUGUAAAUUUUGCAAAAGGCUGAAUACUUGAAAUUACAAAAAGCUACUUUUUGAAAAAUUCUUGAUUUUAACCUUUUUGCCUACUGAAAAUUUUAAAUUAGUAUUUUUUUUGUGAAAUCAUAAUCUAAGGUCAUAUGAGAUAAUCAAAUGAGAGGGCCCCUUGUCUUGAACAAGGAAUGAUCCUUGGAUUCUUAUUUUAUUAUCUGAUGUAUGGAACAAUUAUCCCGGGUCGGCAUUUUGUUAAAGCCCACAUGGUCUAAUAAGGAGAACAGCAAAUGAUCUAGCCCAAAGAACACGAAGAAGGUAGCCCAUUUUGUAAGGCUUAUUGGUCAGUGGGCAAAGUGCACAAGAAGUAGGACGAGGAUUCCAGGCAAUUGUGCUUCACCAUGCCCUUUUUUUUUUCCUCGGAAAACCCGUGUCACUUAUCUAUCAAGCAUAAAACUCCAAUUUUGAAUCUGACAACUGAGAAGAUCUUACGAGCUAUCCUUCACCAUUCCUUGACAUCACCAAUAUUUUUCAAAAAUAAAAUUAAAACAGAUUCUCGGCAGUACUUUUUCAAUUUUACCAAAUUGAGGAUAAUUUGGCUAAAGAAAGGUCAUCAUUAAUCACGUACUACAUUUUUGAAAAGCUAUUAGAAAAGUGAACACAAGAUGGAUAUAGCCAUAUAGGCAAAGAGGAAAAAAUGAACAAGAAUUAAAUGUAGACAGCAGUAGUAUUCCUGAUGAGUUGAAUAUAAGUAUUGCAUGUUAGGAUGGCUUGCAUCACCUUUAUGAUUUAGAGUAGGUUUUUAUCCAUAGAUCUAAGUGUAAAAUAAAAAAAAUGUAGUGUACGUCUAUGCCUCUAUACCUCUAAAAUAUUGUUUGGACAGUCACUCUAUCCCAAAUAAUAUUUUACUUGCAUCAUAAACAUAAUUUCAAACCCAUCUUUUAUAUUUUCAACCAUCUUUUUAUCUCACAUAUAUCACAUCAUAAAAAGUACUAUAGUAAUUAUUUCAAAUAAUAAUAUUCUAUCCAAACAAACCCGCAGCCACGGAGUAUUUGGACGCAAACCAGGAAGAGCAGUAGGUGGGGACUAGGGAGGCAGAGAGAUGGCUGAUAGGGUGGCUUUUAUUGUAGACUGUCACCGUUUGCCCCUAAUCCAUUGCAGGUUUGUUGCCCAUUUACGCAAAGGGUUUAAAUAUGAUGAAUCCACUACUGGCAGGGUGGUGGCGGAAUCUAGAUGUAAACAGUGCAAUGUUUGCCUAUACAUUUUUCUGUUGGUGGUUAUAUAUUUAAUUUAGAAAAUCCUAUUUUAAAGUAUAUACGAUUUAUAUGAUAGCACUUACAUCGCGUUUUUAAAAUCAUCUUUUCUAAUUUUUUUUUUUAACAGGAAGGGAUAAGGUGAAUUUUAAUUCACGAAAACUCAACUUUAUUCGCUAAACCGAAACUUCUCGAUAGUUUUUAAAAUUAAUUUUUUGUAGGUAAACUCAUUUAUUUAAAAUGUAGUGUGCACAUUGUCGUCGUGAUCAAUUUGAAUUACCAAUUGUUAAUACUCUUUAUCUCCUCAUCCCAGCCCCAUUUAUAAAAAAUUAACCACCACCAUUACAGCUUCUGACAUUUUUUUUCCCCUUAAAAUAGAACUGGACUAUAUGCAUUUUGUGCGGAUGAAUACUACUACAUCCUAACAAUCAACUCCAUUGGCAUGAAUCAAGAAAAGGUCAUUACAAAUAUUGCAAGUCAAUGUCUGAAAUUUUUUUGAGUAGACUCAAUGGCCGUAUACAGAUAGACUUCAGAAAAACAAUCGAGUAGUAUUACUUAAACCAAAAUAAUACGUGCAUGUAGUCCAGGUUUACAUAACAAAAUCCAGAUCACAAAAAUUGAAGACUGUGUGUUGUAAGCUAUAUGCUGCUGUGCCGCAAAAAUGACAAUAACUGCUUAUGCCUAUCAGCCUAUGCAUGGCAACUUGUGUUCGUAACUAUAUACCUAUUUUUGUACACUUUACUCGUAAAACUAACUACCAGCAAAUAUCAUAAAUUGUCACCAAACUAUUUAAAAUCUUCUCAAUUGGCCACUGAACUUUGUUAUUUAGUCAAAAUGAUCAUCCAACUAAUUAGAACAUACAUUUGUGACCCAAAUGUAUAUGUUAUCAUUAGUUGAGUUGAGUGGGUAAAAGUGAAAGUUCUUGUUAGUUGAGGAACCAAACAUUUGCUUUCUUAUUAGUUAAGCUUUGGCUAAACAAAAAGUUUAGAGUAGUGACAAAAAAAAAAAAAAAAUUCUAAAUAGUUUAGUGACUAGUUUUAUUAUGUACUCGAUAUUUAUUUCCAACAAAAAAAAAAAAAACAAACAAACAAAUGCCAACUUGAAUAUGUAUUGUUACAGUUUCGUCAUCUGUUUGUUGCACAAGUGGAAUAGGGAUGGCUAACCUCUCGGGCUGGUGUAUGCUCGAAUCAAUGUGAGGUGGCAUUUCGGUCCCAAGCUCAGUAAGGAAGUCAAAAAUGGCACGCCAAAACGAUUAAGAUCCCUCCUUUGGGUGCAACUAUCUAGCUAAACUAUAAAAUACGUUACGAUUCAAGAAUUGCCAUAACAUCAGAAAAGCAAAUUCGGGCAUGCAACUGAAACAACAGAUAGGAAUUAGAAGCAGCAUGGCCCCCGGUUUCACUUUCUUCUACUCAUCUCUGUUGACUGGUUUAUACAUCUUAGUUGCUGCAAAUGCAAGCCGGGGCAAUUUUCUGUGUCCUUUCGACUCUUUAUACCAGUUUGGAGAUUCAAUUUCAGACACUGGCAACCUAAUCCGGGUACCAGGUGUUGGUCCUACCCUUCCAGCCGCCCGUUUCCCCUAUGGACAAACUAUUGGCAGACCCACUGGUCGAUGGUCCGAUGGCCUCCUCAUUAUAGAUUUUACUGGUAUCUUUGCUAAUUUUGGCAACCCCUCUACCCAAAAUUUAUCACUACAAUACUAUUCAGUCACUGGUUAUAAAUCAGUUGUCACAUUGUCUCAGAUUCUUAUUGCCUGCUUGAAAGUUUAUAUGUUCCCCGUACCAAAUUAAUAUCCGUCUGUAGCUGUUCAUUUGCAUUUCUUAGUGAACACUUUAGCUAGCAUGCAACAGCAAAUAACUGAUAUGGAUCUUCCUCUCUCUGCCUCUUUUUUUUUGUUGGCCUGUGGAAAAUCCUGGCUGCAGCUAUGGAUCUUCACCUACCCCUGCUUAAUCCCUACCUGGACAGAAAUGCAUCCUUCAACAAUGGCGUCAACUUUGCAGUGGCUGGAAGCACAGCUCUGGACUUUGUUUUCUUCACGGCACGAGGAAUCGUGGUUCCAAUCGUUACAUCACCCCUCGGCGUCCAAGUUAAUUCGUUUAAACAAUACCUCAGCUCUAUAUGUUCCUCACCAACAGGUUUUUCUUUCCCUUUUCUCUUUUAAUAAGGUAAAAACUCGUGCACGGUUGGGGCUCCUACAAUCGCAGUUCUGACUGUAGGAUACAAAUAACGGUGAGGAUGAACUAGAUUUGAAAUUUGAGUGGAUAAGUUGAUCGUAGGACAUAAUUUUCAAGGAGUAUCAAUAUAUAUUUGUUCUAUUUUUAUAUAUUACAGAGUUAAUGCUGAUAUUUUUGUGCUAUUGUCUACACAUCAACUGUAUGGAUGUCUACAUUGCACUAUACAAUUAAAAGACUGGAGAUCAUAGAAGCUCCGGUUCCCACAUGCAUACGUAAAAUGAGUCGAACUCCAGAUUACUGCCCUCAAAUGUUCCUUGCCGACCAACAUUUUAUUAACUCUAAAUAUGUAAUGUAGGCAUACGACUAUACAUUUUUAUCAUCAAAGCGUCAAUCUUUUGACAUAUUUACAUUAAUUGUAUACAUUAAAAGUUAAUCUUUGUGCGCUGUAUAUAUUAUCUGGUACGUGUAAAACUUGAACUUUAAAUUCGAAUUAAAUUAGUUGUCAUAUAUUCAGACUCUGUAGUAUGUAAAUGAUGACUAAGAGUAUAGAAGAUUAAUGCAUACAUUAUUUGUAAUGAUUUUAAACUGUCUUACAUAAAAAUAUCAGAAUGUUCGACAAAGCUUAGGCAGUCUCUUUUCUGGGUGGGUGAGAUUGGAGGCAAUGAUAUCAACUAUGCGUUCACACAAGGCAAAUCCCUUCAAGAGAUUCGAACUUACAUCCCAUCCAUAACUCAAGCAAUCAUUAAUAACACAAGAGUAAGUUUUUUUUUUUUUUUUUUUCCUUUUAACACAAGAGUAAGUUAAUUAAUUAGCUACAACCUUACAAAUACUCUCAUGACACAAAUGAAAGAAGUUCUCGUAUAUGUACAUGACAAGAUCUAUUAUUCAUCUCUAUCUAUUGAUAUCUGAUGCAGCAAAUUAUCCAGCUAGGCGCAAAACGUAUAGUGGUUCCUGGAAAUUUUCCACUUGGUUGCAUCCCCGUCGCUUUAAACUUUGUUUCCAAUGCUAGUUCUCUGGAGUUUGACGAAUUUGGGUGCUCAAGAAGUUUCAAUGAUCUUGCUAGGUAUCAAAACAGUUAUCUACAAACUGCUUUGAACUCGCUCAGGAAGGAAUUUCCAGAUGCUGUCAUAGUCUAUGCGGACUUUUACGGCUCUUUUCGAUCGGUUCUCACUCGGGCACGCUUUCUUGGUGAAACACCCCACUGCUGCUCUCUAAUUCUUUUCAGAUCUUUUCUACAUAGUUCUGAAUUUCUCUUAAUCUUGGUGAUUCUGGGGGGCAGCAAACAUGCAUCACUAGAAAUUGCACUACAAGAAUAGUUCACUAUUACCAUAUUUAGCAUGUGGGAAAAAAAAUUAGCGUAUACGUUUGCAUUAAUCAUUUAAAUGCACACGUAAUCUACAUUUAUCCGGAAUAAAAUUAAAUUAUACAGCUAAUUAUCAAAUAUUGUGUAGUAGUCCAGGACGUCUACAACUCAUGUAGUUGUCCAAUGAGUUAAGCUUUUUUUGGGGGGUUGGAGGUGUUAAUUGCACUUUACACCCUUAAACUAUUCAUUUAUAGCACUUUGCCCCCUAAACUAUCAAUUGCAGGACCAUGAUACCUCAAAAAAAAAUUUAUUUUUUUGGCACUACUUUGACAUAGAUCAAAUUUUACUAUUCUUUCAUGUGUAUAAAACCAGAAAGAAGCCUUUAUCUUUUGAAUAACGUAAGUUACCACCUUCUCAGACAACAACUAGACAAGAAUAUUUUUUUUCUUAUGAGUUUAAUUCCUAUUUAUUUUAUAUUAAGAGAUAAAUAUCAAAUCAAGAUAAAAAAAAAAAAAAAGAAAACUGUACUUGAAGGGCCGUCUUUGACAAAGCGAAUCAACUAAGGAGUUUAUUGUCUUUUUGAUUGUGAAGUCUUGCCAAAUUCCAGCAUAAAUUUGGUUAUUGAACUAUUUAUAUUCUGUACAUCAAAUUGAAAAGUUUGAGGCUUUACAUCGUUACACUUCAUAGCGUAGUGGGCAAAUUGCUAAUGGCUAAUAGUUUCGGGGUGCAAAUUACAACUAACCCAUUAUGUUAAGCAGCUUUUUCUAUAUUACUAAUUUGACUUAUUGGUGUCAGUCAUCUGAUGGAAAUUCCCCUCCCUUGCAUAUAUUGCUGAAGGUUUUGACGCUGGAUCGCUACUGCAAGCUUGCUGUGGAAUUGGAGGACCAUACAACUAUGACAUGAACAGAGCGUGUGGAUCUCCAGGAGUACCCGUUUGCCCAAACCCACGACGAUUUAUCCACUGGGACGGCCUCCAUCUCACGCAGGAGGCUUACCGUCGCAUCUCGGAAUUCCUCAUUCCUGACAUACUCUCAAGAAUUCAGUGCUUUUAGACAUUGAUUUGCUUUGUUCAAUUUCAGCCAAGAUCUUAGAUUGGCAAAGAAAUAAUUGCAACUUGUGUUUUCCCCAAUUGUACGCUGCUGAAAGAUUGACUUAGUGUAGCAUUCUAGCUAUAUAUGGCGAAAUUCAGCCAAGAGAACUGCAAUCAAUAGCUGAAGCUCGUAUAAUUAAGCGACCUAAUACAUUUAGCAGCAUCUAUCUCCUGUUCAUGCUCAUCCUGGAUUAUUUACAGCAUCAAAGGUUGUCAUCUGGGAUGCUAAGGUGAAUGUUAGAUUGCUCAUUUGUGACAAAAAUUGUGUUGAAACAUCAGUGUUUUCAGGGUCACAUUGCUGAACUUCAUGAAUGGAAUUUCCUUGAUUCCGUUCAUUAGUUCGACUAUGUCUUGCCAUAUUAGUAAUUUGGUUUCUGAGAUUAGUUCACACAUUUUCAUCACGCUGAACCAGUUAAGAUGAAACAGAAUACAACUUUUAGGCUACAAAAAUGGUGAUUUAGAAUUUGUAAUUUGUUACACCAUUAUGGCCUAAUUACAUCCACAAUCUUCCGACAUCUGCGUAAUGUAACUAAAAUCAUUAUAUCCAAGUUGUCUAACUCAAGCAUUUUCACUACUGCUUGACUCAGGUUGCUGCAUGUUGCUUGAUUCAGAUAGCUGAAUUUCACUGGUACCAGCUGAAGCAGCAUUCUCGUUUGUCCUGUUGGAUUCAUGAACUUCACCUUGUCUCGCUGAAAUAUCUGCAACAUCAACUUCAGCUUCGCGAACUUCCCCAGGUCCAUGUGACACAUUUCUGUUGUUCUCCUCUGAUUCAUUAGCCUCUUCACUGGGUGAAUCUCCUGUGGCAUCUCUGUAGCUUAACGAGUGAACUCUUGAUUCUUUGCCACUAGAAUUCAGAAAUCUUGAACAUCUGUGGCAACAAUUCGAUAUCAUGGCAGUGAAUCUUUGUCCAAUAGAGGUCUUAGAGCAGAAUAAUGCAAUCAUGGCAGCUGAGAGUAUGAUUAUGAAGAGGCCUCCAAAAUUAUAAGCUGUAAGACUAGGGCUCUCUUGACUGAUUGAAUCUUGAUCAGCAGGAUAUCCCGGUCCAAAAUUUUUUUGCUCAAUCACAUUCAUGGUUGCACCUUGUGUUACAUUAAGGAUUGCUCUUGAGAAGUAACUAACCAGUGGUGAGCCCAUAGGGAAUGCCUAAAUGAAAGUAGAUUUAUUUAGGCAUUGUGAAAUACUAAUGCACCAUAAAUGUUUACUGCAGAAUUCCGUCUUUCCAAAGACAAUAAAUAUGAAUUCAUGCUAAAGAACUAUUGACUGUACAUUCGUCAAAGAUUCUGUCAAACUAUUUAGUGAUAUAGCGAUUGCGAAGUCCUAAGACUUCGACAUUGAAUCUGUGAUAUCAAUGAAGAGCACAAGUCCUCUAUUGCAGGUUCUCUCUCUUUUUUUCUUAAAAUUUUCCUAGCCUGAAUAAAAAACUUCGAGCAUUUGUGGCAGUAUAUAAAUGUUUAUUUCAAGGUAGUUGAUGUUGCAAUAAACUGAUCUCCAACUGAAGUGCUUAUAUGUCAACUCAAGUCUGUCAAAAUUCAUGCAAACUCUAAUACUUCAACAAGGAUUUAGGCAUUAACUCUCCUUAAGUACGGAAGCCAUGUAACAUCAGUUUUAUGGAAAUUUUAAUGUUUCUGACAUACCAAGUGAGAAUGGCUAUAGAAAGUUGAGAAAGAAAAAACUCACAAAACCAAAGCCAUCCGUUUUGUGUGUUGGCCCUACAAUUCUGUACUCCGAACCAUAUCUGUUAAUCAGGAGCUUCAUGUAAGGGAUCUCGCCAUAGAUGGCGUCAAUGCCGCCUUUUUUGCCACCUCGACACAUAGCAUCAUGGUAUUCCUCAAUGGUUGAGUAACUCCUCAACUUUGAGGCAUCCAAGUGGAGCUCAUUAAUCAAAAAUUCAUGAACAAAAGAAGCAUGUUGGUAACCGACAUAAUAGUCCUUAGAAAAAGCAAAAUUCAGCUGAUCAACUGUGAAAAUUGCUGAUAGUUUAGCUGUAUAGCUCUGCAUCAAUAUGUAUGCCACGAAUAGCCAUACAACCAAGACAAACAUUGACCAUUUGUUUGCCACCAUAUUCCCUGUCAACAGUAAGAUACAUCUGGUGAAUUAAGUACCGUGCUGUUGGCUAAAAAAGAGGUAAUUAUCUUGAUCCUGUUCUAUUCGUUUAGGAGUGCAAGGUUAACGGGAAAGGCUAUAAAGUACUAAGAAAUUAUGACAGGAAUUUUACAUACUCUCAGGGAAGGCAAGAGCUGCAAUAGGGAACCAAAAGAAUAACCCAAAUGGCUGUUCAUUCGGUGUCAAAGAGCCAGUAUUAGUGUUGUUUCUCUGAUGCUCCAACAUUCUGACAACAAAUCCUAUGAAAAUGCAGGCCAAGACUAUAGUCAGCCAUAGGUCCCAUCUUAAAGGCUUCAGGAAUGUCCACAUGUCUAUGUUCUUUUUGUUUUUCACAACCAUAACAACUCCAGAUUCAGUAUAUGGGAGGGUAAAAUCGAUGAAUGUGGAUCGAUUUGCCAAAAUUGUUACAUCUCCAACCACAAAAUCAUAAGUCUUCCUUAUUCAAGAGAAACGAAAAGAUGUGUCAGUAGAUGCCAAUCUACAUAAACAGAAAAAUUAUAGAAGCAUAGUAUAAAGAAAACAUAUGUACGAGACAAGACAGACCUUGUCAAGUAUUUUGUGAAGCAUGUGAUCAUAGCUCCCGUUAAGGUCUCUACUCGUGUUCAGAUAAGGAAUAAACUCAUAUUCAAGCUUGAAAGGUAACAGCUUCAAAGAAGCAAGAAAUACAUCUAUAGACAACCCACUGAAAUUGAAUUGAUUUGUCACAGGAUCUUUUUGUAUAUUUGUGAACUCAGUGAAUUCACUUUUCUUUGGAACCCCAACUUUAAUCUUUCCAGUAGUGGGAAUAGCCCAACCCUUGGGGGUUACUAGUGUAUCUCCAGGCCACAUAAUAGCUCUAAGUUCUUUUGUGGAGGUUGAGUAUGUUGACUCACCUGUUGAAGCUAAUUUGCUGGAUAUUCCUCCAUCAGGACUCCAGUAACCAACUGUCCUAUAUCCUGUUCCAAUCAAAUUAAUUAUCUCAAAGGCUGAGGUCUGUAGUUGCCCAUCAACCAACUUGAAUUCUCCACACAGGCCUGUAAAUUUGGUAUACAAGAGUUCUGCCAAUAUCCUACUGCCAAACUGAGAGAUUGUUAUAUUUGAAAUAUCACUUCUGUUAUCUCCUUGACUUGACUCCAGCAAAUCAGAACCAGGGGAGAGACUUCUUUCGAUGGCCAAUGCAAGGGCCCAAACUGUGUCAUAUGCCCACAGACCAUAGACAUUUAACUCCAUUAUUUCACUUUGAGGUUUCCUCAAGAGUGCAUUUCUCUUCCACUUUGCCCUGAAAUUGUCCAGGUUCUUGGACUUGGGUACAUGAGGCCUCAACCCCAAAACACCUUCCAUCGAAGAAGUAUCCACAGAAGUUAAAGAGUUGGACAAACUAUCGGUAAUGAGCCAGGCAUAUCCUUCACUCAUCAUUCCGGCUUUUCUUGCAAGGUCAAAGAGCCUGUUCCCAAGUAAAAUAUUCAUGUGCACCAGGAAUACCCUGGUUUGUUUUGUCAUCAGCUUGCUGAGUUCUUUUGUAAUAUAAACGUCCUCAGCUGAUGUGGAUAUUGCACUUAUGUAUGAGAGCUGAAUAUCAACUUCUUGGAAUGCUUUAUUUAGCUUAGAAACGAAUAGAUUUCCAUCCUCAGUGUCCUCGUAUAGAAUAACUACUUCAUGCCACUCAAAUCCUUGGCAAAUGGCCGUGAGACUUUUGACUUGGUACAAGUCAUCUGGAGUUGUCCGAACAAAGUAAGGGCUCGGUGAACGAGAAAAAGCACGGUUUUUCGCUGUGAAGGAAAUAACAGGUACAUGAGCCCUUGCUCCAAGUUCUACAACAAACGUAGCUUCCUUUGACCAUUCCGGCCCCAGGACACCAUGCACUUCUUGAUUCUUCAGCAUUUCUAGAACUGCAUUGUAUUCACACAAAGCAGAAGCCAUAUAUAAGGUCAUUAAUUCAUGUCCAUGCCAAUUCUAAACCUGAUUUGCGUAGUUUGAAAUAUAAGACCUCUGUUCAAAUGAAAGAAACCAUGAGGUUUAAGUAAGUUUAAGCUAGUAUAAUUUGGAUUCAUGCAGCACUUUUGCUUCCGACUCAAGGACAAUUGCAGUCAUAGUGAAAAUAAAACUGAAUGGUGGUAAAACAAGUUCUUUCAAUAGAAAUAACGGACACCAUUAUGGUGUUUGGAACUAGAAGUGUGCCGCAGACACCAAAAUAGCACUAAGUCAAUCAGAAUACAUGUUGCAGGAAUCAUUUGAAAAGUAAAUGUUAAUCUUGUCACGACUUUAUGCACAACUUCUGCAUUCUUUGGCCUUACUAGUAAGUAUCAUUAGGAGACAUAGACUUCCUCUAGAAACUUUAUAAUCAAUGAGGAACAUGGUAAGCAAGAAAGAACAUGUUAUUGAAGAUAACUGUAAUAUGACUUUCAAGUAAUCAGCAACGACGUCAAAGAGACAUUUCAUAAUUGGAAUGGACAUAAAUUUCACCUGCAGAAGCCACGUCUAGCUCCUCCUCAGCACUCGCAGUGUGGAGAAAUAGCCUUGUUUUGUAAUUUGAAUGAAUUGAAUAGAAGUCUGACAGUGCCAUGGACAUGCAUAAAUCUAUCAUGGUGCCCAUGGGUGAAUUUAAAUCAAGAACUGCACCAAUGUUGAUGGAGGAAUAAGUUGACCGGGCAGUUGCAUGGAUUUCACUACUUGCAGCAACUGAUUGGGCUCUAAACAUGAGGGAGAGCAAAGUGAACAAGAAGAACAUAUGAUGGUCGUUCUUGAUACUUUGCAUUUCUGACUCCCCUGAACAGUACUAGUAAGUAUGCCCUUUAUAUUGAGCUUUGCGGGGGAAUUUAGAUAUGUGCAAAAAGUCAGCUAUUGAUGCUUAGUUACAGGUCCUUUUAAUUGCCGCGGUCUCCCUAUAACACUUUAUUAGGAGAAAGGCAAAAUGUGGGGCGCUUCAGAAAUAAAAUUAAGUAUUAUCAACCACACGCGAGCGCAAAGGGAUUGAAGACUGUGAGGCACAAAUGGGAAAUUUUAAGGUCAACAUACAUCAGAAACUUAUCUCUGCCCCGUUUGGAUUGCAUUUUUCUGGAUAUUUUUGUAGAAAAAUUACUGUAGCGAUUUGAUAUAUGUGAGGUAAAAAAGUAAUAGGGAAAUGUGUUCACGAAAAACGUAACAAUUUUUCAGAGGAAAAUCGCAAUCCAAAAUGUCAAACUAUGUUAGAAGACUUUGUUAAAGAAUUAGAUAGUGUUUUGAGUCUUGAAAUUACUUGAACUAGUCAUUUCAGUAGUAUCACACAUUAGUAAUUUACAAUUACUGGUGCACAUUGAAGUGGACAGGAAAUCUUGAAUAUGAACAUGUCAAAAAUCCAAAGACGUUUCGAGGAAAUGAUUUAGAUCAGAAGCAUGAUUCGUAAGCGCUAAGUAAAGCUAUAGCUGCAAAUAAGUAGAACCAGAUUCCUUCUAGCUUUAAAACAUAACUCAACCUUUGAGGCCCCAUCUUUUACCUCAACUUGAUGGUGGAAAUGCGGUCAAAUCUUGAAUCAAGAUGUAAGUGAUCUAAAUCAUCUGUUUUGUUAUCUAAAUCCGCAAUCAAAAAACUUGCAUUAUGUUCUUUUAUCUUCUGAUUAAAAGCGCACAUGAAUAAAGAUGUUUAUAUCUGCUCGCAAUAUCUUAAAGAUAGGACAAAUUAAGUGUUGAAAAUCCUACGGAUACGAUUCUUGGCAAGACCAUUGCAUUCACCACACCUCAAUUUCUCAGAAAUUUCCAGCUCCCUCCGUCCUUAUAACCACCUAGUUAACGCAUUGAAACACAAAUAUGACCCAUCGCCCCUGUUAGAAAUUUCUCUUCUUUUACUCUUGCGUGAGAAUUGGCUUAAUAUUUCAAUUGUCUUCUCGUUCACAAUCAAAUAUCUUGUUCUUGCUUGCCCCUUUUUCCUUGUCUUUCUUGUCUUUACUUCAAAACAAAUACUACUCCAAAAUGGUGGCCAUUGAGCCAUUGGCUGAUGACAGCUACUAUACUAAUCCAGGUCAACUAACUAAAUACGUUAGAAUGUUCUGUUUGCACAUAUUGUCCAUUACUACAUUAUUUGAUAGACACUCCUGUACUUGUAAUUUUGCAUUUAACUGGUUGGCAACAUGCUUUAAGCUCGAAGAAUGUCAAAAUCGAUGGCUUCAACUCUCGUGCUCCCAUCAAGGUAGUUGAGUUAAUCUCUUACUAAAAAAAACACAAAGAAAUUUUCACUAGAAAGGCGCAGAUUUGUAUUUAAUUUUUAAUUUCUCGAUUCAACUAAUGAACACAAAAUUCCUCAUUCAAACUUUAACAGCAUCUUAGCAGGACAAGAAAGCCCUUAAAUUCCAAUAUUACUGGUCUUUUCAGCUGUCACAUUCUUCGUCCAAGCCAUAAACCGGUCCUACAAUCUUGUUGCUUUCAACACAUAGAAGGGCCGAAAAAAUUAGGUAAACUAACCCAUUCGUUUGUAUAAAGUAUUAUUUGAAAUAAAUAUUAUAAUAUUUUUUAUGAUGUGAUGUAUGUAAAAUAAAAAGAUAAUUAAAAAUAUAAAAAAAUAUAUUUAUAAUACAAGCAAAAUAUUAUUAAUUGAUUAUUCAAGCCGUGCAUUGAUUCGGUCCAACAAUCCUAAGUCGACGACCCCUGACUUUACAACUAUCAAAUGUCAACGGCCAUGUGUGCCCGUGACGCUUUGUCAAGUGUGUGUAGCCAAAAAUCAAGUUGGGCUGAUUAUUAAUUACUCAUGUCAGAUGCAGACAAAAAGAUUCCCAAACUUAAUUAUUCUAGCUCUUUUUUUUUUUGUUUUGUGUUUCCCCCCGCCGCGGCGGCGGGGGGGGGGGGAGAGGAGGAUUCUUUAAUUAGCUAUUCCAGUUCUAAAACAGUCUCAAGUUCAGCACAAGUCAAAAGAAACUAAUUGGAAAAGUUUAAGAAUGAAAAGAGGAUUUGAAUGAGUGUUUAUUGUUAAAUAUGGCAAUUUGAUCCUCUUACUCGUCUUCUCCUCGUUUGAUUUUUUGUGUAUUGUCCCUUCAUUCCGUUAGGUCAAACAACAAAAAUUGACAGAAGGAUCAAAAACUUAUGCAGCAAAUUGUUAAAGGGCUUAAGUAUUGAUACUAGUAUAAUUUAGGUGCCAAAAAUGUAUAAAAGUAAUAGUUUAGGGACUGAUUGGACAAUUUACUCUAGAAUUAAUUAUUGCGCAGCUGAAAAGGAAAAAAAAAAAAAAAAGGGACAAGCAAAUCGGUUUCGUAGGGACUCAGGAAGGAAGCUAUCUCCUAUAGGUGGCUUGUGUGCAUGUCCAGAUAUGCAGGACUGAAUUUAGAUACUUACUAGGGAAAUUUUUUUUUUUUUGGGGGGUAGAAAUGCUAGAAAAAAGUUGGAAUCUACUUGUUUACUUUGUGUCGAUGAUGCUGCGCAUUUUCUGAUUCAGAUACAUCGUAUCGACUAAGUCGUUCUUGUCACUGUUCCAUUAACAUUUUUGCUGCAUGAAGAUAUUGAAUAUGUACAGAACUUAAACUUUUGAUAAUUUUAGUUGUGGGUGCUCUUUAAUUUAUUGCUGCCGUCUCUCUGCAGAACUUUAAAAGGAGAGACAGAGAGUUUCCAUGUUGGAUGCCUUCUGAUUUGAAUAUACCAUAAGCUUUAAUCAAAGAGAGAAAGAGAAACUUCGUGGAGCCAAGAAGAUAGCUUUAGAAAAUGAAAAACUUGAUCAGUAAGAUAGGAAGAUACUAUCAGUGACGGUUGACGCUAAAUACAUAAAGACCACGCCAAAAUCCAUUGUUAGUAUCCAAAAUAGUUGAAAGAAGAAAAGAUUAAUUUCAGGUAUAUAUAUAUAUAUAUAUAUCCACAUUCUACAGAUUUGAACUGGCUUAAAACAAUACAUUAGUCUCUUCUAAUCUAAUAGUGAAUGGCGGCAUAUCUUGGCUCUUGGUCCAGAGUUUGACAGGAAAGUCAAAUUUUUACGUUCUUAAAACCUCAACUUCCUGAGUCAUUUCCUGGAAAAGAUCCAUGCUAAUGUACAAAAGAAAAAAAAAAUUGUUUACAGUGGCUGAAAUUGUAUAACAAUAGUCAUGUUGUACCUUUAGAAUACAAGAACGUCGGCCACUUCAGGGCUGAGCUUCUAGAAUUCUAUGGUAUGUCGUUUUAGGGUAGCAUGUUCGUCGGCAACAGAAUAGCGUUCCUGUUGCUUAGGAAUUGCUUUGAAUUUGUUCGAUUCCCAAACAUAAAUUUCUCCCAAACCCUUUUAGUCUUAAUAUUGCUUGUGUUUGUAUGAUAGCAGAAAGUUCACGCAACUGGGAAAUCUUCUCGUUAAUUAGAUGGCAUGCAUGCAAGUGGUAGAUGAGUGAAAAUUAAUGAUUGAUUCCUAGUCAAUGUAGAAAUCAUUCGAUGUGAGUAUUUGCCAAGUGUUUGAUUACAUUGUAAAUUUCCUAACUGUUAACGCUAAUAAAACAGGAUUGAUAGCCAUGAAAAUUAACACUGAAAGUAACGGAGUAGUAGGUGAUUUGAUAGCGUUUAGUCAUUUGAGUUCAAUAAGUGUGUCUCAUAAAUUAUAUUUUACUCCAUCUCGGGGUAUAUUAAUAAUUUGAUAAGCAUUUUUCAACUCAGCUACACCGCAUUUAAAUUUUUUGUUACACCAUUUUCCAAUCCAAUUACACCAAAAGCCAAACUUGGUCGAAAAUGGAACUUGUGAGGCCCCCAUCCGCGUAGUUUCAGUUUCAAGCCUUUCCGAAUGAGUUAAUCUUGACAAGAUCCAAUACUUUAUUCAUCAGCGAAUACAAUUCAGAACGAAAAGUCUUUGCAUUGGAUCUUUCUAUAUAUAAUUCACACACAAUCUCCUAUUCACACAGAGCAGGUUCAUUUGUUGUUUAUGAUAUAGUACAAUAAGAUACUAUUUCAAUUGUUGGCUAGCAACCAAGAUUGGCACAAAAUUGACGAUAAGUGUCGUGGGAUCAGGCCAACCACAUCCAAACACAACUUAUUUGGCCUUCCUCCUCAUUUUCUGAAUCGUACAUACACUUGUAUAUAUUAAAAAGGAAGUCGCAAAAUUCUUGUUAUCGUGUCUUGCUAAAAAGUAGUAAAAACAACACGGUGUUUUAUAAGGGGUCCAUGACAAUUCUGGCAUGAAGCUAUUUUGGCCAAAAGCAAGCAACAGGUAAUUGUGCUAUAAAGUUCAUAUUCAUAUUGUUAACUGGAAAUCAAAAUCGCCCAUCCAUCCAGGGCCAGGUCUCGUGUGCACUGAUAGCAAAAUUAAUCUCAACAUCAGUUUCAAAGUUCCAUUUCGUCGUAACCUUUGGCCCUUUCAGUGAUCAGAUAGGUUUUUUAGCGAUCACAAGUGCGAAAGCAUGAUAAAGUAAAGGGUGGCGGUAGGGUUAGUUUGGAGUACGUUAAAUGAGUGAGUUUAAUUGUAUAAAUGUAAGAUACAACUUUCAGGAGAACAGAAUUUACUUUGCUUUUGUUCAUUAUUACCUUAUAGUUUGUACCUCUUAUUGUUUUAGUCUGAACAGUAAGUUGUCCCAAAGCAUAUUAUAUUUCACACACUAUGGUACUGGAGAAUUACCGAAGGCCCCAGAUCCUUCUUGUGUAGGCCUGAAAUAAAGAAUAUACUUCUUUGGAUGAUGACACAGGAGAUAAGAGGGGAGCUAAAUUGGUACAAGUUGUCUUGUUUGCCGGAGUUUAAAAAGAGAAAGGAGGAGGAGAAGAAAACGGAACAAACAACUGUCUAAAUUCUCUCAACUUUUGCACUUCCAGAGCUAGAGUACACGGGAAAAAAUGUCACCAAGUAAAGGGGGGGAAAAACGGUACUCUUGUUUAUAAUGAUGCUGAGAUUUUUUUUAAGAACAUCUUCAGCUUUCGACUAAGACUGAUACAUUCUUGUUGGUCCAGCUGAUGCACUGACAUAGUUCAAUUCAGAUGUUCAUGUUUGUGUGGGUGGAUUCGGGAACUUCAACUUCUCUCGCUGAAACAUCUUCACUGCUGCUCUCAAGUACCUCAACUUCCUCUGGUCUGUCAGACGUAUUUGUUUUGCUCUCCUGAAUUUCAUUAGCUUCUUCACUGGAGGACUCACCUGUGGCAUCUGUAUCACUUACUGAAUGAACACUUGAUUCUUUGCCUCUAAAAAUUGGAAAACUGCAACAACAUCUUUGACCAUAAUGUGAUGCCGUAGUAGUAAAUCUCUGUCCAACUGAGGUCUCUGAGCAGAAUAGUGAAAAUAUGGCUGCUGAACAGAUGAUUAUGAAGAGGCCUCCAAAAUUAUAUGCAGUAAGAUUUGGAUUGUCUCGAUCAAUUGAAUCAGAGGGAUAUCCAGGUCCAAGGUUUUUCUGCUCAAUUAUAGUCAUGUUGGGACCUUGGGUUAUGUUAAGGAUUGCCCUUGAGAAAUAACUAACCAGCGGAGAACCAAUUGGGAAAGCCUAAAUUCAGAAGAACAAUGUAAUUCCAUGUCAACUAAAUGGUAUCAUAUACAUAACUCACACAAUGGCAUAAAGAAUGCUUGUGUUUAGAAGUUUUAGAUAUUCAGCAAGAAAUUAGAUGUGUGAUCACUUAAAUGGAGCCAAUGGUAUCAGAAAUAGGGCAUUUCCAAGACCUCUGGAUUAGCAUAAGCAAAAGGGGUCAUACAUAGAAAUAGAGGACAAGGAAACUCACGAAACCAAAGCCUUGUGUUUUGUAUGUUCGCCCUGCCAUCCUGUACUCAGAACCAUAUCUGUUCAGGAAAAGCUUCAUGUAAGGGGACUCAACAACAAUGGCAUCAAUACCACCCUUCCUGCUACCUCGAGACAUAGCAUCAUGAUAGUCCUCGAAUCUUCUGUAGCUCCUCAACUUUGACUCGUUCAGGUGCAGUUCAAUAAUCAAAAAAUCUCUGGUGAAAGAACCAUGCUGAUGACCGACAUAAUACUCCUCCGAAAAUGAAAAUUCCAACUGAUCAACAGUGAAAAUUGACGAUAAUUUCGCUGUGUAACUUUGCAUCAAUAUGAAUGCCACAAAUAGCCAUACAACUAACACAAACCUUGACCAGUUGUUAGAAACCAUAUUCCCUGUCAACAACACAAUAUAUGGUCUGGUGAUUAAAGCAUUUAAGAAUUGGUUCAUCAUCUAUUUGUUUAUAGAAGUGUAAGGGAAAGCAAAAAGCUUGGAAAGAAUUUAGUUGUAUUGGAAGAUCGUCUUACUUUCAGGAAAUGCAAGAGCUGCAAUAGGAAAAACGAACAAGCCAACUUGUUGCCCGCGGGGCAUUGAAGAGCCAGCAUCAGUGCUGUUUCUUUCACACUCCAUUAUUCUGAGAACAACUUCUAUGAAGAUACAUGCCACAAUGAUGGCCAGCCAAAGAUCCCACCUUAAAGGCUUUAAGAAAAUCCACAUAUCUAUGCUCAUUUUGUUUUUGACAACCAUAACAACUCCUGAUUCAGUAUAUGGGAGGGUAAAAUCAACAAAUGCAGCUCGAUCAGCCAGAAUUGUUAUGUCUCCCACCACAAAAUCAUAUGUCUGCCUUAUCAAAGAAAUGGAGGAAUGUUUCAGAUUGUUUCCAAUGUUAUUCCUAACCAAAAACAAUAUAAAAAUCACUGUUUAAACACUGGAUAUUAUACGCAUGAACCACACAAACCUGAUCAAGUAUCUUAUGAAGCAGAUCAGUGUAACUCCCAUUACGAUGUCCACUUGCAUUCAUAAAAGGCACAAACUCAUAAUCGAGCUUGAAAGGUAAUAGCUGCAAUGAAGCAAUGAACACAUCUAUAGAAAAUCCACUUACUUGAGGCUGAUUUGUUAAAGGAUCUACUUGUACUUUCACAAAUUCAGUGAAACCUUCUUUCUUAGGUACCCCAACUUUAAGUUUUCCACUUGAAGGAAUAGCCCAACCUCUUGGUGGUACUAAUGUAUCUCCUGGCCACAUAAUUGUUUUGAGUUCUUUUGCGGAAGUUGACCGUAAUAUUUUGGAAAUUCCUCUACUUGGAGUCCAGUAUCCAACUGUCCUAUCUCCUGUUCCAAUCAUAUUGAAUAUCUCAAAUGCUAAAGGUUUCAGUUCACCAUCAACCAGUUCGAAUUUCCCACUCAGGCCUGAGAAUUUUGUAUGGGAGAGUUCAGUCAAAAGCUUCUGGCCAAUCUUGGAGAUACCUAAAUUGGAAAUCUCACGUUCAUUUUCUCCAUGGCUUAGCUGUAGGAGAUUAGAGCUCACAGGCAGAAGUUUUUCAAUUGCCAUUGCUAAGGCUCAGACUGUGUCAUAUGCCCACAAACCAUAGAUAUUUAGAUCCGUCACUGGAAUUUCAGGUUUCAUCAAUAAUGCAUUCUUUGUCCACCUUUCUUGGAAAUCCUUGAGCUUCUUGGACUUAGGUACACAAUGCCUUAUGCCCAAUACACCUUCCAAAGAAGAAGAAUCCUCAGAAUUUAGGAAGUUGGAGAAACUAUCAGUAAUGAGCCAGGCAUACCCUUCUGUCAUCAUUCCAGCUUUUCUUGCAAGGUUAAAAAGCCUAUAUCCGAGUAAUGUAUUCAUGUGCACCAGGAAUACCCUGGUUUGCAUGGCCAUCAAUUUUUUUAGUUCUUUUGUAAUGUAAACAUCAUCAGCCGAUGUAGAGACAGCACUCGAGUAUCCUACACGAAUAUCAACUUCUUGGAAUUCUUUAUUUAGCUUAGACAUGAAUACAUUUCCAUGGCGAUUGUCUUCAUAGAUAACGACUAUGUUAUGCCAUCCAAAUUGUUGGCAAAUGGCCGCGAGACCUUUGACUUGGUAUAAGUCAUCUGGAGACAUUCGAACAAAGUAAGAGCUCUUAGUAUGGGAAAAGCCUUGGCCCUCUGCAGUAAAGGAUAUAACAGGCACAUGAGCCCUUGCUCCAAGUUCUACAACAAAUGCAGAUUCAGUCAACGACUCUGGCACCAAAACACCAUGCACUUCCUCAUUCUUCAGCAAUUCUAGAACUGCAAUUAAUUCACAAACAGAAAUUCUAAAGCUGCAUUUUAUUCACAAAAAAUGGGUUUCUAUCUAUACGUUUAGUAAACACUAUUCUAAAAUUGGAUUUCAUACUUUGAAUAGAUUGUUGAUUAUGUUCAAUCAAGGGUAGAAAACAAACCUCUGAUAUUCUUUGUCUGUUUACCUAUCUUUUGUUUUUGCACUUCAUCACCAGUUUUAGAAGAAAACAAACCAAUUUGUGACAUUACAUCCAUCAACUGUGUCCUGAAAUUGCUGUGAAAACCAAUUAUAAAUAUGAUCUAAAUUCUGCCUAAUGAAUGAGCUUCCUACAUGAAGAGAACUCUAGAAAGAUAGCUGGCAUGGACACCAUGACCGACAUAGCAAGUCAAGUAAAAGCCGCAUUGAAAUGAUUAUCCAUAACGACUAUAUUACAGAAAAUUUGAAAUAAAAUGCAAAAAGGAUUUGGGACAGGAUUUGCAUCUUUUUUAGUUAGUGGCAUACUAUCUUUAAAAUGGACAAGACUUCACGAUUUUAAAAAACUUGCUUAAUUUGUCUUCUGAGGGUCAAUAUAGCUUGAGUCAGUUACUUCCCACCUCACUGGUGGAAACGAAACAAAUAGUAAGCAAGCAACAUCUUUUAACAAGCUAAGUAAGAAAUCUUUUAUUAACCUGAAAGAUUCAACCGCUGGCAAUAAUUCAAAAUUCAAAGAAAAUGAACUAGUACCACCUGCAGACGCCACUCCAAACUCCCCCUUGGCAUUCUUGCGGUGGAGAGAUAACCUUGUUUGAUAAUUUGAAUGAACUGAAUAGAAGUCUGAAUGUGCCAUCGACAAGCACAAGUCUAACAUGGCUCCCAUGGGUGAAUCCAAAUCAAGAACUACACCAAUGCGGAUGGAAGAAUAAGUUGAUGACAGUCCAGUUUCAUCCGUAUCAUUACUCGAAUCAACUAGAGACGUGAGGGAAAGCAAGAAAACAAGGGCAAACAAAAGAAGGCUUUUAAUAGCCAUUGCUGGAAGCAUCUUAAAGGAAUGCAUGCUCUGAGCUAUUAAAAGGAUUCUGAAGAGAAACUUCAUGGCAGCAAAAGAGGGCAAGGGAAGACUUGAGUAGCAAGAUAAGCAGAAAAUAUCUCAAGAUUGAAGCUAUUUAUAUAGCGAGGGACAAUGUCAAAUCAAAAACCAGUGUUCUACUGUUAACUAAACUGGAAAGGAAUUCAACAAUGUGUGGAAACUCUAAAGCUUGAAAUGGUCAUUGAAGUUGUACAUGAAGGUGACAGGAAAGGAUAAAUAUGUCUAUGGUUAAAACUUAUGCUCAAGGGGGAUUUCCAGGAAACACCCAGCCAAGAAGUAUAUUUACUACUCAGUACCGUAUCAAAGAGGGAGCUAGGUAGCUAGACAAUGAAAAGGUAAAACGAUUUAACAAUACAGCCAAGGUUAUUUGAGCUUUUAGAAUAAAAUAACACCCAAAUCAGUGUGAACCGUAGUAAAUGAUUCAAGUAGUGUUUUUGGAGACAUUCUGCAAUACUAUAUCUGUUUUUUAUUAGCAUCCAAAAUGUCUAGGCAUUACAUUGGAAGUAUCAGUGUUCAUACUCUAUCUGUGGAGAAUAUUCCCAACUCGAUCUCCUUUGGCCUAGUUCAUGGACUAACUCUUGAUACAUAGAAGAUUCUCCUUCUCCUCGUUCUUCUUUAUAUUAGACAGAUCCAAAACUUAGGUUCUCCUGCACAAUCCGACAUCUCCAUCUCCUAGUGAAGUUUCUUUUAUGUAUUCCUUGUCUUUCCGCUUUUGUUACCAAUGGUAGCAUGAGUGCAAUUGGCGGAUGAUUAGUAAUCAAACUAGCUAAGAGCAGAAUAGCCGGAUCAUUUGCAAGUCCAUCAUAGAAAUCCCGUUUAACCAUUCAAAGAACCUUGAUUUUAUGAAUAUACUAAUGAGCAUUGUAACCAUUAUUAAUCCAACCUUUUCUGCAGUUGGCACAGACAUGUUAGUAAUUAAUUUCUUGCAUAUUGUGGUAUUUGUUACCACCAUUCAAAAGAAUUUCUCCCAUUGUUAGUCUUGUAAAACUAGAAUAACAACAAAAUCAUCGAAGGCAACAAUGGCAUUUUUAAUGGCCGAGCUCUGGACUGUUGUGGACUAAAUAAAUCACCAAAGUUUGACUUAACGGAAUAAGGUAGUUUGUCACAAUCCUUUACUUAAAAGUGGAUGUCAUGCCCCAUCAACCUUCUUGUAUCUUUCCAUGUAUAUCACGAAUUGACUAGCCAAAUUUUUUUUCUUAAUCUAAAUGCUAAGAGUCUCUAUUAAGCAAAAUGUACUUUUGCGUGAAAACUGAGAAGUCUAAAAUCUUGGAGUUAACCUGGCCACCAAAACCAAGCUCAAGAUUUGGCUUGCUCCCAUAAACCAUAGGCCUCUUUCUUCAUGACACUGAAGACGAACAAUCUUCCAGCUUCCACAAUGAUGUAUUCUUGACAUGGUUGAUGGAGAGGAAGAGAAUCCAAGACUAGAGAGAUGGAGGAGGAGGAAGGGGGGGGGGGGUGGAAGAUGUUGAAGAAAGGAAAAAAGUUAAAAACAAAGUGGGUGCUUCAAGGGCGUGACUUACAUCGGACAGGUGAACUGGCGCCUUCAGGUUUCAGUGGAAGAAGCCGUCGUCACAUUACAUGGUUGAGUAUAACGCCUUUUAGUGAGUACUUUGUGAGACCCCAAUUUCGGAGUCCGUACAUCCUGACAAAUCUGAAAAUUUACCUGUGUACCAAUAGGUGCACUUCUACAUUCCUUUAAAGAAGGAUGCCCCAACCUUAGCGUGAUUAUUUGGUAUUAAAGGAACAGCAUCCAUGUUUUUGACAAAAAAAAUGCUUGGACGCUUUCCUAGAUCAUAUGUGAAUCAGUAUGGAUUUCCUGCAUAGAAUAGGGAAAAAAGGAAAGACUAAAUAAAGUAAAUUUACAACUAGAAGCUGGAAUAUGAAUCAACUUAAUCUACAAUAUGUUCCUGUUGUUAAACAUAUAAUCGAACCCAAAUAAACAAAAAAUAAAAAAUCAUGUAGAUCCCCUCAUCGAUUCACAGACAGGCGAACCAAAGCUUAGUAACUAGCUAAAAUAAAAAUCGAUGAACCAUAAGGAAUAGCUUCAUGCAACAUGUUCAGCCCUCUAAGUUGUGACUUGAAUAACUUUUUUGCUCAAAAAGCACCAAAGAAGCCCGAGACAAACAUUCAGAUUAUAUCCUACUUGCUGAAGUUUUUACAUGCUUCUAGUACUUCAUGAACUGAUCUGUCUUGCAGAAACAGCAAUGUCUCUUUGCUCAGACUCAGUUUCAUUUGCUUGACCAUCUGUAGCUGAAAUGUCCGCAUUUCUUUGCUCAGAUUCACGGGCAGGUGCGCCUGGUCCAGACGAAUCAUCUAAAUUUAGCCUAUCAGAGUCAUCAGGCCCUUGUUCCUUUUCACUGGAUGAAUCUCCACAGCGAUCAGGAUUGGCUGUCGAGUUAACUUUUGGUUCGUUCCCCCUGAAUGAUAGGAAAACGGAACAUCUGUGGUGAUAGUACCUGACCCUUUCAGUCAGCUUUUGACCAACUGAGGUCUCAGAGCAGAACAAUGCAAAUAACAGAGCUGAGGCUACUAGAAUAAAAAGUCCUCCAAAAUCAAAAGUUGUUAAACUCGGGCUUUGCUUGUUGACUGAAUCACUUUGAUUAAAAGGCGAAUACUUAGGUCCAAAAUUCCUUUGCUCAAUUGCAUUCAUAUUUUCAUCUUCUGUCACUGAUAGGAUUGCUCUUGAGAAGUUAACAACUAGUGGAGACUUCAAAGGGAACGCCUGGAGAAACAUUGUAUGAUAUUUUCAAGUAUAAAUAUAGAAGUUGUCGUACAGAAAUAAAGAAACACAUGUCAAUGCACACAAUUCCAAUUUCUCAAGCAAUAAAAUCUGUAUAUAAAAGUUCACAUCUUAUAUUGUACAAAUGCUUCUGAGCAUGUGACUGUGUUGAAGCGUGCUCAUAUACUGUCCUAUUAUACCUGGAUGGAACACACAAAGAGGGAGGGAGAACUUACAAAGCCAAAUCCAUCUGUCCUGAAUGUAGUGCCUACUAUUUUAUAGUCGGAGUCGUAUCGAUCAAGAAACAGCUUCAUAUAAGGGAUUUCAUCAAAGAUGGCAUCAAUUCCUCCAUUUUCGCUCCCCUUAUUCAUGGCAUAAUGAUAUUCCUCAAUAGUUGAGUAUUCCUUGAUCUUUGACUCAUUAACAUGGAGACGAUCUACCAAGAAAUCUUUCGUAAAGCUGCCUUUUUGGAUGCCGAUGUAAUAGUCAUUUGAAAAUCUGAAAUCUAGCUGAUCUACUGUGAAAAUUGCUGAUAGAUUUGCGGUGUAGCUCUGCAUCAUGAUAUAAGCCAUUAACAACCACACUACCAACACAAACCUCGACCAGUGGCUGGCAACCAUGUUUUCUGUCGGCAGCAGAACAGAUAAUAUUACUUGAGUUGAUUGCUCAAUACUUACUAUUCAUUUAUAUGUAGAAGAUAGGAAAAUACUAAUCUCUGCAACUUCUACAACAUUUAUACUGGUCAAGGAACAACACAUAUAGAAAAUUCAUUAGAAAACGUGUCAAGGAGAACUUACUUUCAGGGAAAGCAAGAAUAGAAAUUGGAAACCAAAAGAGAAAUCCAAAUUUCUGAUUAUUUGUUUCAGCAGAAUCAGACUUCUCAUUUUCUCUAUGCUCCAAAAGCCUGAGUACUAUCCCAAUGAAAAUGCAGGUGCUGAUAAUCGUCAGCCAAAGAUCCCACCUAAAAGGUUUUACAAAACUCCACAUGUCUUUCCCCUUUUUAUUUUUUACCACCAAAACAGUUCCUGAUUCAGAGUAUGGCAAUGUAAAGUCAACAUAUCCUGCUCGGUCAGCCAAAAUCGUUAUGUCUCCCACAGCUAUAUCAAAAGCCUGUUGCAGCGUCAAAAGAAAGAGAAAGCAAUAUCAGAUUGAUGCUACACUGGUUCUCUGUAAGUCUAUCACCAAGCAAACAGUUCUUAAAAGCAAAGAGAAAAUCUAGAAACAAACACGCAGAAAUGAGAAGAAACCAACCUUGCCUACAUUGUGAAGAAGAUCAUUGUAAGUUCCAUUACCGAAUCCACUUUCAUUUGUAAAAGGGAUGAUCUCACAAUCAACACUAAAAUUCAGCUGCGCCAUUACAGCACGGAAUAUAUCUAGUGAAUAACCAGUGAUCUUAGUCUGGUUUGGAAGAUUGUCUGGAACAUUGACAAAUUCAGUGAAACCAUAUUUCUUGGGGACCCCUACUCUUAAUUUCUGAAUAGCCACUCCUUUUGGCUGUUUUACUGAAUCUCCAGGCCAUAUAAUGGUCUUUAGUUCCUUUAUGGAAGUUGAAUAUGAUUGUCUAGUGCUUGAAGACAAUUUUGGCAUAAUUCCUUGAUCAGGUGUCCAGUAACCAAUCGUUUUAUCCCCUGUUUCAAACACAUUGAAUAUCUCCAAGGAUGAAGCCUUCAGCUGCCCAUCAAUUAAGUAGAACUCUCCAGUCAAGCCUUGAAAUGUUAUGGUCUGGAGUUCUCUUAAAAGUUUUGGGCCAAUUUGAGAGAUUUGUACACCGAACAUGUCACUUCCACUCUUGCUGUUGUUGAUAUCCAAGAAGACAGGGUUUACUGGUCCAAUAGUUUCUACUGCCAUUGCCAGUGCCCAAACCGUAUCAUAUGCCCACAAACCAUACACAUUUAGCUCUCUCCCUGUACUUUCAGGUUUCAUCAGAAGCAUAUUCUUUUUCCACCUAUUUCUGAAAUUGUCUAGAUUCUUUGUCUUAGGUACAUGAGUCCUUAGACCUAAAACACCUUCCAUGCAUUCAAUGGCAGCAGAAUCUAUAGAGUUCAAGGAGUUGCCUAAGCUAUCAGUGACAAGCCAGGCAUAUCCUUCACUCAUCAUGUCCGCCUUUUUGGCAAGAAGAAAUAGCCUAGACCCAAGUACAGCAUUCAUAUGCACUAAGAAGACCCUAGUUUGCAUUUUCUUCAAUUUUUUCAGUUCGUUCAUGAUGUGACGGUCUUCAGCUAAUUUUGAGAUGGCAACCGCGUGUGCAAGCUGGAUAUCAGCAUCUUGGAAUGCUUUAUUCAGCAUAGACAGAAACCGAGUAGCAUAAUUAGUAUCUUGAUACAAAACGACUGCUUCAUGCCAUUCAAAUCCUUGGCAGAUGGAAGCAAAAGCUUUUGCUUGGUCUAAGUCAUUUGGUGCAGGUCGAAUGAAGUAAGGGCUUGGUGUAUAGGAAAGAGAACCGCCUCUAUCAGUAAAGGAUAUUACAGGGACAUGAGCUUUCCCUCCAAGUUCCGUUACUAAUUUACCUUCUGUCCAUGUUUGAGGCCCUAGAAUACUAUGCACUUCUUCAUUCUUUAUCAGUUCAAGGACUGCAUUGCAUUUGAAGAAAACAAAAAAUUAGUCAUCGUGAUCUUAAUUUCUUGGCCAUAAUAGUAUUUUACCUUUUUAUUGAUACUAACUUUGAUCUAAAUAGCCACCCCUGCCAUUAUCAUCUUUUUCACACUUUUCAGUUGUAGUGUUAUCGAUAAAUUUCACACUUACAAUAAUUUUGACCAUGACAUUGAAGAUGCCAUUUCAAAAUACUUAAAUCAGCAAAUAAAUAUGUUACAAGGGGACAUUAGAUUUGACUUUUUGAUUAUCAGCAUCAGAAAGGACCUUCAAUGCAUAUUCUUCUACCUUAAGCAGUAUAUUACAGCAGUAAAUAAAGAAAAGAAGGAUAUAUGACAGAAAGAUGAUACAGACCACAAUUUACUUUGCAUGUGCUAAAUGGAGAGUUCUAGCGGAAAUGAUGAAACAGCAAGUUUUAAAAACGAAAUGCACAUAGAUAAAACCUGCAGAUGUCAUAUGGAAAUCAUUGUGAGCAUAUUUCCUGUGGAUAUCCAGUCUUGUUCGAUAAUCUGCAUGCGUGGCAUAGAAAUCCCAAUGUGCCAUUGAAAUACAUACAUCUAUCAUGGCCCCCAUGAAAGAAUUGGAAUCAAGAACAGCACCAAUGCGGACCGAGUAAUGCGUUGGUGCUACUGUUCCAUUUGACCCAUCUCCAGCUGCAGCAGCAGCGCCCAUUUUGCACGCAAGGUAGAAAAGGAAGCAAGCUACAGAAACAAACCCUUGAAAUCUAAUCAUUGUGAAUUUGUAAUUCCUCUUAAGUCCUAACACGGUAGGCUAUUCUGAACUCCUGGCCAGUUUGAUAGCUGUUUCUCUUUUGAUCUAGGUAUCUGAUACCAAAAUGUAUUAGCCCUGUAAAGGAUAAUGGUUUACCUAAUAGUAGCUAUAUUUAUUUGAAGAACUUUGACUUUGAAAGAUUGUAUACUUUUCCUUGAGGAAGAAUGACUGAGUGAAAUAGUCAUGGAUUACAUGGAUCUAGCUAUGAGAAGUUUGAGUAGUCCAACUUGACUGCAAGAAGCAAAUGAGAGCAGCACAAUGACGAAGCUACUUAGAAACUGAUUGCUUAGCAAACACAAAGUUGCUUAGAACAUUCAGAGAGUCAGGUCAGGACCUGGGAAAGUAAAUUGGUCAGAUAAAUUGCUAACAUGAAUCAAGAACAAGUUAAUUUAAAGGGACGGAUAAAUGCUUUAUAUAAAAUCUUGAAUUCUUGGAAAUCACUAGCCAAGAGAUAUCUCAAGUUGUCGAGAAGCCCUUGAUCUAGUGACUAAGGUUGAAAAUCUUGGGAUUUUAGAAAUUAGAGGCCUUAGAUUCAAUUCCCCUCUCCUCCCACCUCGCUUCUUAAAUCCGCGCAAUAAUACGUCCCACCAAUCAAAUUUUGCACAGUAACACGCAACCUUGCUAGAAGAGUUGCUAUAUAAGAUAUUUUCUCUAUCUUUCUGUGGAAAUUCACCAUAGAAUUAAUUGAGGUUGAGAGAUGAUAUUGAAGUAAAUUAUGAAGGAUGCCACGAUCUUCAAAUAGUAAAUUCAUUCAUUCGGACUAAGUGAUAAGACAGGGUAUCAAAGUUGACUCUAGUGAUUGUAUCCAAAAUUUUGUUCCGGACGCCACGCGACAAAAAAUAAAAAAUAAAAAAUAAUCUCAAUAUCAAGUCUCCCGUAGUUCUGCGGGUACAGUUCUGCAGGUGGAUACCUAAUAAUUAGCAGCCGACGACAGAAGCAAAAAGUUAAACACCUGCUUGCAGUUGACUUAAUAAUCUUGCUUCUUGUCAACUUUGAUUUCCUGGGUAAAAGUGCAGCAGCUAAGCGAGUAAUGGAAAAGAAACUUUCAAUAUAAGUAACUAAUGGUAGUGUGUGUUUUAUGUACAGUUACCUUCUUUUUAAGUAUUUAUCUUCAUGUUGUCUCUACAUAGUAAUAUUUAUUUUUAUUUAUUUUCCACUCUUUACCUACCAUUAGAGUGGACUUUCAUGAGAAUACGCUUCUGUAAUUGUCUUCAAAAUUUAGAAUUCAAUGCCAAAGAUCUGAGUCACUCACUCACUCUUUACGUGGCCAUGGCUAAAAAUUGAUUCAUUUUUUCCCUUGUUCAAAAUGCAUGGAAGCAUAUUGCUUUUAUGAUUGAAUAUUUCCCAGUCAACAUCCCACCAACCUUGCGGUCUAGAUAAUCGAUCGAUUAAGGAGUAAAAGAAUAGCAAUAAUUUUUGGAUUGGAACAUUCGUGAAUAAUUGUGUGAAAACGAAAAACUGUUUAGAGCCAAAUUGCUUCUAAAUGAAAGUUGCAUCUAUGAGAAGAUUCCUCAUCUUGAAUCAAAAUAGAACAUUGGCCAAGAAAAAAAGACAAUCAAUCCAUCAAUAAAUAUAUACGACAUGCUAAAAUCAAACAAAAACAUGACUCCAAGCCAUUCCAUUUGUUAGCUGAAUGACUCCAAGCUACUUAUUACACUAUUAAUUUCAUUCCAUUAUUAGACACAAAGGCAAAAUAUGUGCCGUAUUAUGUAACCACACAAUCCCUUCUCUUUUUUUUUUGGGUAGCUGCUCAAAACAACUCGACCAUGGUUACAGUGAAAGAUAAAGUAGCUGUCUACAUGUAUUGUACCCAAAGCUCUAUUUAAAAGGCUAGAGCACAGGCUCAGUUAAAAGGUCUACAGAUUAACCAGCAUGAAUAACUCCCGCUCAUGUUUGUCCCGGAUCAUCUGCAUCCCAAAAGCUGGCUGCAAGAACUAUUUGCUGAAACCAUUGAAGCCUGGGAUUCCCUUUCUUUCCUGUCUGAAAUAUUUACAUUACUAUAUGCUUAUUCAAGAACCAGUUUGUCUAGCUGAAACAUCGGUGCUUGUUUGAUCAGUUAGCUGAACUUCCUGGAUUGAUUCACUUUCCACAGUUUCAUUAGCUUCACCAUCUCUAGCUGGAGUAAUUAGAUGGCUUUUCCCUGAAUCAUGAUCUAUGCCUGGUCCUGACAAAUCAUUUACAUUGAACUGGUCAGGCCCUCGAACUUCUUCUUCGCUAGAUGAAUCUCCAUUGGAAUCAGCAUGGACCAUUGAGCGACCCCUUGAUUUGCCGUUUCUUCUGAAUGAUAGUAAAGAGAAACAUUUGUGGCCAUAAGAUGUUGCCACUGCGACGAUUCGACCAACUGGAGUCUCGGAGCAGAACAGUGCAAAUAUCAAUGCUAAGCCUAUUAUGAUAAAAAGUCCUCCAAAGUUGUAAGCAGUUAAACUGGGGCUAGCUUUGUUGAUUGCAUCAUUUUGAUUAUCAGAAGAGUAUCUAAGUCCAAAGUUUUUCUGCUCUAUUGCAGUCAGGUUUGUAGCUUCUGUCACUGCAAGGAUUGCCCUUGAGAAAGGGACUACCAGUGGAGAUCCUAAUGGGAGUGCCUGGAUCAACAUUGUUAAAUUACAAUGUUAAAUUACUGCAUAUCAUCAGAUGUAUUUCAGAAAGAAAAAUGAUUUGGUGAUGCAAUUUUCUCGAACCAUAAGAAUUAGGAGAAAAUUCUGUAGAUUUAGAAGUAAAUUAUUGCCAUAAUAGAUAAAUCAUCGACAUCGAAACGGGAAAAUCAACCUAACAGGAAGAGAGAAAAGGGUUAGAUUACUCACAAAGCCAAAUCCAUCUGUCCUGUACGUAGGUCCAACUAUUUUGUAUUUGGAAUCAUAUCGACCAAGAAACAGUUUCAUAUAAGGGAUUUCAUCAAAAAUGGCAUCAAUUCCUCCAUUUUUGCUGCCUUUAGACAUGGCAUCAUGAUAUUCAUCAAUGGUUGAGUAUUCUUUGAUCCUUGACGAAUUAAUGUGGAGACGAUUUAUCAAGAAAUCCCUCAUAAAGGUACCUGAUUGGCAGCCAACGUUAUAAUCAUCGGAAAAUCUGAAAUCAAACUGGUCUACUGUAAACAUUGCUGAUAAAUUUGCUGUAUAGCUCUGCAUCAGGAUGAAAGCCAUGAACAACCAUACAGCCAACACAAACCUCGACCACUUGUUGACAACCAUAUUCCCUGUUAGCAGCAGAAGGUAAAAGCUAUUUCAUUUAUUUAUUUGCAGAAGACAUAACACAGAACAUAAAAUAUGUUCUUUGUGUAAUAAAGGCAUGGAAAAUGAAAGGCACAUUUUGGGAUGUUCACUAGAAAUUGAGAGCUAUGGUAACUUACUUUCAGGAAAAGCGAGAACUGCAAUUGGAAACCAAAAGAGCAAGCCAAGUUGCUGUUCAUGUGGUCUAAGAGAAUCAGAAUCCUUCUUUGCUCGGUUCUCUAAUAUUCGAAGGACUAUUCCAAUAAAAAUGCAGAUACUGACAAUCGUUAGCCAAAGAUCCCAACUAAAAGGCUUUUUGAAUACCCACAUGUCUUUCUCUUUUUUGGGUUUAACCACCAUAACAGUUCCGGAUUCAGAGUAUGGCAGUGUAAAAUCAACAUAUUUUGUCCGGUCAGCCAAAAUCGUUGUGUCACCAACCACCAUAUCAAAAGUCUAUUUCAUCAUCAAAACGAACGAAAAGCUAUAUCAGAAUGAUUGUAUACUUAUUCAUCGUUUAUAUAUGUCAAUUUACCAAGCAUCCCAAAACUGAGUAACAAGUAGAAAGAGAGAGAAGUAGAGGUGAGAAGAUACCAACCUUGCCUAGUAUGUUUUGAAGAAGUUCGUCAUAUGUUCCAUUACUGAGUCCACUUUCAUUUGUAAAAGGAAUAAAUUCAUAAUCAACACUGAAAGGUAGCUGUUGCAAUGCAGAAAGGAAUAUGUCUAUUGAAUAACCAGAGACUUUAACCUGCUUUGUCUGAGGAUCUGUUGAAACAUUGACAAAUUCAGUGAAACCAUUUUUCUUAGGGAUCCCCACUUUUAAUCUCCCUGUUGAAGGAAUAGACCAGCCUUUUGGCUGCUUUACUGAAUCUCCAGGCCAGACAAUGCUUUUUAAUUCCUUUGUGGAAGUUGAAUAUUUCAGGCGACCUGUUAAAUCUAAUUUUCGCGUUAUUCCUCCAUCCGGUGUCCAGUAACCUAUUGCUCUGUCUCCUGUUGCAUAAACAUUGAAUAUCUCCAAAGGUGAAGGUUUCAGCUGUCCAUCAAUUAAGUGGAACUCUCCAGACAAGCCUUCAAAUGUUGUACUUUGGAGCUCUCUUAGAAGUAUUGGGCCCGGUUGAGAAACUCUUAAAUUAAAAUUCUCAUUUCCAUUCUUGCUGUUGCCUGACUCCAAGAAGCCAAGAUUUACUGGUCCAAUUUUUUCCACUGCCAUCGCUAAUGCCCAAAUUGUGUCAUAUGCCCAUAAACCAUACACAUUUAGCUCUGUCAAUGUACUCUCAGGUUUCAUCAGAAGCAUAUUCUUCUUCCACCUGGUUUUGAAAUUUUCUAGAUUUCUUGAUGCUGGUACAUAAGGCCUUAGGCCUAAAACACCUUCCAUGGAAUCAACAGCAUCAGAAUCGAUAGAGUUCAUGAAAUUGCCUAUGCCAUCAGUAAUGAUCCAGGCAUACCCUUCACUUGUCAUUCCGGCAUGUUUGGCAAGAAGAAAAAGCCUAGAUCCAAGUUGAGCAUCCAUAUGCACCAGGAAGACCCUAGUCUGCAUUGUCUUCAGUCUGUUCAGUUCUUUCCGAAUGUGAUGGUCUGCAGCUGAUGUCGAGAUUGGGACCACAUAAGCUGCUCGAAUGUCAUCCUUUUGGAAUGCAUCAUAUAUCCUGGAAAGAAAUUGACUGCCAUAAUCAGAAUCUUCAUACAAAAUGACUGCUUCAUGCCAUUCAAAUCCUCGGCAGAGGGCAGCCAGAGCUUUCGCUUGGUUUGAAUCAUCUGGUGUUGUCCGAAUGUAGUAAGGACUUUGUCUGGAGGAAAGAGAUUGACUUCUAGCACUGAAGGAUAUAACAGGCACAUGAGCUUUUCCUCCUAGUUGCACCACAAAUUCAUCUUCUGUCAACAUUUGUGGGCCCAAAAUGCUAUGCACUUCUUCAUUCUGCAUCAAUUCAAAGACUGCAUUCCAUUCCAAGAAAACAGUGUUAGUCCUGGUAAAUUUUUGUAUUUUACAUCAUUGAGAACUGUUUCACAUAGUACGAUUUGUAUGCUCCAAUGAAAAUUCAAGGUUGUGUAUCAGAGUUUAAUUUCUUUCAUCCAGGAUUAUAUAGGGGAAGACUUUGACAUUUCUUUCCAUCAAUAAAAUCUUUUGGAGGCUUUCAAAUACAAAACUUUGAUAGUAUUAACAUUUCAAUCACCAAAUUGAACGUGUCAAAUAAAUAUGAUUCAAGUUAAGGAGUAAUAUGUAUGUGGAGGAAAGAUGAGUUUUAGAAUCAUAAUCAGAAGAGAAAGAACCUCUAUGCAUACCAUUAUGCAUCGAGAAGCAUUAUGGAAACAACAAAUGAACACUGACGACUUCAAUAAAAAGGUGAUACAUAACCAAUGCUGAGAUGGAGGAACAAAUAUUUGCAACUGCUAAAAAUAGGACUUCAAUUAUGGCAAUGAUGUAGCAGCAAUAAUUUCAAAACUAGAAGCACAAAUAUUCCAUUAUAACCUGCGGAUGCUCCAUCCAAUUCAUCAUGAGCAUAUUUCGUGUGAAGAACUAAUCUCGUUUGAUAAUCUGAAUGCACAGCAUAGAAAUCCGAGAGCGCCAUAGAAAUGCAUAAAUCUGCCAUGGCUCCCAUGGAAGUAUUGUAAUCAAGAACUGUUCCAAUGUGUACUGAGAAAUGAGUUGGUGCUGCAGUUGCAUUCUUUCCUUCAUCUCCAGCUGCAGCAGUAGCAAAUCCUCCAUCCCACAUCAGAAAAAAUAUCACGUACUUGAAGGACAGGAAGCGUCUGAUAGUAAGCAUGUUGAAAUUGCAAUUUCUCAUUAGAGGCAUUUUUAACUUUUGGCCCUGUUGCUCAAAGUCUUUUUCUUAGCCUUAUAAAGAAUUAAUGAUAGUGUAUUUAAUAGCCAAUCUAAGGUUCCAUCAGACAAUUUUGGGAUGAUAUAUAUAGAUUGAACUUCUCCUUUUCCUUGAGGAAGAAGAGUACUUGAACCACAUGGCAGCCCUGAAUUCGAUUCUGAGAGCUAUAGUAAGGAAGUACGAGUCUUUUUCUGCCCUCCUUCCUACACCCCACCCCCCCCCCUCCUCCCCCGGCGGGGGCCCUUUCUCCCUCUCGACAAGUUGACUAGGAGAAGUUUGACGAAUUCAAUAUUCAGUAUGGACUAUGGAGCCCGUAGCAAUUAGAAUGGUACAAUGCGAAUGCACUUGGAAAUGGGAAUGGGAUCUCGUGGAGCUUGAAGUUUCUUGGAAAGUAGGCAGAGUAAGGUUUGGACCAGGGAAUUAACACAACCAUUUCUGAAACUGGCAUUAGACAAUUCAUGCUGUUCUACAAAGAGAGUUUCAUCCAAAUUUUACUGGGCAUUUUGAUCAUGUCUCCUUUAGGAAUAUUUCAAUUAUAGUCUAGUCAAAUGAAAUUUCCGGCAGCAGGCAGAACACAUUCUAGAAAAUAAUUUAGCCGAAAAUUCAAGAAAUUAGUUUGACUCCAAAAUUUAGCCUAGAAAGCGUGGCAUGCAAUAUAUACAGCACUUUGAGACACUUGUGUUUGGAAUGCACAUUAUUUACACCUUAUUUACAUACACUGACUUGUUUGCAUCAUUAACACAUUUUUCAAUCACCUUUUUAUCUCACAUGCAUAUAUCACAGCAAAAAAAAUGUUACAGUAGUAUUUUUUCACAAAAUUAUCUCAAAUAAUUUACUAUCCAAACACACAAGAUCGAUCAUUUCCUGCCUUCUUCGUGGCAUACUUGUUUCGUGCUAACCUAUUAUGUCAUCUAGGUCAUGGUCGCAAUGCAUUGAUAAUUAGUCAUCCUUUAAUUUUAUAUUCAAGCAAAGUUACAAUUAAUGAGCCAAAGAUUCCACCAUAUUUGAUCCUGCAACUCCAAAUUCUAUGCAUCAGUAACAUCAACUAACUAAUUUUUUCUUGAUGCUAACAUCAACUACUCCCUUGUCACAGUUGCAUUGGUGUUGUGAUAUGGGCAGUCAAAAAAUAUAUGGAUGGCCUGCUUGAUUUGAUGAGAAAUUUCCGCAGAUGUUACCCCAUCAUUAAUUGUCGUCACGUACGUAACUACAAAAUGAUCCUUCCUCUCCUCUCUAGCUUAUAUAUUCGUGGUUGAGAUUCAAAAAGUACAUAUUUUGCAUUCGUAGAUAGGACAAAGAAUUUCUUUCCAAGGAAAUUUCCCAUCCAGAUCCACAAGAUGUUUUAAACGUCGUGAUCUUCAAGCCAUCAUCUACAGAAAGAAUAUAAUAAUGCCUUUCAACAUCGUUGGAGUUUGGAGUGCCCAGGCUGUCUUUAAGAAUUAAGAAUUGAAUGUAGUGCUUCUAACUGCCAAUGGAGAUUGGCCACACUUUAGCAGCUUGAUGCCAUGGAGAUUGCAAAGAGACGGAGGAUUAAGUAAAAAGAAUAAAGUUGGGCUUCAAAUUCAUGAAUCUAAACUCACACGCGCGUAAAUCAAUAUCCACAUAUAUUAUUGUCAUUAUUAUUACUAGAGCUUCAUUUUCUUUGAUGAAUUUCGGUGAAGAGAUUAUUUGAAACGAUAUUGUAGAUCUUUUUGUGAUGGGAUGCAUGUGAAAUUUAAAAAAAAAAUUUAAUUGAGAAACGCGUUUAUAAUUAAAAAGAGUUGCAAAUCCAAACAAACCAAUUUUGUACCUUGGAUUGCGUAAAGUAGAUGAAUAGGACUACGUGAUGGAACUAACUAUAUGAGCCUCCCUGACUCGAACCGGUUUAGACACGAUCCAAAAGUAAGGAUAAGUCAGAAGUCUUGAUGCUACUGGCUAUCCAUCCAAAAAUCUUAUUCCUAGCGGCCACGGCAAUGGCAAGAAAGAAACAAAAGAUUGAAACCUAUUUUUUGUCAUUAUAUCUCCAAAGAUUCCAAACCGCGUGUAUACCCCACCUAUGGGGAAAGGUUGCUUCAAUUCAAUAAUAUUUACCUAAUGCGUGUGUUAUAAAUCAGUUAGACUCAAACUCAAAUAUUCGAUUCUGAGAUUUUUUAAAUCUAUUCAUGUUUUCAUGUGGUCAUCAAAAGCAGCUAAAAUCUUUCAUAAAAAUCUCUGCAGAAGCUGCAUUUUGCAUUCAACUUUUUCAGUCAUUUGUUGUAGAACACAUCCUGACAGUCUAUGUUCUAGAAUCUGCAAAAAAAACAAAAAAACAAAUGGUGUACCACAUUAAAUCUCACCUUUGUACGGAACUAAAAGCUCCGUUCUCUCCAAAAUUUCUAUAAUCACAUUAUUAUUUUUCCUAUAAUCACGUUAUUAUUGUUUUCUCGAGAAUUCCUAUAAUCACGUUAUUAUUUUUCUUUGUGUGUUUCAGAAUUGAUUAUAAUAGAAGAAUCUCGAAAAUUCCUAUAAUCACAUUAUUAUUUUUCUUUGUGUGUUGCAGAAUUGAUUACAAUAAAAGAAUCGACAUAUAUUUCUUAUAAAAGAACAAGUCUACCAGCCACAAAAAAAUCAGCACACAUGAUGGUAAAUUUAAUCGUUCCCUUCCCAUACAACCAAACUGUACAAGUUAAACAAGAGUAUGAAAACUCAUUGUACCAAUAGCCUCUAAUAUUUGAGAAAUACUAAAAAUUUAUGAAGUAAAGCAAGAACUUUGCAAUUCUUUGAUGAAAUUAUAAUAUUACAAAGUCUAAUGCAAAUGUGAAACUGUUGCGGACAAACAAGCGUGCAACGGGGACUUUAGUUACAAGGGUUGAAAACUACACAAAUAGCCAAGGCAGUAAACUUUAUAACAUUAGGUUCAAAGGGAAAAAAAAAGAUUUACAAUAAUCACAGGCAGACAAGCUCUCGCAAUGUCAUUCAUAGUUGUCCAGAAAACCAGGAGGAGCUGUUGAAUUUAGUCUCCAUGAACCAUAACCGACUGAAAAGGUACCCUCUUCAUUUCAACAAAUGUCGAAAAAUCCUUGUUUAUUGGCUGUUUCCAUGGCUCACCAUCCAUCUGCAUGAAAGCUUCUUUCCAUUCUCCCCCUCUGAGCUCAAAACGAAUAGCUGAAGCCUGGAAAAGCCAUUAGAACUAAAGACUUAGCCGACUGUCAAAGCAAAAAUUAACCCCAACCAGCAAAACCUAAUUAAAGUGCUGAGGUCAUGACCAUAUUAUUUUGUUUGUGCUAACACUCUGCUUUCAGUACCUGUGCAAUGUGUUUGGCAGAGAUCACUUCAGCCAUAACCAUUGAAGCAUGCCAUCCAUGCUUCAGACCAAAAAUUUCUAGCAAACCAUCAUCAGCAUGCGCUUCAACGAAGCCUUUCUGAAAAGUAAUAAUUGAGGAGAAGGAAACCAUAUCAACAUCCAAUAACAUGCGUUCUUUGAGAACUAUCUACGAAAGCUUCAAAUCAAACACUGUGUGUGUGUAUUUCAGGUGAACUUAUGAUUUAGAUGCAAGAAAAAGGCAAUACAGAAGCAGCAAUUCAAAAGUCGAAAACAGGGAAAAUAUAAAGAAAUAUCUGCAAUCUACAGCAACUAUGUAUAACCAUUUUAAAAUGUGUUAAGAAAAGGUGAAAGUAGAAAUAAUUACACAAAGGUUUAUGUUGCACUUUUGGAACUAGGGAGAAACAACAGUUGGAGCUUUUUUGCAAGUUCUGCUUAAUACUCUUAAUCUGGAUUUUAAUUACAAUUAUAGUCACUAAUGUUAAAGAGCUCACAAAAUAAUAAAUAGAUCAAAGGACUACAUCAUGUCAACAAUUAAAAAAAUAGAAGUCCAGAAUGGUCAACCAACCAGGUUAUCAUUUAUGGUGAUAGAUGACCUACAAGGGUACCACUAGCCCAACACAGUGCAAUCGAUAUAAUGUUUAUGUUGCAUCAAAAAAAAAUUUCUCAAUUAUAAGAGAACCAUUUAGUCUUGCCAACCUUCAAAUCUUUUCUGCAAGAGAGAUGGUGAGGGGCACAUUACCGUUCUUUUCUAAGCCUUGGGUUGGAACGACAUUUACCUUUUCCAAAUAGUCUGGCUUCAAAUUUCCCCAUGGGUUUCUUCCACUUCCAUAACUAGGAAGAUUUAGAGCAACUACAGAUCUAACACUGCAACAAGAAAUCAUUGUUAAGCUAAGCAUAUGCAAAUAACAGCCACAAACUUCAGUUAUCAGUUGAAAAUUGUGCUACAUGAAGGUUAAUAAAGAUAAGCCACAAUAAGAAAUAACCGAAUUGGUAAGGAUGUCAAGUCAAAUUUGGGGGCAACAGGCUCGCAUUCCAAACCGACCCUACUACAAAUACUGUCCGCUAAAAGAAUCUUCUAGAUGAAAUGGCUUCUUCACACUGCCAGAAUCCUUUGAUUUGCUUACUUAUCACUCGAGAUCAUAUAUAAAAUUUGCAUGAGAAACUUAUACACCAGAAAUCUGUUGGCCAUCUUUGUGGAUGUCACUUGCUUUGGAACAGCUUGUUGCAAGUAGCCGGGCUUAGUGGGGCAUAAAAAUCUUUAGAAUAUUUAUAACCAAUGCAUGUUGAAUUUUUAUACCAAAUCAUCAUGUAGGCAUAAGUCAAGAUGGUUAAUCACUCAUGUAAUUUCAUUGAACUCAUUACUCAUCAAUACUAGUCAGAAUAACUUGCCUUGUAUAUUCAAAGAGAUCACUGUACUUCAACGAAUCCUUAAGAAAAAAAAUAUCUUUUUGUGUUAAUGACUCAGGUACUUCUAUUGAUAGAUUUCUUAUCAACACUAACCAUUAAAUUUGAGUUCUGCAACAUCUACAACAUAAUCUUAGACGUGCUAAAUGCAAUUAUGUAUCCGAGCAUGAACAACAAAUUGAGUUCUCAGAAACAACCAUUAAAAUCACCAAAUAUUUAUAUAGUAAAACAAACCUAGCUGGGAUAGGGAUUUGCUCCCAGUCUGAACAAUUGACCUUCUUUAUGUGUAUCCUCAGAAUGUUCUUAAGUCCCCUACAUCGAAAAAUGAAUGGCAAAUAUCUAGUUAAUUAACCAAGACAAACAUACCCUAUAUGACUAAACAGCCAAGCUAUAAAUAACCUCAAAAUACUUGUACAAUAAGCAAAGCAACAACAGUAUCAGAUAUCAUUAUUACAGCUAGUAUACUUCCCAAUUCUGGAUAAGUCAAUAUUGAUUCUCAGAAGAAAAUACAGGAAAAACUAACACAAGGAGUACACAGGCAACUAUGGUUUAACCAGUUAAGCUGUAGGUUUUACAGAACAUUGUGCUAUGCUGACAUGAAAUUGUGUAUGAAAGAUAUGGAAAACCAAACAAGCAGAACUGCAAACACAUGAAACUCAAAUAAUAGCAAAAGACCUACUACUGCAAAUAUGGCAGAUAUAGUAUCAACAUACAAAAGCUACGUCAGUUAACAACCAAAAAGCCCUUGUUGAGGAUGCUUCUUUCUCACAGCAGAAAGGAGAAGCUACUUUUACCAUUUGUUAACAAUGCAUCCAAAGACUAACUGAAGAAAAACUCCCUCCUCAUCUCUUCCAAAUUUCAAGUAGAAUAUAAGACGCAUUAGCAUAAUAUGAAAAUAUUGACAUAAAUUGUAUAAAUUCAGAAGAGAGUAGAUAGCAAAAGAUGACUUUAAUGCACCACUCCAUAAAACUUUCACUCAAAUUAGAUGUGAACAUAAAAGACAAACAGACAAAACAAAAUGGCAAAUCAGAGGAAAUUACAUCCUGACCUCAAACUUGGAUCACUGCUGCACGGUGUGAAGAACCAUCCUUGCUUGCAACUAUAUCCUGAGUAAAUUAACUGCAGCCGAAGAGGUAAGCAAAGACUAUUUGCAUGAAUACAAAUUCCACGAAAAAAGUUGCCAUGUUUGUUCCUAAACAACAGUUAGGAAAAAAAAGAAAAAAUGUCACCUUGCAAAGAUCCAGGAAAAAGUGGAGAAGAUCUUGAACAAAACCAUCAUAUUCACAACUGCUAUGUUCUUUUUAUAUUUAGACAUCUACUCCUGAGGUUACAUAACCUUUGUAAUUUUUGAGAAUAAUGCAGCCACAGGAAAAAGGAAAAUCGAAAACACAAAAAGUCAAACAAAAAAAUUGUUCAGAAUUGAGAAAAAAUUAAUCAACAUGUUGAGAUAUAUUGCUGCUUAUUAUUUCCACAAAAUUUAUAACAAUGUUUGAAUAUCAAGUGCAGUAUAACGAGAAGAAAGGCAUUUAAGAUCUACAAAAUAUCAAGUAUAGUAAAUUCAAGUCCUUAGAAAAUUCAAGUCCUUAGAAAACUUAUAUACUACUCUGUAGCUAUUUUCAAGAAAGUUCAGAUCAGCUGCAAAUGAACCAAAGCAAACUUGCGUGGUGAUCAACACAAGCAAAGCCUUCUCAACUUGUCUUUCGUCAAGCUUGAGCAGUUUGAUUAGGUAGCCCAACAACACUAGGAUCAAGUAAUGGCGAAUCUAAUUGAAUUUACAUCUGCUAUAAUAUUCGAUACUACUUAUUACUACAACAUGAAUAUGAACCAUGAUAUUAUAUCUGUCUACGUAAUUCAGAAAGACUAGCAAGAGUACCUGGGAUUGCAGCCACUAAAUGCAUCCUAGGAUUGGAUCAAGGUAACCAUAUGCAUCUAUUGUAUUACAUAAAUAGCCCACUGAAAAGUUACAAGGAAAAUAAAAACAUGCAGAUGUUUGAAAAAAACCUCCCCAAAAUGUCUCCACAGACGAACGCAAUUGUUGAUCUUAUUUUUGAUUGCUAAUUCAAGUAAAUUCAACUCAAGUAAUUUGUAUCUAAAUUCAAGUCCACAAAAUUGAUGUGAUAUUAAAGUAACACCAUGACAAAAAUCGAUAAUCCAUUAAAGCAAAAAAGCUAAAAAAUUGAAGGAGCAGCUCACAAUUUCUGACCGCUCCGAUACUGUGGUUGCUCCAGUCAACGUGUGGCUAACUUGGCUUUCGUGAAGCAUACUACUAAAGCAUAAAAGCCAAAAAACUUUUGCCUCAUGUGAAUAAGAUAUUAAACUUUGUCAGUGAUGCAUAUAAAUUGCGCAACGGAAGGUGAAUGGUGAAGACGACGAAGAGAGGACAGAGGUUGUUUGGGUUUUAGGUUUGUUUCCCUUGAUGAUAAAUUGUGAUUUUGGUUAAAGAGUUUUUAUUUUACUUAGUUUUGGUUAAAGAGAUUAAGUUAUCUGUCCGAUUAAUCGAUUAAUCAAUUUAACAUGGUCCGAGUUAGGUUAUUUGAGGGUUUGAUUUAUUAAGAGACACUUGGCGAGAUUAUAAAAAGUGUGAUAGAGUGUGAUACAGGGUGUGGCACAGAGGAUCCGUUGCGGUACUUUAUGAGACCCCAAUCUCGGAGUCCGUACAUCCUGACAAAUCUGAAAAUUUACCUGUGCACGAAUAGGUGCACUUCUACAUUCCUUUAAAGAAGGAUGCCCCAACCUAAGCGUGAUUAUUUGGUAUUAAAGGAACAGCAUCCAUGUUUCUGACAUAAAAAAUGCUUGGACGCUUUCCUAGAUCAUAUGCGAAUCAGUAUGGAUUUCCUGCAUAGAAUAGGGAAAAAAAGAAAAAGAGUAAAUAAAGUAAAUUUACAACUAGAAGCCGGAAUGUGAAUCUACUUAAUCUACAAUAUGUUGCUGUUGUUAAACAAAUAAUCGAACCCAAAUAAACAAAAAAUAAAAAAUCAUGUAGAUCCCCUCAUCGAUUCACAGACAGGCGAACCAAAGCUUAGUAACUAGCUAAAAUAAAAAUCGAUGAACCAUAAGGAAUAGCUUAAUGCAACAUGUUCAGCCCUCUAAGUUGUGACUUGAAUAAUUUUGUGCUAAAAAGCACCAAAGAAGCCUGAGACAAACAUUCAGAUUAUAUCCUACUUGCUUCAGUAUUUACAUGCUUCUGGUACUUCAUGAACUGAUUUGUCUUGCAGAAACAGCAAUGCCUCUUUGCUCAGACUCAGAUUCAUUUGCUUGACCAUCUGUAGCUGAAAUGUCCGCAUUUCUUUGCUCAGAUUCACGGGCAGGUGUGCCUGGUCCAGACGAAUCAUCUAAAUUUACCCUAUCAGAGUCAUCAGGCCCUUGUUCUUUUUCACUGAAUGAAUCUCCACUACGAUCAGGAUUGACUGUCGAGUUAACUUUUGGUUCGUUCCCCCCGAAUGAUAGGAAAACGGAACAUCUGUGGUGAUAGUACCUGACCCUUUCAGUCAGUUUUUGACCGACUGAGGUCUCAGAGCAGAACAAUGCAAAUAACAGAGCUGAGGCUACUAGAAUAAAAAGUCCUCCAAAAUCAAAAGCUGUUAAACUGAGGCUUUGCUUGUUGACUGAAUCACUUUGAUUAAAAGGGGAAUACUUAGGUCCAGAAUUCCCUUGCUCAAUUGCACCCAUAUUUUCAUCUUCUGUCACUGAUAGGAUUGCUCUUGAGAAGUUAACAACUAGUGGAGACUUCAAAGGGAAUGCCUGGAGAAACAUUGUAUGAUAUUUUCAUGUAUAAAUAUAGAAUUUGUCGUGCAGAAAUAAAGAAACACAUGUCAAUGCACACAAUUGCAAUUUUCUCGAGAAAAAAAAUCUUUAUUUAAAAGUUCACAUCUUAUAUUGUACAAAUGCUUCCGACCAUGUGACAGUGUUGAAGCAUGCUCAUAUACUGUCCUAGUAUACCUGAAUGGAACACACAAAGAGGGAGGGAGAACUUACAAAGCCAAAUCCACCUGUCCUGAAUGUAGUGCCAACUAUUUUAUAGUCGGAGUCGUGUUGAUCAAGAAACAGCUUCAUAUAAGGGAUUUCGUCAAAGAUAGCAUCAAUUCCUCCAUUUUCGCUCCCCUUAUUCAUAGCAUAAUGAUAUUCCUCAAUAGUUGAGUAUUCCUUGAUCUUUGACUCGUUAACAUGGAGACGAUCUACCAAGAAAUCUUUUGUAAAGCUACCUUUUUGGAUGCCGAUGUAAUAGUCAUUUGAAAAUCUGAAAUCUAGCUGAUCUACUGUGAAAAUUGCUGAUAGCUUUGCGGUGUAGCUCUGCAUCAUGAUAUAAGCCAUUAACAACCACACUACCAACACAAACCUCGACCAGUGGCUGGCAACCAUGUUUUCUGUCAGCAGCAGACCAGAUUAUAAUAUUACUCGAGUUGAUAGCUCAAUAUUUACUAUCCAUUUAUAUGUAGAAGAUAGGGAAAUACUAAUCUCUGCAACUUCUACAACAUUUAUACUGGUCAAGGAACAGCACAUUUAGAAAAUUCAUUAGAAAACGUGUCAAGGAGAACUUACUUUCAGGGAAAGCGAGAAUAGAAAUUGGAAACCAAAAGAGAAAUCCAAAUUUCUGAUUAUUUGUUCCAGCAGAAUCAGACUUCUCAUUUUCUCUAUGCUCCAAAAGCCUGAGGACUAUCCCAAUGAAAAUGCAGGCGCUCAUAAUUGUCAGCCAAAGAUCCCACCUAAAAGGUUUUACAAAACUCCACAUGCCUUUCCCAUUUUUAUUUCUUACCACAAAAACAGUUCCUGAUUCAGAGUAUGGCAAUGUAAAGUCAACAUAUCGUGCUCGGUCAGCCAAAAUCGUUAUGUCUCCCACAGCUAUAUCAAAAGCCUAUUGAAGCGUCAAAAGAAAGAGAAAGCAAUAUCAGAUUGAUGCCACACUGGUUCUCUGUAAGUCUGUCACCAAGCAAACAGUUCUUAAAAGCAAAUAAAAAUCGUGAAACAAAGACACAGAAAUGAGAAGAAACCAACCUUGCCCACAUUGUGAAGAAGAGCAUUGUAAGUUCCAUUACGGAGUCCACUUUCAAUUGUAAAAGGGAUGAUCUUAUAAUCAAGACUAAAAUUCAGCUGCACCAUUACAGCACGGAAUAUAUCCAGUGCAUAACCAGUGAUCUUAGUGUGGUUUGUGUGAAGAUUGUCUGGAACAUUGAUAAAUUCAUAUUUCUUGGGGACCCCUACUCUUAAUUUCUGAAUAGCCACUCCUUUUGGAUGUUUUACUGAAUCACCAGGCCAUAUAAUGGUCUUUAGUUCCUUUAUGGAAGUUGAAUAUGAUUGUCUAGUGCUCAACGACAAUUUUGGCAUAAUUCCUUGAUCAGGUGUCCAGUAACCAAUCGUUUUAUCCCCUGUUUCAAACACGUUGACUAUCUCCAAGGCUGAAGCUUUCAGCUGCCCAUCAAUUAAGUAGAACUCCCCAGUCAAGCCUUGAAAUGUUAUGCUCUGGAGUUCUCUUACAAGUUUUGGGCCAAUUUGAGAGAUUUGUACACCGAACAUGUCACUUCCACUCUUGCUGUUGUUGAUAUCCAAGAGGACAGGGUUUACCGGUCCAAUAUUUUCUACUGCCAUUGCCAGUGCCCAAACUGUAUCAUAUGCCCACAGACCAUACACAUUUAGCUCUCUCCCCGUACUUUCAGGUUUCAUCAGAAGCAUAUUCUUUUUCCACCUGUUUCUGAAAUUGUCUAGAUUCUUUGUCUUCGGUACAUGAGCCCUUAGACCUAAAACACCUUCCAUGCAUUCAAUGGCAGCAGAAUCUAUAGAGUUCAAGGAGUUGCCCAAGCUAUCAGUGACAAGCCAGGCAUAUCCUUCACUCAUCAUGUCAGCCUUUUGGGCAAGAAGAAAUAGCCUAGACCCAAGUACAGCAUUCAUGUGCACUAAGAAGACCCUAGUUUGCAUUGUCUUCAAUUUUUCCAGUUCAUUCACGAUGUGACCGUCUUCAGCUAAUGUUGAGAUGGCAACCACGUGUGCAAGCCGGAUAUCAGCAUCUUGAAAUGCUUUAUUCAGCAUAGACAGAAACCGAGUAGCAUAGUUAGUAUCUUGAUACAAAACGACUGCUUCAUGCCAUUCAAAUCCUUGGCAGAUGGAAGCAAAAGCUUUUGCUUGGUCUAAGUCAUUUGGUGUACGUCGAAUGAAGUAAGGGCUUGGUGUAUAGGAAAGAGAACCGCCUCUAUGAGUAAAGGAUAUUACAGGGACAUGAGCUUUCCCUCCAAGUUCCGUUACUAAUUUACCUUCUGUCCAUGUUUGAGGCCCUAGAAUACUAUGCACUUCUUCAUUCUUUAUCAGUUCAAGGGCUGCAUUGCAUUUGAAGAAAACAAAGAAUUAGUCAUCGUGAUCUUAAUUCCUUGGCCAUAAUAGUAUUUUACCUUUUUAUUGAUACGAACUUUGAUCUAAAUGGCCACCCCUGCGAUUAUCAUUUUUGUCACACUUUUCAGUUGUAGUGUUAUCUAUAAAUUUCACACUUACAAUAAUUUUGACCAUGACAUUGAAGACGCCAUUUAAAAAUACUUGAAUCAGCAAAUAAAUAUGUUACAAGGGGACAUUAGAUUUGACUUUUUGAUUAUCAGCAUCAGGAAGGACCUUCAAUGCAUGUUCUUCUGGCUUAAGCAGUAUAUUACAGCAGGAAAAAAAAAAAAAGAAGGAUAUAUGACAGAAAGAUGAUACAGGCCACAAUUUACUUUGCAAGUGCUAAAUGGAGAGUUCUAGUGGAAAUGAUGUAACAUCAAAUUUUAAAAACGAAAUGCACAUAGAUAAAACCUGAAGAUGUCAUAUCGAAAUCAUUGUGAGCAUAUUUCCUGUGGAUAUCCAGUCUAGUUCGAUAAUCUGCAUGCGUGGCAUAGAAAUCCGAAUGUGCCAUUGAAAUACAUACAUCUAUCAUGGCCCCCAUGAAAGAAUUGGAAUCAAGAACAGCACCAAUGCGGACUGAGUAAUGCGUUGGUGCUACUGUUCCAUUUGACCCAUCUCCAGCUGCAGCUGCUGCAGCAACGCCCAUUUUCCACGCAAGGUAGAAAAGGAAGCAAGCUGCAGAAACAAACCCUUGAAAUCUAAUCAUUGUGAAUUUGUAAUUCCUCUCAAGUCUUAACACGGUAGGCUAUUCUGAACUCCUGGCCAGUUUGAUAGCUGUUUCUCUUUCGAUCUAGGUAUCUGAUACCAAAAUGUAUUAUCCCUGUAAAGGAUGAUGGUUUACUUAAUACUAGCUAAAUUUAUUUGAAGAAAUUUGACUUUGAAAGAUUGUGUACUUUUCCUCGAGGAAGAAUGGCUAAGUAAAAUAGUCAUGGAUUACAUUUAUCUAUGAGAAGCUUGAUUAGUCCAAGUUGACUGCAAGAAGCAAAUGAGAGCAGCACAAUGACGAAACUACUUAGAAACUGAUUACUUAGCAAGCACAAAAUUGCUUAGAAUAUUCAGAGAGUCGGGUCAGGCAGGACCUGGGAAAGUAAAUUGGUCAGAUAAAUUGCUAACAUGAAUCAAGAACAAGUUAAUUUAACGGGAUGGAUAAAUGCUGUAUAUAAAAUCUUGAAUUCUUGGAAACCACUAGUCAAGAGAUAUCUCAAGUUGUUAAGAAGCCGUUAAUCUAGUGGCUAAGGUUGAGAGACUUGAGAUUUUAGAAAUUUCCUCCUAUUUUCUCUAUCUUUCCGUGGAAAUUCACCAUAGAAUUAAGGGUUAAUCAUAUUUUAUCCCCUUAAAAAAUACUCCAUUUCUCGAUUUACUCCCUAACCUUUAAUUUUGCUCACUUAACCCCCUUUAGGACAAAAUUGCCCUUGCAUUAUUUUGACUUUUCAUUUACCUUGUUUUCCUUUCUUUUAUUUUUUUUUCUCUUUCUUCUUUAUUUAAUUCUUCCUCUUUCCCACAAAAAUCUUCAUUUUAAUGAUUGAAAUUAAAAAAGAGGAAUUGCAGAGAUUUAUCUUCUCCUUAAAUGAUUGAAAAAAAAAUUCAAAUCACUUUUCUAAAAUACAAUUUUUUUAGCCUUUCAAUUCUUUUAAUUUUGAAUUUUCCUCUUUCCUGUCUAGUUUCUCAUUUUAUUCCCAAGAAAAUAUCUUAAGAUGAAAUUGUAUCUUAACCAUUUCAUGUAUCUUUUUGCUUCCUGAAAUUUUUAAAAAGGUAUUCUAAUCCUCUGUGUUAAUUUCAAUUAUAAACUCUAAUGGAACCUGCUUUGAUAUGAUGCGAAUUUUAAUACUAUUUUUAAUUAAGUUAAAACGGUUCAAAAUGGAUAGAAGGACCUUGUCAAUAUGUGAUUUUAAAAAUUCAAGAGGCAAAAAGAUGCACUUAAUCAUUUAGGAGACAAAAAAGUAUAGUUAAUGGUCGGAAACUAACCAAUUUCUAUAAACAGUAUCUUCGUGAUCAGUCUGUCUCUAGAGAAUUUUUUUUUUUUUUUUUUUCAGAAACGAUAGAAAUUUUAUUGCAAUAAAAGGAUAGUACAAUAAAAGGAUAGUCUGUCUCUAGAGAACUGAGGUGAAAUUUUUUCACAAGACCCAACCAAUUGAGGUGGUUUUCUGUAGUCUGCCAAGGGGAAAGAUUACAUGAAGUCUGCCUCUUUAAUUUUGGGGGUAGCGGCCGACACAGUCCAGUCCACAGUUUUGCAUGGUAGCGACUGACACUUUUUGUAAUUAUUAUCAGUCGCUAUCAUGCACACUAAAAAAAAGUCUGCAGGCGCUGCAAGUCACAGCGAUUAAAAAAAAAUUAUUUUCUGUCAUGCCCAAUCAGCACGUUAGUUAUGGUUUGAUACAUACCUCUUGUCGGACAUACAUUUGACUGAUUUUGUAUUUUUUGGGAUAUAUUAUGAGAAAUUAGCCCAUUCACUCACUCUUUUACGUGGCCAUGGUUAAUUAAGCAGCAAAAAAUUGAUUCAUUUUUUUCCUUGUUCAAAAUGCAUGAACGCAUAUUGCUUCUAUGAUUGAAUAUUUCCCAUUCAACGUCCCACCAACCUUACGGUCUAUAUAAUCGAUUAAGGAAUAUAAGAAUAGCAAUUAAUUUUUGGAUAGGAACAUUAGUGAACAAAAAUGUGUGAAAACGGAAAACUGUAUAGAGCCAAAUUGCUUCUAAAUGAAAGUUGCAUGUAUGAGAAGAUUCCUCAUCUUGAAUCAAAGUAGAACAUUGGCCAAGAAAAAUAGACAAUUAAUCCUUCCAACGAAUAUAUACGACAAGCUAAGAUCAAGCAUAAACAUGACUCCAAGCCAUUCCAUUUGUUAGCUGAAUGACUCCAAGCUACUUAUAACUAUUAAUUUCAUUCCAUUAUUAGACAAAGGCAAAAUAUGUGCCGUAUUAUGUAACCACACAAUCCCUUCUUUUUUUUUUUUUUUUGGUAGCUGCUCAAAAGUCAAAACAACUCGAACAUGGUUACAGUGAAAGAUAAAAAAGCUGUCUACAUGUAUUGUACCCAAAGCUAUAUUUAAAAGGCUAGAGCACAGGCUCAAUUAAAAGGUCUACAAAUUAACCAGCAUGAAUAACUCCCGCUCAUGUUUGUCCCGGAUCAUCUGCAUCCCAAAAGCUGGCUGCAAGACCUAUUUGCUGAAACCAUUGAAGCCUGGGAUUCCCUUUCUAUCCUGUCUGAAAUAUUUACAUUACUGUAUGCUUAUUCAAGAACUAGUUUGUGUUUGUUUGAUCAGUUAGCUGAACUUCCUGGAUUGAAUCACUUUCCACAGUUUCAUUAGCUUCACCAUCUCUAGCUGGAGUAAUCAGAUGGCGUUGCCCUGAAUCAUGAUCUAUGCCUGGUCCUGACAAAUCAUUUACAUUGAACUGGUUAGGCCCUCGAACUUCUUCUUCGCUAGAUGAAUCUCCAUUCGGAUCAGCAUGGACCAUUGAGCGAACCCUUGAUUUGCCGUUUCUUCUGAAUGAUAGGAAAGAGAAACAUUUGUGGCCAUAAGAUGUUGCCACUGCGACGAGUCUUCGACCAACUGGAGUCUCGGAGCACAACAGCGCAAAUAUCAAUGUUGAACCUAUUAUGAUAAAAAGUCCUCCAAAGUUGUAAGCAGUUAAACUGGGGCUAGCUUUUUUUAUUGCAUCAAUUUGAUUAUCAGAAGAGUAUUGAAGUCCAAAGUUUUUCUGCUCUAUUGCAGUCAGGUUUGUAGCUUCUGUGACUGCAAGGAUUGCCCUUGAGAAAUGGACUACCAGUGGAGAUCCUAAUGGGAGUGCCUGGAUCAACAUUGUUAAAUUACAAUGUUAAAUUGCUGCAUAUCAUCAGAUGUAUUUCAGAAAGAAAAAUGAUUUGGUGCUCAAACCAUAAGAAUUAGAAGAAAAUUCUGUAGAUUUAGAAGUAAAUUAUUGCCACAAUAGAUAAAUCAUCAACAUCGAAACGGGAAAAUCAACCUAACAGGAAGAGAGAAAACGGUUAGAUUACUCACAAAGCCAAAUCCAUCCGUCCUGUAUGUAGGUCCAACUAUUUUGUAUUUGGAAUCAUAUCGACCAAGAAACAGUUUCAUAUAAGGGAUUUCAUCAAAAAUGGCAUCAAUUCCUCCAUUUUUGCUGCCUUUAGACAUGGCAUCAUGAUAUUCAUCAAUUGUUGAGUAUUCUUUGAUCCUUGACGAAUUAAUGUGGAGACGAUUUAUCAAGAAAUCCCUGAUAAAGGUACCUGCUUGGCAGCCAACGUUAUAAUCAUCGGAAAAUCUGAAAUCAAACUGGUCUACUGUAAACAUCGCUGAUAAAUUUGCUGUAUAGCUCUGCAUCAGGAUGAAAACCAUGAACAACCAUACAGCCAACACAAACCUCGACCACUUGUUGCCAACCAUAUUCCCUGUUAGCAGCAGAAGGUAAAAGCUAUUUCAUUUAUUUAUUUGCAGAAGACAUAACACAGAACAUAAAAUAUGUUCUUUGUGUAAUGAAGGCAUGGAAAAUGAAAAGAACAUUUUGGGAUGUUCACUAGAAAGUGAGAUCUAUGGUAACUUACUUUCAGGAAAAGCGAGAACUGCAAUUGGAAACCAAAAGAGCAAGCCAAGUUGCUGUUCAUGUGGUCUAAGAGAAUCAGAAUCCUUCUUUGCUCGGUUCUCUAAUAUUCGAAGGACUAUUCCAAUAAAAAUGCAGGUACUGACAAUCGUUAGCCAAAGAUCCCAACUAAAAGGCUUUUUGAAUACCCACAUGUCUUUAUCUUUUUUGGGUUUAACCACCAUAACAGUUCCGGAUUCAGAAUAUGGCAGUGUAAAAUCAACAUAUUUUGCCCUGUCAGCCAAAAUCGUUGUGUCACCAACCACCAUAUCAAAAGUCUAUGUCAUCAUCAAAACGAACGAAAAGCUAUAUCAGAAUGAUUGUAUACUUAUUCAUCGUUUAUAGAUGUCAUUUUACCAAGCAUCCCAAAACUGAGUAACAAGUAGAAAGAAAGAGAAGCAGAGGUGAGGAGAUACCAACCUUGCCUAGUAUGUUUUGAAGAAGUUCGUCAUAUGUUCCAUUACUGAGUCCACUUUCAUUUGUAAAAGGAAUAAAUUCAUAAUCAACACUGAAAGGUAGCAGUUCCAAUGCAGAAAGGAAUAUGUCUAUUGAAUAACCAGAGACUUUGACCUGCUUUGUCUGAGGAUCUGUUGAAAUAUUGACAAAUUCAGUGAAACCAUCUUUCUUAGGGAUCCCCACUUUUAAUCUCCCUGUUGAAGGAAUAGACCAGCCUUUUGGCUGCUUUACUGAAUCUCCAGGCCAGACAAUGUUUUUUAAUUCCUUUGUGGAAGUUGAAUAUUUCAGGCGACCUGUUAAAUCUAAUUUUCGCGUUAUUCCUCCAUCCGGUGUCCAGUAACCUAUUGCUCUGUCUCCUGUUGCAUAAACAUUGAAUAUCUCCAAAGGUGAAGGUUUCAGCUGUCCAUCAAUUAAGUGGAACUCUCCAGACAAGCCUUCAAAUGUUGUACUUUGGAGCUCUCUUAGAAGUAUUGGGCCCGGUUGAGAAACUCUUAAAUUAAAAUUCUCACUUCCAUUCUUGCUGUUGCCUGACUCCAAGAAGCCAAGAUUUACUGGUCCAAUUUUUUCCACUGCCAUCGCUAAUGCCCAAAUUGUGUCGUAUGCCCAUAAACCAUACACAUUUAGCUCCGUCAAUGUACUCUCAGGUUUCAUCAGAAGCAUAUUCUUCUUCCACCUGGUUUUGAAAUUUCCUAGACUUCUUGAUGCUGGUACACAAGGCCUUAGGCCUAAUACACCUUCCAUGGAAUCAACAGCAUCAGAAUCGAUAGAGUUCAUGAAAUUUCCUAUGCCAUCAGUAAUAAUCCAGGCAUACCCUUCACUUGUCAUUCCGGCAUGUUUGGCAAGAAGAAAAAGCCUAGAUCCAAGUUGAGCAUUCAUAUGCACCAGGAAGACCCUAGUCUGCAUUGUCUUCAGUCUGUUCAGUUCUUUCCGAAUGUGAUGGUCUGCAGCUGAUGUCGAGAUUGGGACCACAUAAACUGCUCGAAUGUGAUCCUUUUGGAAUGCAUCAUAUAUCUUGGAAAGAAAUUGAGUGCCAUAAUCAGAAUCUUCGUACAAAACGACUGCUUCAUGCCAUUCAAAUCCUCGGCAGAGGGCAGCCAGAGCUUUCGCUUGGCUUGAAUCAUCUGGUGUUGUCCGAAUGUAGUAAGGACUUUGUCUGGAGGAAAGAGAUUGACUUCUAGCACUGAAGGAUAUAACAGGCACAUGAGCUUUUCCUCCUAGUUCCACCACAAAUUCAUCUUCUGCCAACAUUUGUGGGCCCAAAAUGCUAUACACUUCUUCAUUCUUCAGCAAUUCGAAGACUGCAUUCCAUUCCAAGAAAACAGUGUUAGUCCUGGUAAAUUUUUGUAUUUUACAUCAUUGAGAACUGUUUCAAAUAAUACGAUUUGUAUGCUCCAAUGAAAAUUCAAGGUUAUGUAUCAGAGUUCAAUUUCCUUCAUCCUGGAUUAUAUAGGGGAAGACUCUGACAUUUCGUUCCAUCAAUAAAAUCUUUUGGAGGCUUUCAAAUCCAAAACUUUGAUAGUAUUAACAUUUCAAUCACCAAAUUGAACGUGUCAAAUAAAUAUGACUCAAGUUAAGGAGUAAUAUGCAUGUGGAGGAAAGAUGAGUUUUAGAAUCAUAAUCAGAAGAGAAAGAACCUCUAUGCAUACCAUUAUGCAUCGAGAAGCAUUAUGGAAACAACAAAUGAACACAGACAACUUCAAUAAAAUGGUGAUACAUGACCAAUGCUGAGAUAGAAGAACAAAUAUUUGCAACUGCUAAAAAUGGGACUUCACAGCAACAAUUUCAAAACUGGAAGCACAAAUAUUCCAUUAUAACCUGCGGAUGCUCCAUCCAAUUCAUCAUGAGCAUAUUUCGUGUGAAGAACUAAUCUCGUCUGAUAAUCUGAAUGCGCAGCAUAGAAAUCCGAGAGCGCCAUAGAAAUACAUAAAUCCGCCAUGGCUCCCAUAGGAGUCCUGUAAUCAACAACUGUUCCAAUGUGUACUGAGAAAUGAGUUGGUGCUGCAGUUGCAUUCAUUCCUUCAUCUCCAGCUGCAGCAGUAGCAAAUCCUCCAUCCCACAUCAGAAAAAAUAUCACGUAGUUGAAGGACAGGAAGCGUUUGAUAGUAAGCAUGUUGAAAUUGAAAUUUCUCAUAAGAGGCAUUUUUUAAGUUUUGGCCCUGUUGCUCAAAGUCUUUUUCUUAGUCUUAUAAAGAGUUAAUGAUGGUGUAAUAGUCAUGGUUCAAAGUCACGGUCGCGGUCGCGGUCGCGGCCCGGAACGUUCCACAUUGGUCUCAGCAUAUCGGUCACGGUCUCGGUGAGACGCAAAUUUUAAAGUAUUUAAUAUUCUAAAAAUUGUUAAUAAUAUAAAAAAGUAUGCUAAAUAAAAAUAAUUAAAAAAUAGCAAAAGAAACGGCCAAGUCAAUCCGUCGCGGUGUGACUCGGCUGAUUUCUCGUCUUGACUCGGGAUAACUCGGAGUGUCUUGGCCGAGUCAAUCCAUCGCGGUGACGACUCGGCCGAUUUCUCGGCGAGUCAAGUAUUUCGGUAUCGUUUCGUCACGGUAUCGUAUCAGUAGGGGCCGAGACGGUGACGACUCGGCCGAGUCGUCUCGGUUUCGGCCGAGACUUCGAACCAUGGUAAUAGCCAAUCUAAGGUUCCAUCAGACAAUUAUGGGAUGAUAUAUAUAGAUUGAACUUCUCCUUUUACUUGAGGAAGAAGAGUACUUAAACCACAUGGAGGCCCUGAAUUCGAUUCUGAAAUCUAUAGUAAGGAAGAACGAGUCUUUUUGGGCCCCUUUCUCCCUCUCUACAGGUUGAGUAGGAGAAGUUUGACGAAUUCAAUCUUCAGUAUGGGGCCCGUAGCAAUUAGAAUGGUACAAUGCGAAUGCAGUUGGAAAUGGGAAUGGGAUCUCAUGGAGCUUGAAGUUUCUUGGAAAGUAUGCAGAGUAAGGUUUGGACCAGGGAAUUAACACAACCGUUUCUGAAACUGAAUAUGCAACGAAACAAUCCCAACAGUAGUAUUGUUCCGCAUUAGACAAUUCAUGCUCUUCUACUUCUACCACGAGAAUUUUAUCCAAAUUUUAGUCCAGUCAAAUAAAUUAUAGUCUAGCCAAAUGAAAUUUCCUAGCAGGCAGAGCACAUUCUAGAUAAUAAUUUAGCUGAAAAUUCAAGACAUGUCUGUCAAGAUUAGUUUGACUCCAAAAUUUAGCCUUGAAAGCGUGGCAUGCAAUAUAUACAACACUUUGGGAAUAACAUUUCCUGCCUUCUUCGUGGCAUAUCUGUUUUGUGCUAACCUAUUAUGUCAUCUAGGUCACGCUCGCAAUGUAUUGAUAAUUAGUCAUCCUUUAAUUUAUCUUCAAGCAAAGUUACAAUUAAUGAGCCAAAGAUUCCACGAUAUUUGUUCCUGCAACUCCAAAUUCUAUGCAUCAGUAACAUCAACAAACUAAUUUUUUCUUGAUGCUAACAUCAACUACUCCCUUGUCACAGCUGCAUUUGGUGUUGUGAUGUGGGUGUUAAUGUAGUUUGCAAAAUAGGAAAGGUUUGCACCUUUUGAAGCACCCUUUCACAGUGAAACUACAUGUUCCUUUGAAAGGGUACAUGUGAGCAAUUUCUAACAGUUUUCUGAAUAUUGUGGGUGUAUAAAUCAAUGGGUUAAACACCAGAAAACUAACUGAAGCAUUUUUUAUUCUUGACUAGACAAAUCCAAGAACUUGCUACUUGGUUGUCUAAUUAGAAUUCAUUGUAUCCUAGAGUUUUUGCCCAGAGACCGGAUUAGCAAGAUAAUGGGGGCAAUCAAACUUCAAGGAAAGUGAUUACACGCCUUGAAUUCUUCAAGUUUUGAUCCCCGUUUAUGUAAACUUGUUUCUAGUGAAUUCUCUCUUGAAUUUUUCUGAUUAGACUCAAUACACUCUUGUACUCCUAUAUUAUUUUCUACAAUCUUGAAGUUUGAUUGAUUGACAAGAAUGGAGUCUACACAAGAGAGUGCCGUCAAAGUUAUGAAUCAAGAUUUCGUUAAGUUGGAUAAACUUGAUGGAACCGGAACCAACUUCAACCGUUGGAAGGACAAACUUAUGUUCUUCCUCACUGCAUUGAAGGUGGCUUACAUUUUCAAUCCGAAUCUUCCGGAAAUUCCUGCUCCAGCGGAAGGUGAGUCCGAGGAAGUGACAAAGCAAAGGCAAAAGCGUGAAGAGGACGAGAUUAUUUGCCGAGACCAUAUUCUCAACACCCUCUCGGAUAGUUACUACGAUAUGUUCCAAGGAGUACGAAAUCCAAGGGAAAUCUGGGCUGCAAUUGAGCGAGAGUAUACAACCCAAAAGCAAGGCACAGAUAAGUUUCUCAUUAAGAAAUAUUUUGAGUUCAAGUUGGUUGAUUCUUUUUCUCUUAUGGACCAAAUUCAUAAUCUUCAAGUGAUAGUUUCUAAACUUAAGGAUUAUGGUGUUGAAGUUUCUGAAUCUUUCCAAGUUGGUGCAAUAAUUACAAAGUUGCCACCAUUAUGGAAUGAUUACCAAAAGAAGUUGCUUCACACUUCUGAAACUUUAACUUUAUCUAGUGUUUUGAAACAUCUUAGAAUUGAAGAAAGGGCCAGAAUACUUCAAAAACUAGAAGUUGAUAGUGCUCCUAAGACUAAUAUGGUUGAAGAGAAAAUGAAUUCUGGUAGUAAGAGAAAGAGACCUGAGAAUACUAAUUCAAAAGAUAAUAAGAAAAAAAUAGAAAUUGUUACAAUUGUGGCAAGAAAGGCCAUUAUAAGGCCGAGUGCAAACUCAACAAGAAACAAAAGAAAAAUGUUGCUCCAAGUGCUAAUCUUGUUGAUGAGUGUGCAAAAAUUGUAGCAAUGAUGACUCUUGGUACAGUGACUGAACUUCAUAUGACGACACCUACUCCUUCAAAGGAUUGGUGGUAUGAUUUUGGUGCUGCAGUUCAUGUUUGCAAUGAUAAGAAUCAGUUCAAGAGUUAUGAACUUCUUGAAGGUCAUGAAGUUGUCAUGGCAAAUGGAGUUAGAGCCAAGGUUCAUGGCAAAGGGGAUGUGCAUCUUCAAUUCACAUCCGGUAAAAAGUUGGUCCUUACCAACAUACUUCAUGUUCCCGAUGUUGUUAAGAAUUUAAUGUCUGCGGACAUUCUUAACAAGAAAGGAUUGAAGGUUGUACUAGAGUCAAAUAAUGUAAUUUUGUCAAAGAAUGGUGUAUUUGUAGGGAAGGGCUAUUCUUGUAAUGGAAUGUUUAAGUUGAGUAUUAAUAAAGUGAAUGAUAUUUCUGUUUACUCUUUGGCUUCUACUUCUUCUACUUGUUCUUAUUUUCUGUGGCACGGUAGAUUAGGACAUGUGAAUCAUAAAGUGCUGAAAUUUAUGUCUAAAGAUGGCCUAAUUUCAUAUAAUGACCUUGAAAAUAAGAAAUGUGAAACUUGUGUUCAAGCCAAGAUUACAAGGUUGCCUUUUCCUAAAGUUGAACGACAUACACAAAUGCUUGAUCUUGUGCAUUCUGAUGUGUGUGAAUUUAAUGGUUUUCUAACUAGAGGAGGAAAUAGAUACUUUGUCACAUUCAUAUAUGAUUGUUCUAGAUUUGUGUAUGUGUAUCUGAUGAAACACAAAGAAGAAGUGUUUGGUAUGUUUAAAACAUACAAGGCUUUAGUAGAAAAUCAAUUGAAUAAGAAAAUUAAAAUUGUGAGAAGUGAUAGAGGGGGUGAGUACUUCCCUAGUGAAUUCUCAAAAUUUUGUGAAGAAUGUGGUAUUGUACACCAAACCAGUGCACCAUACACACCACAACAAAAUGGUUUGGCUGAAAGGAAAAAUCGAACUCGUGAAGAUAUGGUUAAUUCCAUGCUUGUGAGUUUAGGGUUGCCAAAUAAUUUGUGGGGUGAAGCUUUGUUAGUUGCAUGUCAUGUUCAUAAUAGAAUUCCUUCCUUAAAAACCAGAAUUUCUCCCUAUGAAGUGUGGAAAAAUAGAAAAUCAAAUCUGUCUUAUUUAAGGAUUGGGGCUGUAUAGCUUACUAUAGGAUCCCUGAUAAUAAAAGGACUAAAUUGGGACCUAGAGCCCUUAAAAGUGUGUUCGUUGGCUAUGCAGAAAAUUCGAAAGCCUAUAGACUAUUUGAUCUUGGUUCAAAUAUAAUAGUUGAGUCAAGGGAUGUUGAGUUUUUUGAAGAUAAGUUUCUUAAAGACUCAACAGUUACUAUAGGUCCAUCCUAUCCAAGUGCAGUCUCUUCUAGUGGUACAAAAAGAAAAGAAAUUGAUACUCCUAGUGAACCAAGAAGGAGUCAAAGACAAAGAAAAUAAAAACAAUUGCCCCCCGACUUUGUGUCUCUUCAAGCUAUUGUUUUUCUAGUAGAAGGAAAUAGAGAUUUUCUACUAAAUAAAACUCCAAUUUUGUUGAGUGUAGAGAAUGAUCCUAAGACAUAUGGUGAAGCUAUGAAAUCGAGAGAUGCUGCAUUUUGGAAAGAGGCUGUGAAUGAUGAAAUGAAUUCAAUAUUGUUUAACAAUACUUGGGUUCUUGUGGACUUGCCUCAAGGUUCUAAAACUAUUGGUUGUAAGUGGGUAUUUCGCAAGAAAUAUGCCACUGAUGGAACUAUUCUUACUUACAAAGCUAGGUUAGUAGCUAAAGGCUAUAGACAAAAGGAAGGAAUAGACUAUUUUGACACAUAUGCACCUGUGGCUAGAAUAACCUCUGUUAGAGUACUUCUAGCUUUAGCUUCUGUUUUUAGCAUUCAUGUGCAUCAAAUGGAUGUUAAAACAGCUUUCUUAAAUGGUGAUUUGAAUGAGAAGGUGUACAUGGAACAACCGGAAGGUUUUAUACUCCCGGGUAAUGAACAUAAAGUGUGUAAGCUAGUGACGUCUUUAUAUGACUUGAAACAAGCUCCAAAACAAUGGCAUGAGAAAUUCAAAUCUGUCUUACUCUCUAGUGGAUUUAGGUACAAUAAUGCUGAUAAAUGCAUUUAUUCUAAAUUUAAUAGUGAGUAUAGUGUGAUUAUUUGUUUGUAUGUGGAUGAUAUGCUACUUGUUAGUACUACACUUAAAGGUGUAGUAGAAACUAAGAAGUAUUUGUCUUCUAAGUUCAAGAUGAAAGAUCUUGGUGAAGUAGAUACUAUCUUGGGGAUUAAAGUUAAAAGACAUAGUGGGGGUUUUGCCUUGUCUCAAUCACAUUAUGUUGAGAAAAUAUUAAAGAAGCAUCAACAUUUAAGUGUGAAAGAAAUUGACACCCCUUUAGAUCUUAACUUUAAACUGUAUGAGAAUACCGGUAAACCAAUAGGUCAACUAGAAUAUGCUAGUGUUAUUGGUAGUCUUAUGUAUGCAAUGAGUUGCACUAGACCGGAUAUUUCAUACUCGAUUUGUAGACUAGCUAGAUACACUAAAAAUUCAAGUAAAGAUCAUUGGAAAGCUAUUUGUAGAGUGCUUGGUUAUCUUAAAAGAACUAAAGAUCUUAGACUCUUUUGUAAUAGUUUUCCUAGUGUUCUUGAGGGAUUUUCAGAUGCUAGUUGGAUUACUAGUAUUAGUGAGCAAAAACCAACUAGUGGUUGGAUUUUUAUGCUUGGUGGUGGAGCUAUCUCAUGGGCUUCAAAGAAGCAAACGGUGAUAACUCAUUCAACCAUGGAAGCUGAAUUUAUUGCACUAUCUUCAGCUUGUAAAGAGGCUAAGUGGCUAAGAGAUCUUUUACUCGAUAUUGAUUUUUUGCCCAGACCAAUGCCUCCAACAACUAUCUUUUGCGAUAGUGAAGCUACUAUGUCUAGAGCAUUGAAUAAAGUUUACAAUGGUAAGUCUAGACAUAUUAGUUUGAGACAUGCAUUUAUAAGACAAAUGCUUGCGAGUGAUGUUGUCAAUAUUGUGUUUGUAAGAACACACAAAAACUUGGUGGAUCCGUUGAUUAAACCUCUAACAAGAGAGUUAGUGAAUAUGACAACAUCCGGAAUGAGAUUAAAACCCAUAUACUAAAAUCACUUAGCAAUGGUAACCCAACCUUUCUUCUAGUACUACCCCUAGUUUGGAAGGUUUAAAAGGUAAUAACAAGUUGCUCAAGUGAUAGUGAACACUACAUUUUUGUGUGUAGACCGUUCCAAUUAGUAGUGUUAUGUGUUACUCUUAAGUGAGUAGGAUGAGAAGUAACUCUUAAUAAACAUAUUUCUUGUGUUUUAUUUGUUAAAACUAGAAAGAUAGUUUACCUAUAUGGUCAUAGAAGUGGUGCCGCUUCUAACAAGAGUUUUGGGUGAUCUCUUGUAUAUGAUCAUGAAUACGAUGAGCACAUGGCCAGUAAUAGUGCUACAGAUGGUUGUGAAUAUAUAAAUGCUACAUGAUUCAUGUAUGUAAUAUUUCUUAUUUUUGUGAAUCUUGGUUUAAGCAAUCUAGCCACCAAGGGUUUCACUUAAAUGUGUAUUUCGGUUUGGAGACCAGAAGACUCCUUAGGAGUUAAGCGUGCCCACGCUUAAAGAUCAGAGUUCCAGUUACAAAACAGAAGACUUCUUAUGAGUUAGACGUGCCCACGUCUAAUCCGGAACGAGUUAAGCAUGCUCACGCUAAGUGAUCACGCUUAAAGAUCAGAGUUCUAGUUACAAAACAGAAGACUUCCUAUGAGUUAGACGUGCCCACGUCUAAUCCGGAACGACCAAAUCAGAUCGAAACUUAAUUUUUCAGCAAGGGAAGUUUAAGACGAGAGUUACUUUCCUUGAUGCAUGAACUUUCAAUGUUAGUUUGGCUUUCUAUUUUGCAAACUAAGUGGGGGAUUGUUAAUGUAGUUUGCAAAAUAGGAAAGGUUUGCACCUUUUGAAGCACCCUUUCACAGUGAAACUACAUGUUCCUUUGAAAGGGUACAUGUGCACAAUUUCUAACAGUUUUCUGAACAUUGUGGGUGUAUAAAUCAAUGGGUUGAACACCAGAAAACUAACUAAAGCAUUUUUAUUCUUGACUAGACAAAUCCAAGAACUUGCUACUUGGUUGUCUAAUUAGAAUUCAUUGUAUCCUAGAAUUUUUGCCCAGAGACCGGAUUAGUGCGAUAGUGGGGGCAAUCAAACUUCAAGAAAAGUGAUUACACGCCUUGAAUUCUUCAAGUUUUGAUUCCCGUUUAUAUAAACUUGUUUCUAGUGAAUUCUCUCUUGAAUUUUUCUGGUUAGACUCAAUACACUCUUGUACUCCUAUAUUAUUUUCUACAGUGGGCAAUCAAAAAAUAUAUGGAUGGCCUGCUUCUUGCCGGGGGAGGAAUUGUGACAAGUACCGAACCUGUGCGAUAAUAAUUACUAAAAAGUUUCAAUUACUACUACAAUUAAUUAUAGAACAAAUCCAAGUACUGGAGCAGGAACCCUAGGUGUGCAAUGGGUUACUUGAUUCACCCUGUUUUUGAAGAGUUUGCUUGAUCCGAUAUACCAGAUUUGCGCAACGGAUCCUCUGUACCACAACCCUGUCUCACACCCUAUCCCACCCCUCCUAAACUUGCCAAGUGUCCUUUUAUUAACCCAAUCCUGAAACAACCCAACUCGAACCAUGUUUAUUUAAUUAACCGAUUAAUCGGGCUGAGAAGCUUAAUCUCUAUAACCAAAAUCAAUUAAAAUAAAAACCCAAAAAACAAAAUUAGAGAUUAAACAAGGCACAAAAAAAAAACCCCACAAGGCCACGAAAUCGGUUUCCCAUCAGAUUUCACUCCUCCUCAAAAGCUUCAUCACAAAAUUCGGGCAGGACAACAAAGUGCAAUUCAACGCAGCAGGCCACGAUUCUGGUUUCCCAUCAGAUUGGUAUCCUUCUCAAAACCUUCAUCGCAACGCAGCAGGGCUGUCCGAGUUCAUCAUCUUCACCAUUCAGCUUUGACGAAAUAUUCACGGAUGAAGCUUCGAAGCUCUUCCCAAACAACUGACAAAUUUAACCAAAAAGUAAAGGACAAAUUUACUUCAGUACAGAACAUACUGACAUUUGUAUUAAUCCUAUGUUACACGGUCAAAGUAAUUUUGAUAGUGGUAAUAUCAGCUAAAAAAGGGAGCAAGUUCGCAACUAAUACCAUUUAGAACUCUGAGGUCUAGGGAGUCAAUAUCAAACCCAGCGUGUUGCUUUUCCCUACCAUGUUGCUUUUCAUACCACUUUGGUGAUUCUAUAUUUAAUAUUCUUCUUAUUAACCAAACUCUUCAUUGUUUUUGUAAUAGUUAAAAGCCUGGAUAGAUAUUUUCUCCUUUCAAAGACACAUCAACAGGUACAAUACAAACACAAAAAGCACAAAAAUUUGUGAACAAAAACAUCUUAAGCAAAUAGAUCUUCAAUCAACAGAGACCCAGAAAAAUAAAUCCUAAAACUUAACGAAAAUCAUCAAAGAGUAAGUAUUUGAAGGAACCCAGCAAUCCCUUUGCAUAAAUUCUUUAAGUUCAGAGGCUUCAGGUUGACUUCAGAGGCUUGUGCUGAUGUUUACAUGAAUAACGCAAUUCGUUGCAUAUGAAGCGCCACAUGAAUAACGCAAUUCGUUGCAUAUGAAGAGUACGUAUUUGAAGGAAAAUUCAUCUACGUACCUUGCUCCGUUGAAGACUAGCUUUAGUUUAGGAGAAAAGGCUUUAGUUCUCAGACCACAAAAGUGUUAAUCUCUGGAGGGAUGCGUUGCGAUGAAGCUUUUGAAGAUGAAUGGUGAAGAUGAUGAACUCGGACAGCCCUGCUGCGUUGCGAUUCUGGUUUUGAGAAGGAUACCAAUCUGAUGGGAAACCAGAAUCGUUGCCUCCUGCCCGAAUUUUGUGAUGAAGCUUUUGAGGAGGAGUGAAAUCUGAUGGGAUACCGAUUUCGUGGCCUUGUGGGGUUUUUUUUUGUGCCUUGUUUAAUCUCUAAUUUUGUUUUUUGGGUUUUUAUUUUAAUUGAUUUUGGUUAUAGAGAUUAAGCUUCUCAGCCCGAUUAAUCGGUUAAUUAAAUAAACAUGGUUCGAGUUGGGUUGUUUCAGGAUUGGGUUAAUAAAAGGACACUUGGCAAGUUUAGGAGGGGUGGGAUAGGGUGUGAGACAGGGUUGUGGCACAGAGGAUCCGUUGCCCCAGAUUUGUCUAUAAAAAUAUUAAAUUUACGUACAAUGGCAAGUAGGGUCGAUUCCACAGGGAACGAAUAGGAAGUGGUUUCUUUCCAAAUCAAUAGAAUAAAAGAGAGAGAUAAUUAAUGGGGUGAAAGUAAAAAUAAAAUAAAUAAAAUUCAAGAGCUAACUCAAUAAGUGCAAUUUAGUAAAAAUAACAAUUAAUAAAAUUCUACCCAAAAGAUCAACUGUUCAGGCACGGUCCAAUUAAAUGCUCAUCAAUACAAAGAUAUUUCAUCCAUUCGUCACUAGGUUGGUUACAGCUAUCAACAAGCUCUGACAACCAGUUCUUCCUUACUUUUUUGACAGUCAAGGUACGACCAUUGACUGUUUCUCUAAUCAAAAAAUAACUCUAGGUACGACCGUAGGAAUUUAAUUAUCCAAUCGCAUUAAAACUAGAAGAACCCAACCCUAAUUAAUAAAUACGCUAAGAGGAUUUAUUUAAACUAGAUCUUGCGUUUCCCCAACAUAAAAUCAAUUAUGGUGGUCGUCACUAGUUGUCAACUAAACGAACAAUUACGGAUUCAAUUUAGUUAACAUGACAGUAUGCUAUUGAAUUAAAUUAAAUAUCCGGCCGUUGAUACUCAAUUAAUAAAAUACCCAUGAACAAUUAAUCCAGGAAACACACGAAUAGCAACAAGUUGGAAGAAGUAAUGAAGAUUCGAUUAGAUCUCACAGAUAUUAUGGACCGCGCCUUCGCGUCGAGUUUUGGGUAGAGGAGAAACCUAGCCGCUCCUCAUCAUAUCAAUCUCGCGUGAUUUGAUUGAUUCCAUCCACACAAUUGCCAAAGAUUAGUGAAGAUGAAUUAACGACGGAACCGAGGAGAAAAGCCUCCUUUCACUUUGUUUCGUGUUUAUAUCCAAGCAAAAGGUAGAAGCCCAAGUCUCACAAAAGGCGUACGAAACACAAGGAACAAAAAAACGAAAACUCCAAGUCGUCUUCCAGGGAUAGCCAGCGAAAGCUACUCCCAAUUGCCCAGAACCAGAGCUAAAAGUCAAAAGGAAAAAGACGUCUGGCCCUAGGAAAAUAAAACUAAAGCUAAUAUAUCAAUUACACGUGAAUCUGGCCUUGCUCCUAUUGGCCGCUGAAGAGCCAGAAGGGAAGACGUCUGCUCGCAGGAUAAAAGCUGAUCUCCUAAUUGAUCGUGAAUCUGGGUUUUUUUAUUCUUUCUUUGUAGCGUCGCCAGGAGAAGAAAAGACGUCUGGAGCAAGGUUUACCUGAGGGUUCUAAUCCCACACCUCUGGUCCACGUGGACCCGGUUCCUUAAUUGGUUCUCCUGCUGUUACCAAGCCCGCGGGUCUAGCUUUUAGGUGAGUCUCCUCAGUUUCUGGCGUGAGCACGCCCUGAAACAAAAGGUUUUCUGGAAUUUUGUCUCAAAAAAAUUAUUUUAACACCAACUACCUGCAAUUCACACAAAUAUUAAAUAUCAACAAAAUCUCAAUUCUUAGCAUCAUGAGUAGCCAAAAUUAGGACAAAAUGAUAGUGCAAAAUGUGUAAAAUAACCGCUCUAUCAAAUCCCCCCACACCUAGACAAUGCUUGCCCUCAAGCAUUUCGGAGCUCAGAAGCACAACCAAAAAAGCAAAGGUUAUGCAGAAAUUUAUACUAAUACAAGCAUCCCAUCUUCCUGACAAUAUUGCCGAAAUUAGAACACACCGGACAGGUGGUAAUUCAAAGAAAACGUAUGAAUACUGGGAACGCUCAAAUCAACAUCACGGAAUGGCAUUAUCAUAGGCUUGCACAUUUAUCACAUCUCCACCACUUGAAAGUGAACUAAAUACACAAAUCAAAGGGACUUAGUUAAGGUUGUAAUGGGGUUUAGGUAAAAGGUAGGAUAAAGAGGUAAAAAUAGGGUGUAGUGUGUCAAGAGAAUGUCUACUAUCCACCACAUCACCACAACGCUUCAUCAGAGAAAUUUCACGAGCAAGGCAUUUUCAUUUGCCAUUUCCACUGUGCAAGUGUCGAAACUCUUCCCCUUUUCUCUUUUUUUUUUUGUUGAACAAGCGGCUCGCAAGGCGUGGGCACGUCUUGUGGGCCGGAGUCUUCUACUCACGAGUUUUUUUUUUAUUUCAGAUGCACAGAGCACAUACAACUUCUAUUCCGACAGCACUUGCCACCUUAGAUUCAUUUGCCUUGCACAAAUAACGGAAUUCAGACAUCUCUUGACGACACAAGGUUAAACAAGAAAGUCUAAAAAGGUCAUGAGUUAUCAAACACGACUAAUCGAACAAUAGCGAAGGAUAAAAGCUCAAAUAGGUUCACUAUGGGGAGACAAGAUGAAGGCAUGGUUUGUAGAAAGUUAAAGAAUGUUAGAUCCUAAAUGCCCUUAUCAUUUCAAAUGCAUCUAGUUCAACAAAAUGUGGUCUCGACAUGUAUAAAAUAGCAAGUUCUAGAAUGCAUAUACCAUGUGUGAUACCCACUCAAUCAAACAAAAGCAGAGCAAACAAGAAUAAUGUGCUCAUGUAAGGUUCAGAUGUUCCCAAAAGUUCCAAGACUGGGUAAAGUCCAGCAAAUUCAACAUUCAACAAAACUGUCAAGGCAAAGCGAAAUGCAUAGCUAGUAUAUCUAACCACAUACCCAUGCACCUUGAUUGUGUUAUUCAUCAUAGCAAAGAAGUCAACUAACUACACUCUUUUUCUUUUCCUUUUUUUUCAUUCUCUCUCUUUCUCUUUUUUUUUGAAUAAGAGGAAUUAAUAGAACCAAAAAGAAAUAAUAGCAACCAUUCCCCCCCACACCUAAAAUCUACAUUGUUCGCAAUGUAACAUAACCAAAUAAAGUGCAAGGUCAAGGGGAGCGAGACUUCCCUGACUCCUGAGAAAGUGCGGUUAGAUCCUAAGGAGGCCGAGGAUGUGGCGGCUAGAAUCCAAUGUGAGCAUAGAAAGCUGCUUGAUUUUCUGCCUGAAUACGGACGAAGACCUAUAGCGCUGCAAGGCGACCAUCUAAUCUCGCCACCUAGGUGCCCAGCUCAUCGAAGGAAUCCUGGAGGUUUUGGUAACGGGAUUUCCAAACAGGAGGAGCAUGAUAGGAGAACGGAUCCGCCUGAUCCGAGUGCGGUGGAGGCUCAGUGGAUGGGGCAGUCGGAGGAACUCGGGGCCGUGGCCCGCCAUCGCCAGGGGACGUGAACUGAUAGACAUCCCCUACUUUGAAAAUAACCCCCAUCCACUCCAAACUGCGCAAAUCCAGUGGCUCAAUUUUCCGAGCUAGAGCGAAGUUGUGCUCUUUAUCGAGAUCAAGCACUCCCACUCAAAUGGCCAAGUGAGUAAUGAGUGAGCCCAGAAUCACCGGUUUAUUACGCUUUUGAAUGACCGAUUGCAUCUGGGUGGCCACCCAACAUCCAAAGUUAACCUGAACUUUGUUGCGCAUGCACCAAAGAAAAUAAAAUUUCGUCUUGGUAAGAGUGCCAGAGGAAUCCUUCCGCCCCGAGAAAUUGUGAGCCAAGAACCUGUGGAUAACCUUCAAGAUCGGAUCCUUAAAAUGAGAGGCUUUGGACUGACUCGGAUUGUAAAUCUGACGAUCCGUGGACCACUCCCUCCAAAUGUCAAUGUAGUCAGUAGAGAACGGUCUGAUGUAGUCACACGCACUGUUUAUAUAUGCUCCAGAUGCAAUGGUAUCCUCACUAACAAACCCCAAAGUCAAAUUAAACUCAUUAAUGGAGAAACUAAACUGGGUACCUCUUAACCUAAAUUGAAUAAUUUCCAGCUCAUCCAAAGUGAUGAAUUCACUUCUGAUGAACUCGAAGGUGGAGUAGAAUUCACAACACAACUCCUCAAACGUAGGAUAGUCAAUGAUUAGAUACUUUUGCCAACCUAUUACCGAGAACAACUGUUCAACUUCUCGUGCAAUUUGUAAAUGGUCCAGGGUUGGGGCAUGAAAACACUUACAGGGAGCAAAAGGCCGGUGCACCAAUCUAUUGAACCGGUCCUGUUAUGCCCUUGUAAGGUUAGUAACCGGUUCCCUCCAUUCCCCAAGAGACAUAGUGCUCUUAUUCAAACCCAAACGGGACCGAAUGGGGGGUUGAACCGGGGCUCUCCUCUUACGAGGUUGGGACCCAGAUGGCCCAGCAGUUGUUGCCUUUUUCGGGGGUAUUCAGAACCCACAGAAUUGAAUAUAAUUAAUCACAAAAACAAUUAGGCAACCACCAAAAGUGGUAGGGGACUACAGUCAACAAAUGAAACUUCAACAAUCAACAGUCCAAUGGCAAAAGAUACGCAAUUACCUCACCAAACGACGACAAGGCAGCAAACACAUGCAAAACGGCCCACUAGCGUCACUAGGCAACCAAUAAGUAAGAUAAGCAGGAUCGAGCCCCCAAACAAUGAAGUCAGCAUUCAAAUAUGUCCAAUAGAGGGGAAUUACUAGCCACGUGUACCAAAUAAUCGAUUCACCAGAACCCACAGAUAUAGCAAAUCCCAAUUCAAGUCAAAAACAGCAAUAAAAUUCCAAAUGCGAAGAUCGACUGACCAAAAAUUCAAUAAAAUAGGGGUACCACUUUUAUUUUCUGGUCCACACUGGAGGAAAUCGACGCAGUAACCACGGUGAAACAAAGGCUUGCGAUGAAGGCAUACGGGAGAGGAGAAUACGCUGCUGCUGUUGGUAGAAGACAACUCGCGCGCUGUUAGAGAGCUGUUGGCCGAGUGGGGCGUGCGGGCUGGCGGUCGCUACUGACUGCUGCGCGGACUUGCUGGCAGCUCGCGCGUAGGUGGACUGGGCUGGGCGUGCAGUUGGGCUGGCUGUGGUAGGGGCAGUCACACACUGGAGUUGCGCACGCUAUCGCGUGCCUGGGACAGGUCGUGCACAGAGGCGCGCGCUGAGGGGUUCUGCUGCGUCGCGUGCUGUCGGGCGCACGGGAGCUGCUGAGGCCGCCCGGAGGUACUUAGGGCGCGCAAAGGUUAGGCUAGAUCUGGGCAUCGUGCGUGCUGGCGUGCGAAGGAACUGGGCAAGCGGGCAAGUUGCGCGCGCGGCCUCGUACAGUGGAUCUGCGGGGCCUCGCGGACAACAGCGCGCAGGGGGUGUAACUGGUGGUGCGGCGCGACGCUGAUGAGAGCAGCGGCACGUGACGGCAGCUGUCCCUGGAAGGCGAAGUGGGUGCUGAGAGCAGCGGCGGCGCACGGUAGAUCGCCGGCGACAGUCGACGGGAGUGGCGGUGUGAUGGCGGCGACGGACGGCAAGCAAGAAAAAGGAAAGAAGAAGGUGAAAUGGAAACUAAGACAAGAAUAAAGGAAAUUUCAAUGGGAAAAACUCAGACAAAGGUUCUUGUCAAGACCAAACAAAGAAAUAUGAUCUUGGUCAAAAAAAAAAUUCUUUUUUUCUUUGACAUUCGUUAUCGGAAGGGUUGGAAGGCGUUAGCAUACCUUGAAGGACAUGGUCUUCUGACCGACGCAUCCUAACGAUGCCCGAAAAAAUUUGUGUCAAAGCGUGGGCACGUCUUGGAACUGCCAGUCUCUAAUUUGUUCAGGGCCCCUGGUGCACUCCUUCCAAGGCGUGGGCACGCCUUGGAACCCUUAGUUUUCUGUUUAUCACCAAAAUCAAUUAAAAUAGAAAAAAUAUAACUGAAAAAUUGCAAAGUAAUGAAAAUUGACCACAACUAAUUUUAUAUUCCUUGGGUUGCCUCCCAAACAGCGCGCCUUUCUUCAACGUCUUUUACUAGACAUGGCCAUCAGUUGUUUAGACCUCCCUACCUGGAUCAUCAAGAAAUAUAACAUCCACUUGCUCACUAUUAAACCCUUUAUACUAGGGUUUCAAACGGUGACCAUUGACUACGAACUUUUUCUCCGUCUUUAAAUUUUGGAUUUUCACUGCGCCAUAAUGAAAAAUAUUACAGAUAACAAAUGGACCAAUCCAACGCAAACGCAACUUACCCGAAAAAAACUUAAAUCUUGAGUGAUAAAGGAGAACUUUUUGCCCUACGACAAAUGACUUCCUCGAGACUUGUUGGUUAUGAAAGAUUUUGCUCUUCUCCUUAUAAAUUGCGGCGUUCUCAUAGGUUUCAUUCCUUAACUCAUCCAACUCUUGUAAUUGGAGUUUUCUAUGCCCUCCGGCCUCCAUAAGGUCCAUGUUACACCGCUUAAGCGCCCAAAAUGCUGGAUGUUCAAAUUUCACCGGGAGGUGGCACGGCUUCUCAAAAACUAACCUGUAUGGGGACAUCCCAAUCGGUGUUUUGUAUGCGGUGCGAUAAGUUCAGAGAGUAUCUUCCAACUUCAAACCCCAGUCCUUCCGGUCAGGCCGCACCAUCUUCUCCAGGAUUGACUUAACCUCUCUAUUCGACACUUCGGCCUGACCAUUCGUCUGUGAAUGAUAGGGAGUGGACACUUUAUGGAGCACGCCAUACUUAUGAAACAAAGCAGCAAUCAUCUUAUUACAAAAAUGGGUGCUCCUGUCACUGACUAUAGCUCUCGGCAUUCCGAAACGGACAAAAAUGUUAGAUUUAAGGAAUUCUGCAACCACUCUCGAAUCAUUAGUUCGGGUGGCCUUUGCCUCCACCCAAUUGGACACAUAAUCGACAGCGAGUAUAAUAUAUAAGAACCAAAUGAUGAAGGAAAGGGACCCAUAAAAUCCAUACCCCAGACGUAGAAAAUUUCAACAAACAAUAUUGGGGUUUGACUCAUUUGGUCUCUAUGAGAGAUAUUCCCCACCCUUUGACAUUUAUCACAAGAUUUACAAAAUACAUAAACAUCUUUAAACAGGGUAGGCCAAUAAAAACCACUUUCUAACACCUUGUGAGCCGUUCGCUUUGGACCAAAGUGCCCCCACAUGCAAAUGAAUGACAAAAAAUCAAAAUAGAAUGAAACUCACUGGCACUUACACACCUUCGUAGCACUUGAUCCUAGCACUGCCUCCACAGGUAAGGGUCAUCCCAAAUAUAAUGUUUGGCAUCACUCUUCAGGUUAUCUCUCUUAGUCUUUGGCCAAACUGCAGGCAAUUGAUUUGUUACCAAAAAAUUUACAAUAUCUGCAUACCAUGGUACAGACGAAUCAAUGGCUAGCAAUUGCUUCUCGGGAAAUGACUCUCUCAACGGCAGAUCUUCCUUAUUCGUGAGCAAUCGGCUCAAAUGAUUGGCCACUAAGUUCUCGACUCCACACUUAUCCUUGAUCUCUAAAUCGAAUUCCUGCAGGAGCAGGAUCCACCUAAUGAGUCUCGAUUUUGCAUUCUUCUUCGCCAACAAGUACCUCAAGGCUGCAUGAUCAGAGAAAAUAAUUACUUUCACACUUAAUAAAUAUGACCUAAAUUUUUCUAGUACAAAAAUAACGGCUAAUAAUUCUUUCUCAGUCGUGGAGUAGUUGAGUUGGGCUCCGUUCAAUGCUCUCGAUGCAUAGUAGAUUGCGUGUGGCGCUUUUCUAAUUCUUUGCCCCAACACGAUCCCUGCGGCAUAAUCACUUGCGUCGCACAUAAUUUCAAAUGGUAGGCUCCAAUUUGGUGGUUGAACGAUGGGCGGCGAUGUCAAUAACUCCUUCAGCUUAUCAAAGGCUACCUUGCAUUCACCAAUAAAAUCAAAUAGCAUGUCCUUCUGUAGCAACUUAAACAGGGGUGCUCCUAUCGUUGAAAAGUCUUUGAUAAACCUCCUAUAAAAUCCUGCAUGGCCCAAAAAAUAACGUACUUUCCGUACACAUACGGGGUAAGACAGAGCAGAAAUAAGGUCUAUUUUAGCUUUAUCUACCUCUAUUCCCUUAACCGACACAACGUGCCCUAAGACAAUACCAUGUUCGACCAUGAAGUGACAUUUUUUUCAAUUAAGAACCAAAUUCGUCUCUAUGCAUCUUUUUAAAAUUAGAGCUAGAUUAUCAAGGCAUUUAUCAAAACUAUUCCCGUAUACACUAAAAUCAUCUAUGAACAUCUCAAUAAUCUUUUCUAUAUAUUCGGAGAAAAUACUUACCAUACACCUUUGAAAAGUUGCAGGAGCGUUGCAGAGACCGAAAGCAUCCGACGGUAAGCGAAUGUAUCAAAUGGGCAUGUGAAUGUAGUCUUUUCCUGGUUCUCUAGUGCUAUCGCGAUCUGAAAGUAACCUGAAAAUCCAUCCAAGAAACAAUAGUAAACACGACUGGCUAAUCGUUUUACCAUCUGAUCAAUAAAAGGGAGAGGAAAAUGGUCCUUUUAGUCACAGAAUUUAGUCUCCGAUAGUCGAUGCAUUGACGCCAACUAGUAGCUUUCCUAACCGGGACCAUAACACCCUCCUGAUUUUCCUCUACGGUCACUCCCGCCUUCUUCGGGACCACUUGGACAGGACUCACCCACGGGCUGUCCGAUAUAGCAAAUAUAAUCCCUACCUCGAGGAGUUUAAGUAUCUCCUUUUUCACAACUUCCAUCAUCAGGGGAUUCAACCUCCGUUGCCCCUGUCUUACCGGUUUCGCACCAUCUUCGAGUCGAAUCCGGUGCAUGCAUAGGGAUGGACUUAUUCCCUUAAUAUCUGCUAUACUCCACCCAAUUGCCUCCUUAUACUCCCUAAGGAUUCGCACCAGUUUGUCCUCCUGACUUGGAUACAAAUGUACAGAGAUGAUUACCGGAAGCGUCUCCCGGUCUCCUAGGAAUGCGUACUUUAGAUGUUUUGGGAGAGGCUUAAACUCCAACUCCGGUGCCUGCACAACUGAAGGAAGUAACUUUUUCUGAAUUUCUGGCACAAAAAGGGAAGUAAGCUCAUACUUCGGAGAAACAGUUGAAAUUGAGUGCAGGGUUCCAACUGCAUGGUGUAACUCAACCCUCAUGUCCGCAUUAGGGGUUGCACCCAACUCGAGAUGCUUGGCCAACGCCACCUCUAGUGCGUCUUCGCCAUCCAGUUCGAAAGUUUCCUGCACAAGAGGCUCAAUAACACUCAAAGUAAAAACUGAGUUAGAUUCCUCUGGAUAAUUCAUCACCUCAAAAAUAUUAAAAUUCACAGUUUCACCAUCGAACUCCAUUGAUAAAGUACCAUCAUUCACAUCUAUUUUAGUCCUGACAGUGCUAAGAAACGAUUUACCUAACAAGAUAGGUGACGGAUUUAACGACCUCUUAUCUCCCAUAUCCAGGAUAUAGAAAUCUGCAGGGAAGACUAAUUCACUUACCUGAACCAAGACAUCCUCAACUAGCCCCUCUGGGUAGGAAUUGGUGCGGUCGGUUAGUUGGAUUAUGAUAGCUGUUUCUUUUAAGAGCCCAAGAUUUAGGGACGUAUAAAUGAUUUUUAGCAUCAGAUUGAUUGACGCCCCUAAAUCCAACAUGGUCUUCCUGAUCGACGUAUUUUCAAUCUUACAAGGGAUAGUGAACAUACCUGGAUCCCCACAUUUGGGUGGGAGUUUUCUUUGGAGUAUGGCUAAUACGUUUUCUCCCACUACUACUCUUUCAUCCCCUCUCAACUUCCUCUUAUGGGUGUACAGGUCCUUGAGGAAUUUCGCUUACUUGGGCACCUACUUAAUCGCCUCCAACAAAGGGAUGUUGAUCUCCACCUUUCUGAAUACGUUCAGGAUCUCUUUCUCCUGCUCCGCCUUCUUCGUCUUCUCCAACCUGCAUGAAUAAGGUGGUAAAUUAGAUUUAAUGGGUACAGAUGGAGUAAGAAUUACCUCAGGGUUGCUAGGGAUGCGUCCUUCUUCUUCCAUCUCCUUCUCGAUGUCAUCUUCACUCUUACUUUUCAGGUUUGUGGCUUUAGGCCCUUCCAUCUCUUUGCCACUCCUUAAUGUCAUGCCACUUACAUUCCUGGGAUUUGUCUCAGGUUGCGAUGGCAAUUUCCCAUAAGCGUGAGACUCCAGACGAUUAAUGGCAGUUGCCAUUUGACUCAUUCGAGUUUUCAUGUCUUUCAUGUCUGCUUUGGUGUUCUGUUGGAAUUGAGUAGUGUUUGCGACCAGGGCCCUAGUCUCCUGCUGGAGUUGAGUGGUAGUCAUGGCCAAACUCUUGACAAUUUUCUCCAAAGAACUUCCUGAACUGGAGGACGAAGGUUGAGACUUUUGUUGCCACGGUUGUUGGAAUCCUAGUGGACGAUUGGGGAAUGGAUUCUGUGGCUUAUUACCAUAACCGAAAUUGGGGUGGUCUCGCCAACCCGGAUUGUAUGUAUUAGACUAUGGAUCGUACUGUCUACGAGGCGCGGGCACGCCUCCGGCCAUGUUCACUUGUUCAGCCCCAUUCUCUUGCAACAUAGGGCAUGAGUCGGUGGGGUGGCCCACAUUUGUGCAAAUUUCACAGGCCUUAGCUUGGUGCAUGUUUUCCACGGCUAAUUGUAGAACAAAAGAUGUUAACUCUGAUAUCUGCUGCUGAAUGAACGACGUCUCUACCUCGUUAACCCUACGGGUAGGGUUACUCUCACGGAAACCAAACUGUUGAGAAUUUUCCGCCAUUGAUUCAAUGAGUAUCCAUGCUUCUCGUGGUGUCUUGUUCACCAGGGCUCCCCCACUCGCAGCAUCGAUGAUGCUUCUAUCAGACGACUGGAGUCCCUUAUAAAAAUAUUGGAUCAACAGUUGUUCACUAAUUUGAUGCUGUGGGCAUCUAGUGCACAACUUAUUGAACCUCUCCCAAUAGUCGUAUAAGGAUUCUCCAGGAUAUUACUUAAUGCUGAAUAUCUCCUUUCUCAGGCUUGCAACCUGGAAUGCUGGGAAAAUUUUUUUUAAAAAUUUCUUCUUAAAUUGGGCCCACGUUGUAAUGCUACCAGCAGGCAGGUAGUACAACCAAUCCUUCGCUGCAUCUUUGAGGGAGAAAGGGAAGGCUCUGAGUUUAAUUUGCUCCUCAGUAAUUCCUGGAGGCUUCAUACUGGAGCAUACCACAUCGAACUCUUGAAUGUGUUUAUGGGGUUCUUCACCCGAGAGGCCAUGGAACGUGGGCAGGAGAUGAAUUAGUCCCGACUUCAGUUCAAAGGAGGUAUUUUCAGCCAAAGUUGGGAAUGUGAUGCACAAAGGUUGUUGGGAUAAUUCUGGAGCAGCCAACUCCCUUAGUGUUCUUGCAUUCGCCAUAGGGAUGCCCUCUUGGCUUGGGUCACUUAAAGUUUCACGACUUGAAUCUGCUGAUUCAACCUCAGGAUCCAGUUCCUGAGAUGCAAUGCCGGAUUGCUCCUCCCUGAGUUAUCUGGUCUCUUUCCUAGUUUGGCGCGCAGUCUUCUCUAUUUUUGGAUCGAAAAUCAAUUCGCCUGUACGAGAAAAGUGAGGCAUAAACUAGAAAAAUGCCAGACAAAUUCAAAGAGAAUAACUUAGAAAGAAAUAAAUUUAACCAAAACACCGCUCCCCGGCAACGGCACCAAAAAUUGACAGGUGCCGAACCUGUGCAAUAAUAAUUACUAAAAAGUUCUAAUUACCACCACAAUUAAUUAUACAACAAAUCCAAAUAUUGGAGCAGGGACUUUAGGUGUGCAAUGAGUUACUUGAUUCACCCUGUUCCCGAAGAGUUUGCUUAAUCCGAUAUACCAGAUUUGUCUAUAAAAAUAUUAAAUUUACGUACAAUGGCAAGUAGGGUCGAUUCCAUAGGGAACGGAUAGGAAGUGGUUUCUUUCCAAAUCAAUAGAAUAAAAGAGAAGGAUAAUUAAUGGGGUGAAAGUAAAAUAAAAUAAAUAAAAUUCAAGAACUAACUCAACAAGUGCAAUUUAGUGAAAAUAACAAUUAAUAAAAUUCUACCCAAAGGAUCAACUGUUCAGGCACGGUCCAAUUAAAUGCUCAUCGAUGCAAAGAUAUUUCAUCCAUUCGUCACUAGGUUGGUUACAGCUAUCAACAAGCUCUGACAACCAGUUCUUCCUUACUUUUUCGACAGUCAAGGUACGACCAUUGACUGUUUCUCUAACCAAAAAAUAACUCUAGGUACGACCGUAGGAAUUUAAUUAUCCAGUCGCAUUAAAGCUAGAAGAACCCAACCCUAAUCAAUAAACACGCUAAGAGAGUUUAUUUAAACUAAAUCUUGUGUUUCCCCAACAUAAAAUCAACUAUGGUGGUCGUCACUAGUUGUAAACUAAACGAACAAUUACGGAUUUAAUUUAGUUAACAUGACAGUAGGCUAUUGAAUUAAAUUAAAUAUCCGACCGUUGAUACUCAAUUAAUAAAAUACCCAUGAACAAUUAAUCCAAGAAACGCACGAAUAGCAACAAGUUGGAAGAAGUAAUGAAGAUUCGAUUAGAUCUCACAGAUAUUAUGGACCACGCCUUCGCGUCGACCUUUGGGUAGAAGAGAAAUCUAGCUGCUCCUCAUCAUAUCAAUCUCGCGUGAUUUGAUUGAUUCCAUCCACACAAUUGCCAAAGAUUAGUGAAGAUGAAUUAACGACGGAACCGAGGAGAAAAGCCUCCUUUCACUUUGUUUCGUGUUUAUAUCCAAGCAAAAGGUAGAAGCCCAGGUCUCACAAAAGGCGUACGAAACACAAGGAACAAAAAAACGAAAACUCCAAGUCGUCUUCCAGGGAUAGCCAGCGAAAGCUACUCCCAAUUGCCCAGAACCAGAGCUAAAAGUCAAAAGGAAAAAGACGUCUGGCCCUAGGAAAAGAAAACUAAAACUAAUAUAUCAAUUACACAUGAAUCUGGCCUUGCUCCUAUUGGCCGCUGAAGAGCCAGAAGGGAAGACGUCUGCCCGUAGGAUAAAAGCUAAUCUCCUAAUUGAUCGUGAAUCUGGCUUUUUUAUUCUUUCUUUGUAGCGCCGCCAGGAGAAGAAAAGACGUCUGGAGCAAGGUUUACCUAAGGGUUCUAAUCCCAAACCUCUGGUCCACGUGGACCCGGUUCCUUAAUUGGUUCUCCUGCUGUUACCAAGCCCGCGAGUCCGGCUUUUAGGUGAGUCUCCUCAGUUUCUGGCGUGAGCACGCCCUGAAACAAAGGGUCUUCUGGAAUUUUGUCUCAAAAAAAUUACUUUUAACGCCAACUACCUGCAAUUCACACAAAUAUUAAAUAUGAGUAAAAUCUCAAUUCUUAGCCUCAUGAGUAGCCAAAAUUAGGACAAAAUGAUAGUGCAAAAUGUGCAAAAUAACCGCUCUAUCAAGUUGAUGAGAAAUUUCCACGGAUGUUACCCCAUCAUUAAUUGUCACCUACAAAAUGAUCCUUCCUCUCCUCUCUAGCUUUUAUAUAUACAUAUAUAUAUAUAUAUAUAUAUAUAUAUAUAUAUAUAUAUAUAUUCGUGGUUGAGAUUCGAAAGGUGCACAUUUAGCAUUCGUACAUAGGACAAAGAACAUCUUUCCAAGGAAAUUUCCCAUUCACAUCCACAAGAUGUUUUAAACGUCAUGAUCUUGAAGCCAUCUACAGAAAGAAUUAGCCUUUCAACAUCGUUGGAGUUUGGAGUGCCUGGGCUGUCUUUAAGAAUGAAGAAUUGAAUGUAAUGCUUCUAACAGCCAAUGUAGAAUGGCCACACUUUAGCAGCUUGAUGCCAUGGAGAUUGCAAAGAAACAGAGGAUUAAGUAAAAGAUUAAAGUUGGGCUUCAAAUUCAUGAAUCUAAACUUUCACAUGUAAAUAAAUAUUCACAUUGUCAUUAUUAUUACUAGACCUCUUGAAAAAUGCAGAGUUUCAUUUUCUUUGAUGAAUUUCGGUGAAGAGUUUAUUUGAAAGAGUUAUUUAAAAUAAUAUCGUGGCACUUUUUGUGAUGUGAUGCAUGUAAAAUAGAAAGACGAUUGAUAAUAUAACUAAAAAAAAAAGGUAAUUGAGAAACGUGCUUAUAAUUAAAAAGAGUUAGCAAAUAAAUUCAUAUCCAAACAAACCAAUUUUGUACCUUGGAUUGCGUAAAGUAGAUGAAUAGGACUACAUGAUGGAACUAACUAAUAUAAGCCUCUCUAACUCGAACGGGUUCAGACUUUAGACACGAUCCCAAAGUAAGGAUAAGUCAAAAGUCUUGAUGCUACCGGUUAUGCAUCCAAAAAUCAUAUGCCCAGCGGCCACGGCAAUGGCAACUGGCAAGAAACAAACAAAAGAUUGAAACCCAUUUUUUGUCAUUAUAUCUCCAAAGAUUCCAAACCGCGUAUGCCAACCUGUGGACAGGUGGCUUCAAUUCAAUAUUUACCUAAUGCGUGUGUUAUAUAAAUCAGUUAGACUCAAACUCAAACAUUCGAUUCUGAGAGAUUUUGAUUCUAUCUAUCCAGUCAUGUUUUUAUGCUAAAAUCUUUCAUAAAAGCCUCUGUAGAAGCUGCAUUUUGCAUUCAACUUUGUCAGUCAUUUCUUGUAGAACACAUCCCGACAGUCUAUAUUCCAGAAUCUGCAAAAAAAAAAAAAAAAUGAUGAUUCUCGCCUUUGCACGAAAACUGAAAGCUCCAUUCUCUCGAGAAUUUCUAUAAUCACGUUAUUAUUUUUCUUAUAAUCACGUUAUUUUUUUUUUUUUUGUGUUGCAAAAUUGAUUACAACAAAAGAAUCUUGAAAAUUCCUAUAAUCACGUUAUUAUUUUUCCUGUUAUCACGUUAUUAUUUUUCUCGGUGUGUUGCAGAAUUGAUUACAAUAGAAGAAUCGACGUAUGCUUCUUAUAAAAGAACAAGUCUACCAGCCACAAAAAAAUCAGCACGCGUGAUGGUAAAUUUAAUCGUUCCCUUCCCAUACAACAAAACUGUACACGUUAAACAAGAGUAUGAAAACUCAUUGUACCAAUGGUCUUUAAUAAUUGAGAAAUACAGAAAUUUAUGAAGUAAAGCAAGACCUUUGCAAUUCUUUGAUGAAAUCUUAAUAUUACUAAGUCUAAUGCAAAUGUGAAACUGUUGCAGACAACCAAGCGUGCAACGGGGACUUUAGUUACAUGGGUUGAGAACUGCGGUGUUUGUACACAAAUAGUCAAGGCAGUAAACUUUAUAACAUUAGGUUCAAAAAAAAAAAAAAAAAAAAGAUUUACAAUAAUCACAGGCAGACAACCUCCCGCAAUGUCAUUCAUAGUUGUCCAGAAAACCAGAGGAGCUGUUGAAUUUAGUCUCCAUGAACCAUAACUGACUGAAAAGGUACCCUCUUCAUUUCAACAAAUGUCGAAAAAUCCUGGUUUAUUGGCUGUUUCCAUGGCUCACCAUCCAUCUGCAUGAAAGCUUCUUUCCAUUCUCCCCCUCUGAGCUCAAAACGAAUAGCUGAAGCCUGGAAAAGCCAUUAGAACUAAGACUCAGUCGAUCGUCAAAGCAAAAAUUUAACUCCAACCAGCAAACCUAAUUAAAGUGCAAAGGUCAUGACCAUAUUUUAUUUUAUUUGUGCUAACACUCUGCUUGCAGUACCUGUGCAAUGUGUUUGGCAGAGAUCACUUCAGCCAUAACCAUUGAAGCAUGCCAUCCAUGCUUCAGACCAAAAAUUUCUAGCAAACCAUCAUCAGCAUGCGCUUCAACGAAGCCUUUCUGAAAAGUAACAAUUGAGGAGAAGGAAACCAUAUCAACAUACGAUAACAUGCGUUCUUUGAGAACUAUCUACGAAAGCUUCAAAUCAAACAGUGUGUGUGGUGAACUUAUGAUUUAGAUGCAAGAAAAAGGCAAUGCAGAAGCAGCAAUUCGAUAGUCGAAAACAGGGAAAAUAUAUGCAAAUAUCUGCAAUCUACAGCAACUGUAUAUAACCAUUUUAAAAUGUGUUAAGAGAAAAGGUGAAAGUAGAAAUAAUUACACAAUGGUAUAUGUUGCACUUUAGGAAAUAGGAAGAAACAACAGUUGGAGCUGUUUUGCAAGUUCUACUUGAUACUCUUAAUCUGGAUUUUAAUUACAAUUAUAGUCACUAAAUCAUAAAUAGAUCAAAGGACUACAACAUGUCAACAAUUAAAAUAGAAGUCCAGAAUGGUCAACCAACCAGGUUACCACCAUUUAUGGUGAUAGAUGACAUACAAGGGUACCAUUAGCCCAUUACAGUGCAAUCGAUAUAACGUUUAUUUGCAUCAAAAAAAAAUGCUCAAUUAUAAGAGAACCAUUUAGUCUUUGCCAACCUUCAAAUCUUUUCUGCAAGAGAGGUGGUGAGAGGCACAUUACCGUUCUAUUCUAAGCCUUGGGUUGGAACGACAUUUACCUUUUCCAAAUAGUCUGGCUUCAAAUUUCCCCAUGGGUUUCUUCCACUUCCAUAACUAGGAAGAUUUAGAGCAACUACAGAUCUAACACUGCAACAAGAAAUCAUUACUAAGCUGAGCAUAUGCAAAUAACAGCCACAAACUUCAGUUAUCAGUUGAAAAUUGUGCUACAUGAAGGUUAAUAAAGAUAAGCCACAAUAAGAAAUAACCGAAUUGGUAAGGAUGUCAAGUCAAAUUUGGGGGCAACAGGCUCGCAUUCCAAACCGACCCUACUACAAAUACUGUCCGCUAAAAGAAUCUUCUAGAUGAAAUGGCUUCUUCACACUGCCAGAAUCCUUUGAUUUGCUUACUUAUCACUCGAGAUCAUAUAUAAAAUUUGCAUGAGAAACUUAUACACCAGAAAUCUGUUGGCCAUCUUUGUGGAUGUCACUUGCUUUGGAUGUUGCAAGUAGCCGGGCUUAGUGGGGCAUAAAAAUCUUUAGAAUAUUUAUAACCAAUGCAUGUAGAAUUUUUAUACCAAAUCAUCAUGUAAGCAUAAGUCAAGAUGGUUAAUCACUCAUGUAAUUUCAUUGAACUCAUUACUCAUCAAUACUACUUAGAAUAACUUGCCUUGUAUAUUCAAAGAGAUCACUGUACUUCAACGAAUCCUAAAGAAAAAAAAUAAAGAUAAUUCUAUAUUCUGUAUCCAUGCAUCAUUUUGUGUUAAUGACUCGGGUACUUUUAUUGAUAGAUUUCUUAUCAACACUAACCAUUAAAUUUGAGUUCUGCAACAUCUACAACAUAAUCUUAGACGUGCUAAAUGCAAUUAUGUAUCCGAGCAUGAACAACAAAUUGAGUUCUCAGAAACAACCAUUAAAAUCACCAAAUAUUUAUAUAGUAAAACAAACCUAGCUGGGAUAGGGAUUUGCUCCCAGUCUGAACAAUUGACCUUCUUUAUGUGUAUCCUCAGAAUGUUCUUAAGUCCCCUACAUCGAAAAAUGAAUGGCAAAUAUCUAGUUAAUUAACCAAGACAAACAUACCCUAUAUGACUAAACAGCCAAGCUAUAAAUAACCUCAAAAUACUUGUACAAUAAGCAAAGCAACAACAGUAUCAGAUAUCAUUAUUACAGCUAGUAUACUUCCCAAUUCUGGAUAAGUCAAUAUUGAUUCUCAGAAGAAAAUACAGGAAAAACUAACACAAGGAGUACACAGGCAACUAUGGUUUAACCAGUUAAGCUGUAGGUAUUACAGAACAUUGUGCUAUGCUGACAUGAAAUUGUGUAUGAAAGAUAUGGAAAACCAAACAAGCAGAACUGCAAACACAUGAAACUCAAAUAAUAGCUAAAGACCUACUACUGCAAAUAUGGCAGAUAUAGUAUCAACAUACAAAAGCUACGUCAGUUAACAACCAAAAAGCCCUUGUUCAGGAUGCUUCUUUCUCACAGCAGAAAGGAGAAGCUACUUUUAGCAUUUGUUAACAAUGCAUCCAAAGACUAACCGAAGAAAAACUCCCUCCUCAUCUCUUCCAAAUUUCAAGUAGAAUAUAAGAUGCAUUAGCAUUUUAUGACAAUAUUGACAUACAUUUCAAAAGAGAGUAGAUAGCAAAAGAUGACUUUAAUGCACCACUCCAUAAAACUUUCAGACUCGAAUUAGAUGUGAACAUAAAAGACAAACAGACAAAACAAAAUGGCAAAUCAGAGGAAAUUACAUCCUGACCUCAAACUUGGAUCACUGCUGCAGGGUGUGAAGAACCAUCCUUGCUUGCAACUAUAUCCUGAGUAAAUUAACUGCAGCCGAAGAGGUAAGCAAAGACUAUUAGUAUUGAACAUGCUAAAUUUAAUAAAUAUAAUUUCAGCAUCAAUCAUAAUGAAGCUUCAAUUACUAUGUCACCUAAUAACUUUUAUUUUCAUGAACGAAGAUCAAUAAUGCUAAAAGAAGCCUACAAGAGUUUUAGUAUCAUCUAUAUUCAAAUAGAUAUCACAAAAAAUUUAAUACCAUUUUGGAAUUAAUACUUCAUAGCUGAAUUUAUUGACUAAACUUUUUUGUUUUUGGACAUCUAUAUAUUCUGAAGAAACUGAAGGACUUCAACUCACAAUUAGAUGGAAAAAUUAUUAGGUUUAUAUAUUUACAUAAAGCACAUGUGAAUAUGUGUAAGCUAUAAAACCACCAGAGACAAUAAUGUAUGAAAUGAAUAGUGGAUAGACCCACAGAAACCAGAAACAUUCCAGUGACAAAUUCUCAGAAUUUGAUGUAUUAUCUCAUAUAAGCUGAAGCAACUGAAAAGCCCCAUUACCAUAUGGAGCUAAAAUUGAAGAAGAAUCUUAGUGGGAAAGUUUAACAUGCAUAUAAUCCCAAAAUGAUCAAAAAAAUAAAUUUACUAGCCAUUCAUUUCACCAGAAAAGAAAUAACUUGACAAACAGUCAUGAAACUAUAGAGGAUGAAUUAUAACAGAAUUUACAACUGAUUUCCUUCAAAUAGUUAAUAGCAACUGUGAGGUAUCAUUGGAUGAUGCCAGUUUAUUUAAAUGAAGAUAUAUAGGCAAUUGAUCCUAUUUAACGGCAGAAAAGGUAGCCAAAACAUGACUGAUAUCAGAAAGACAAACAAUGGGGCUCUUGAGCAUUCUUAAGAAUAGACUCCGAUUACCUGUUGACAACAACUUCAGAAAGUAAUUGAUAGGCUGGAAAAAUAACUCAAAAAUUUUGUAACUGAAGUCAGAAAAGUUAAGUUUUACAUACAUUAUCCUAAUUAUGUAAUUAAACCUUUUAACUAAACACAGAAGGGUGCCACUAACCUUGUUAGAGAGAGGACCUUGAGCAAGAUAAGGCUUUUCAUUGCGUAAAUGGUGGAAGCCAUAGGCAACCUGGGCAUCCAUCCCUGUAGUCAAACUGAAAAAGUGAAUAAUUUUACCAUGACCAUCUGUCUUUCCAUAAAAAAGACACAGAUGCAAAAAGAUAUCACAAUCAUCGUCAUCAUCAUAGCAAUGAAAGCAAUGGAGAAAUUUUAACGUCAUUAACUUCACAAUAGUUCCUGUUUUUCUUUUUUUCUCUCUCUUUUGUUUCCAAUACAUAUUUCCUCAGCUCUUCAAAAGGUGUCAGACUUAGAAUGCCAGGAAAAUAGUAGAUCUUUUGAAAGCAACAUUCGUUUGAAGGAAAAGAAAUACAGAAAACAAAAAAGGAAGAUGGCUUAAGGUAUAGGACUGUUCUAUCGCUGUUUAUUAGCAAAUUAAAGAUUUGGGCUUCCUAGGUUGAGGAUAUAUUCAGUAACAACUGUAACAUCAGGAAAAAGCAAAUUAGCUUCAAGAAAAUCAACUUAGUAAAACAACAAUAGUCUAAUUUUUUUGGCCUAUUGAGGCUUGCCUCUAGUUUAUCUUAGAGACAGCUACAAGCUUCACCUUGUUGGAGAAUAUGACAGAAGAAGACGAUAUACAAGGAAACCACAGUACAAAGUGGAUUGUAAGAUACAAGAGAUCCAUCGUACAAUAUGAUAACUUAUGAAGUCGUCAGAAAAUUAAUCAGAAGAUCAAACACUUGCUAGAAUAAAAUCACAUGCAAAUUUGUAAUCUUUCUUCAGAUUAAACAAGGAUACCUAUGCUAAAGUAAUUAUAGAAGACCCCUUGAUAGCAAGACAUCAUCUCCGGCAGCUCCCCUUCAACCUCCAAUCCCUUCACAACACAGACUAAGGUUGAAUCACGAAGAAAAAAGAGUGCAGGCAAUAAUUCAAACAGAGCUAAUUUGGAAUAACAACUCAAAGAAUCAGGAAGGGAGACAAUAGAACACUUAGCAAAUUCAGUUUUGACUGAAACCAGAUAAUAACAAAAAAAUGAAAAUACAGAAAAUGAUCUUCACCAUACAAUUAUGCAUAUCCAUACUUCUGUACAUGAACAUCAUAUCUAUAGACACAAAUAUACUCAGAUGUCCACCUAUGCACAUGUAUGUCACUGAUAAACAGCUUGGUUCCCAAAAAUCCACCCUUACAAAUUCCACUUCCCACCCAAGUGGACCCAAAACAGCGAGGGGUAGAGAGAGAGAGAGGAUGAAGAACGAAACAGCAAGAAGGAGAGCAUAAAAAAUGCAUUUAUAUAGUGGACAGUUACAUCUGCAUUAAAAAACCUUACUAAAGAAUGCCGAUUUACACUGUCAUGUUAUCGCCAAAGGAAGUUCACGAGGAAAAGAAUCCAAAAGAAAAACCAAAAGCAAUCAAACAGUGAACUUUUUCUCCCUGAAAAUGUGGCAUCAUAAUUGUGAUAACUAGGUACAAGGAAAAACAAAUCAGGACCCCAAAAGUCUUGGAUGUAUUAUAAAAACCCAAUACUUGGCUUAGAACUCUUCUACUUAAAUGAGUAAAAAGGAAGACACUAUCAAGCGCCCAAGUUUCUUUUCAAAAAGACAGGAAAGUUUCAAAACUCUAAGGUCCAGACCUGCAUUUCAUACAAAACUUCCCUCGAUGAGACCGGUAAAUAAUCUUCUCACCUUUGAGCAUACUUUCCAAUAUAUACUUGAGCGUCAUGAGUUGAGUCAUAAAGAAGCGAAUGAAAAUGACAGGACAAUUCUGUUCCUUUUGCCAAUGGCAGGGAUCUGCAUCGUGAUAGUCAAAACUGUGCCCAUCUACCUUUCUUAGUAAGGUACAAAAGUAUACAAGUAUAUCAAUAUUGUCUCCAAAUUACUUAAGUUCCUGAACCUGUGGAAAAGCUGAAGGCCUUGUGCAAAAGUUUUAGCUUAACCCUCCGGACAAUAUUAUUAACAUGACAACAAGUGGAUUUCAAUUUAUGGACUCAGGAUUAAAAGAGGCAAUCACUAUCUACUCGACAUGAUAUUCAGCAGAUCUAACACUUGCUAUCAACUAUAUUAUAACAUCCCGUAAAACAUUUCUCAUCCUACUCUUUCUAAUCUUAACAGUAACAUGAAAGGAUGAAUGAACUCCUAUACAUCUAAGUUCAACAGCAUCAUGACAAUUUGCAGCCAGAGAAAUGGGUUAAACUACAUGGGCAAAAAAAGCAAACAAUCAACACUAACAUAUUUCUAGUGCAAUUUUUUUAACCACCUCAUCAAGAGCUAUCUCUUCACACUGCUUCAAAGAAUAAGGAGUCUCCAAUGCUUCACCAGCAGGCAUUGAUAGAACAAGAUUCCAACUGCAUAUGAAAGUACAUUCAGAAAACGUCUAGGAAGACCAUAUUUAACGAGGUAUUUUGACUGAAAAAGAAAGGAUGGUUACAGAAAAUGCAUAGACCCAUAAACAGAAGCUUCUCAAUUCCAUUAUGAGUGCAUAAGCAUCUAUAUAAACCAUUAAAGCAGAAAAAGGAAACCAAAAAAGAUGCCACUAGGUUACUUUUGAAUGUUUUCUACUUGUCAAAAUGACGAUGCAAUCAGCAAUCAGAUCCAUUAAUAGUUUUACCAUCCAUUUGUAGUUUUGCUAGUUAAACAUAUAAUAAGUACAAGAGACCUCUAUUGACAAUAUUUCAAACAUGGCUGAAGAGAUACAACCCUUGCACCCCCUCCCCCACUCCAAACAGAAAAUGGAAGAAAACAUUUUCAAGUAACCUAAGGCUCUAACAUAUCUAAUUGGGCUGUUAAAUUUCAACAAAAUAGAGUUCAAACAUGUAAAAAGUUGUUGUGAAAGAAGCAGCAGAAUCAGAAGACAGAAUAUACUAGGGGGCAAAGUAAUCACAAUACUAACCUAUCAAGCCGGCAUGUUGGACCAUUUGGAACGCUAUCAAGUGUUCGUUUGAUGGCUGAUUUCCAGUUAAAAGGAAAUGAACCACCCUGAAACAGUUUAAGAGAAAACUCAGGAAUGACAGAGAGGAGAAACCCUGGAAAGUAGAUGCAGAUGAAAGGCUUACCCAACCAAAACUCCUUGAUAGAUCAUUUCCUGUACCAAGUGGAAUAAUUGCUGUAGCUGGAACUGGAUUGCGGCCCUGUUUAUGCAGCUCCCCUAGACAUCCAAGCACCCAUCCUACAGUUCCAUCACCACCUGCAACCUGUCAAAUUAGCCUACCAACUUAAUCUCCUCAAACUGAGAUAUUCAAAAUCUUAAGACAAUAGAAUACGCGGCAUUCUAGCUGACAAAUUUGAGCAAAAUUUCAAUGCUUAAACAAUAUAUUCAAAGUUCAUAUAAAGAAAAACUUUCAGUUUGAAAAAGCAUCCAUACCACCACCCUAAGCUUCUGUCGGACCUCAUUAGCACAGCUGUCGCCAAGAGUAGAGAACUUCUCCAGGCAACCCAAUCCAUACUGAACAAAUUCAUGUGGCUUCACAAGGGAUAGGUCAUAAACCUGGCAGCAUUUCAGAGAAAGGAAGCAAAUUUAUACCAAAGAGUAAUCACAAUUGAGGAGAGGACACAGAAACAUAAGGGGAUAGCAAACAAAACCUAUCUGGUUAACGUUCAAGCUGUAAAGUUUUGGGUUCCAGCUCGAGAUGAGUUUAAUGUUGUUGACAAAAACUUCAUGGGAAAUGGGAAGGCCACUUUGCAAAGCAAACCAUAAUUUCAAAUUAUCUCCCGUGGGAGAGAAAAUAUUGAUGAUGCUCAGUGAAUGGCAUGUUCUAAAUUGAGAAAUACCAAAUUUCAAGAAAAAAAGUUGGUACACCAGACCUUUUGCUUUCCUAGAAGUCGAACUAAAUUUUUGAUAUUUAAAUCUCCAAAAAUGAGAGAAAGUAGAUAGAUUUCACUAAAGUUCGUGAAUCUAUCCAGGAAAUCAAUCGAAGGUAAUAAAAAAAGAAAAAGUCUUAAAGGUUUUUUUUAAAAAAAUAUAGUCUACUAAUUCAAAGUACAUGAUAAAUUACGAUGUUUGUUCUUUAAAAAAGAGAGAGAGAGAGAGAGAGAGCUUAUAUGCUCCUGGAGCAAAUUUAACCCUUUUCACUAAAGAUUGAAAAAUGCAUUGCUUAUUCCUGAUCCUACAACGGGAGGUUAGAUACUCUCAGUCCCAUGCUCUAACCCGGCUUCCUCCUCCCUCCUAAACAAUUUUUUUCUGAAAAACAAAAACAAACAAAAACACCUUUUGCCUGAUACUUACCACCAACUAGAUAUAGCAAAAAUUCCAUGGCAAAACCUUAAAACUCGACUUCAAUAAAAUCCCACAUCUAAGUACAAACCCACUACCAAACCACAUUCCACCCACAAACCUAACUGUCCUAAACCAACCUCCUUCCCAAGAAAAAGGUACAAAAAAAAAUGUAAAAGUUAAAAAAAAAAAAACCUGAAAUCACUAGUACACUAGGACAAGCAUAAAUCAUUCUGAUAACUAAUAAAUUCAAAAAUAAAUCUUUUUGAACAUUACCACUUCAGCAGGUGCACACGGGUGGCUUCCCAGGUAGUAAGAGAACUAAAUGAGAAGACAAAGCAGUCUCCAUGUACCAAACCAGCUAGUGGACCCCACACAGUACGUGAUUACGUAAAUAUACACAAAACCAGUCAUACAUAAACGUAUGCAAAUGCCAAAAAGGAACAACCAAAAAUCGGAAAAAAAAAUAAGAAAUACAAAAAUAAAUUUAAAAAAAUUGAAAAAAAAUGGAGGAGGAGGAGAAAAAGUCAAAGACGGAGCCACCUCUGACCUGUUCUUCACCCAUGAGACACUGCAACCGGUCUUUAAGCUCCGGCCCAUGUCGCCCACCGCUUUUGGAAUUAAUAAAAACGAUAAGUGGGCCCUCCGGCGGGGUCGAAGCCUCGGCGCCGGCAGCAUGCGCGGCGUCGAAAAGAACCUUGGCGGCGGGGGCAUUUACAUCUUUAGCAAAAAUGGAUUCUUUCAUGGCUAUCCGUAGAUAUUCCGGAAUAGUGAUCUUCUUCCGUAGCUCCUCUUUUGGGAUCCGGAUACCCGCCAGAGUGCACCCUUUCAAGGACUCGAUGACCGACGACCUCCCCGACGACGUGGCGGCACCGGCGAGAGGUUGCCGGGAUGUUGCUGACGAUGAGUUGGUGGUAUCUCGCGCCGAGGAUGCUGCUGCUUUCAUCCUCGGUGAGUCCAUUUGGUAACGGGUGGAGCAGAAUUACGGUUCCGCCCUUGCUUAAUUUUGUGGGAAUGGGAAUACGGGGGGGAUCAGAUGCGGAGAAGUUUGAUGUUAGAUAUUGGAAUGAACAAGUUCGGAUUCUACAUAUAGAAGUCAAGUAUCUACUGUAUUCACAGAGACGAAUUCUACGUAUCUCUGUAUAUCUGUACGUCUAUUACUAGUAUAAGUUAAGAGAAGAGAAGAGAAGAGAAGAGAAGAGAAGAGGAGAGGCAGAAGAGGGAGAUGGAUAGGGAAAGAAGAAGGCUGGGAAAAAUGGUCGGACUUUUGAAUUAUGGUUUUGUUUGUUUUCAGUGGAGAUUUGCUGGAUUAGAUUGACCUCGUGGACAAAGUUAUCUACGGAAAUGACACCGUUCUGUUUCCAAUUAACAGUGUACUAUAAAAACUUCUUUCAGUUCUAGUUUUUUAACUGAUUUUGCUUCCAACCGUCAUCCUUGCGGAGUGGACGCGGUGAAUUCAGGUGUCAUUUGCUCGUAAUGUAGAGCACACACAGCUCGUUGGAUUCUGUAAUGUGGGUAAGCAUGCAAAGAUUCUAUUUAAGGUUGGUGGCAAAAAGAAAAUGAUGAAGAGGAGAUGUUUUUCGGGUAUAUAUGGGAUGGUACGACUGUGAAUUAACGUGUUUUUAUAAAAUCACGUGCACUAUUUCGGGUUUGGGAUGUUUUCUUGUGUUAUUUGGUAUGCAAGUGUACAAUGUUGUCAAAUUAGUGACUGAUUAAUUCAUUCGCGUACAUCAAUAUCAUAUUUCACAUACUUAUGAGUGCAUAAUAUAUUAUUUGAUUUUGCAUCAAAUAUUAUUGUACUGAUAAAUACAAUAACUAGACGAUAUUGAACAGAACGUAAUAAUUUGUAUUUUCUUUCAAAUCUUGUACCAAACCAGGAUUCGCCCAAUAAGGAAAAGAAUCACAGUACAUUUUAAUAAAUUAAUAUGUUAUUUCAUCUUUCCUAUUAUUAUUUUUUUUUAUAAAACAAAAGCCAAUAUUAUUAUUAAUAAACUAAUUGAAAAUUGUCCAACACGAUUUAUUUGACAAAAAAACUGCAAUAAUAAUAGAAAAUACAUAGAACAUAUCACAAAUUCAUUUGAUUUGAAAAAUUAUUAAAUUUAACAAGAAAGAUUACAUUAUGAAUCACAUACUAUCACAAUCUGAUUAAUUACAGGAAUUGCACCAUAAAUAUCUGUGCAUGUAUAUUCUCACGGAUCUACAAUUCAAUUGGUUCAAGUUCAAAAAUGAUGUUAAAAUCUGACGACGAGAAGAUUUGAAAAUUUUCAGAUCUAACGUAUAGAGACCAUUGAUUAAGUAGAUACAAUUGGUUAAGUAGUCAUUUGGGUACAAGAAGAUUCUUUCUUUGUAAUAGAUUCCAAAUGAUGUAGUAUUUGUUAAAGUGCUGGCAAUAGAAUGAACUGUGUGGGCCACAAGCACUGAUGGUUUGGUAAUGACAUCAAUGGUGACUAUUUGAGCGCAUCUAAAUUUUGAUGCAAUUUAAAAUCGUUAUCAAACAAGGACUUUCGUGAAUGUACAUAUCCUUAGAUUCCUUUCCCUAGCGGUAAAUAUUCAGGGACCUCAUAUUGUUCACCAAAAAACAUAGAGUAUUAUUUGGAAUAUUUACUGUAGUAUUUUUUAUGAUAUGAUGUAUGCGAGAUAAAAAAUAAUUGAAAAUAUAAAAGAUGAAUUAAAAAAUAUGUUUAUGAUGCAAGCGAAAUAUUAUUUGGGAUAAUUUGGCAAUCCAAACACACUCGGUACCAUUAAUUUGUUUAAAACAAGGAAGAAAAACACCAUUUAUUUUAGUACAAGGGAGGUCUCAAGAGAACUCCAAGUUUUGAACGGAGAAGGGGGAAAAAUUAAAUUUGAGAGUCAAAUCAAGAAACUCAUAAUUUCCUGAUUAAUAUCUCCAUCAAGUGUAGAACUCGAAAAAUUUCACCAAAAAUAUAUAGGAGAUAUAUUGGAUAAAAAUUAAUGUAUAUGUAGAGGCAAUUUACACACAUACAUAAAUGGCAUAUGUUAAAAAAAAUGAUAACAGCAGUUGAAUUUAUGCCUCAAAUAAUAAAGAUCAUCAUUUUUCAUUGGUUAUGUUUAGUAAUGAGAAAAUUUUUAGAGCAAUGUAAUAGACCAUUUGGUUUCAUUGGCCUAUUGUAUAUGCCAUUUAUGCAUCAUGAACACGAGGACCACAGGUGGCGUUUAUCAAGGAUUGAGACGGCAGUCAAGUUGUACCACAUUAAUAUCGAAUAGUACUAAUACAUUUCUUAAUCAUCAUUUGAAUGGGUCUGAAAAAUGGAGCUGUUGCACUUGCACAGUUGCACUUCUGGAAAAAAGAAUAGUAGCAAUAAGUUGGUUAUUAAACGCCCCCAACUUAAUGUCCAACAUCUAGAAGCAGCGGCCUUUCACAAAAAUCAACUCUGCAGGCUUCUCUUGUGGCUGUUGGAUGACUUUGAAUCUCUAUUCCUAUUUCAUUAAACUUCUUAUCGUAUACGCGGAAUUAUGGAUCAACUGAGGUGUGUGUAUAUCUAGAAAAGAAAAAUUCGAAGCUGAAUUGCCAAAGUCUAUAAGUCAAGUCAAUGGAACGGGACGGUCUUCCUCGCCAACAGUAAACAUUCAUUUAUUAAUUUCAUGAAACUUCAAGUCCUCGUAUUUGAUCUUAAACGCAAAAAGAAAACAAUUGAUAGGAAAGUUCGCAUACACCUUUCCUCGAGAAAUCACGCGGGUCCGUUGAAUGGAAGUGUAGUAUUUUUUUUUUUUUUUUUUUUUUGUCAACUACGGUACAUUUGUAUAACCUACUCUAUCCUAAUUUAGGGGGAGGGGAGCCUAAAGAAGCUGUUGUAGGGGUUAGUAGGUAUACAGACCCAACUGAAUGGAAGUGUAGUAGUUCUGUAUAAUUUUCAAUUCAAACGGACUCCGGGUAUGACAGUUCGAUUUAAUCGGUCCAACUCAUGCACUACAAAAGAAAAUGGGGGAAAGAGGGGUAUUCCUGUAGUUUGGCUGAGAAUGUAAGGAUUAAUGCGGGAAAGGGACCAAGGCAAAGACGGUUACAAGCUCUGGUGUGGCGGGAGAAAGUGGAUUUCCGGCUUUCCCACGAGUUGGCAGCCGGUACUGAGUUCUGAGUUCUGAGUUCUGACGCGACCCAGGUGUGGUGAUGAAAUGAUUGUUUAGUCAUUCAAAGAAAGUCGGCUUUCCAGUUGCGUGGUUUCAAAUCCGGGAAUCAUUCCCUUCCCUUCUCUAUCCCUGUCUGUACCUUUUCUUGCAUUUUUCUUCUAUUCUUUCUUCUUCUUCUUUUUUCUCUUUUUUUUGGGUAAGUAUCUAUUUGUUCUUUUCUUUCUCUGGGGAAAUCGUUACUGUAUCUAAGGUAUUUUUUAAUGUAUUUUUCUUUCAUGCUUUUCCUUUAGGAUAUCUAAUCACUGAUGAAAUGGAGAUGGAUUGAGUCGGUGAAAUAUUCUGACCUUAUUCAUGGGUUUUGGAAUGUUGCCAUUUUAAUUCAAUUCUUCUAAAGAGGAAUGAGGAAGCGUGACUCUUGCCAAAUCUAUUCAAAUACUAAAAUGUGAUUUUGCUUUAAUAAAUACCUUCUGCAUUCAACUUUCCUCGAAGCAUUAAACAAACAAACAAACAAAAUGUCAACAAAAACACCUGUAGUCACAUAACAUCAAAGUAUGCAUUAUUCAUAUUAAAUCGAUAAGAAAAGCAGUACAAGAACGCAGAAUUUUGUUUUUAAUCCCUAAGGUUGUGUUUGGAUUGCAUUUUCCAUGAUUUUUCAUGGAAAAAUUACUAUAGCGAUUUGAUGUAUGUGAGGAAAAAAGAUAAUAGGGAAAUGUGAUCACGAAAAACGACAUAAAAUUUUCCGACGAAAAACUGCAAUCCCAGAAAGUUUCCCAAUUUUUUCUACAAAUUGUGUUUAUUAAUCAUCGUAAGUAAAUUCCUUCCUCGUGGAAUCUCUUAUACCUAAACGAAUUUGAAAUCAAUUUUUAGUUUAAAUUUACUCAUUUUAUAAUCCAUCAUCUAAGAUCCUUUUUCGGAUCCAAACGCAACCUCAAUUGCGUGGUAAUUUUAAUACUUUAGUACCAUUUUGUUUAUUAAACCUUAAUUAAUUCACUUCCAAAAGUAUAGGAAUAUUCCAUUAACUAAUCACAGUUCACAUGCAUGACUUAUCUUGCGCAAUGACUGAGGAUAUUUGCGAAUUGGUGUACACUAUUUUUAAAAUUUUUUAUUGCAGCAAAUCUUUUGGUCCAUGAAGUACUCAUAAACACGUAAUUGCAAAUGAGAUAAACUAUCUUAUCAAAACCAAAUAAGUUACUGAACUCUUAUUAGAAAAACCAAACCCAUUAAGCAUAUAUCGAACUACGAACCAAGAAUUGUUUAAAUACGGAGUCCGAUGGGCAAGAUCCAUGAAUCAUCAUGAAGUCUUAAAGGUGUGUUUGGAUUGCAGAUAUUCAAAGAAAAAUUGCUACUUUUUUUAUAAACAUAUUUUUUAAUUAUUUUUUUGUUUCACGUAUAUCAAAUCGCUAUUGUAAUUUUUUUUUAUUUAAAUUCAGACAAAUGCAAUUGAAACAAAGCCUAAGUUUAACAAGAUCGAGAAGUCACUGUCUCUGAUUUUGACAAAAAAAAGAAAGAAAGAAAAGAAGUCACCAGCUGAUUGACUCAUGUUACUAAAUGCCUCUUUUUUAUAUAUAUAUAUUAACUACUGAUGAGGACAAUGAAGGGUUUUGUUUGGAUUCACAUAAUUUCAGAUAAAAUAAUUUACUUCACAAAUUUUAAUUAUCUUUUUAUCUUUUCAAUCACCUUUUCAUCUCACAUACAUCACAUCAUAAAAAGUACUACGGUAAUUAUCUCAAAUAAAUCAUUCAAAUAAACUCCUAUUCAAACAAACCCGAUAUUCCAUAACGACAUUUGUCUUGAUUCCUGAAGUGUCAUCUCCUUUUACGGAAUAAAAAUGUAAUGUAUGGUUGCAGACCAAUUCGGAAGCCAGUAGUUUUUUUAAUAUAUAAAAAUAAUUUAGAUUGCAUAGGUUUUCCUCCGAGAUUAUUUGUUUAUAAAUCUUUUUUAUCAGAAGAACAACAUGCAUGAAUUCCAAAAAUGGUUUUCAUUUUAAAAAAAAUUUAAGCACAAGUUUCUUACCAAUUUUUUUUCUCUUUUUGUAAGGUAGUUAAAGGUCUUUCUCUCUUCCUUUUUCUUUUAUGCCAAAAAAUAUGAAACGGACAUUUCAUGAAUUCAUUUAUGAGCAAACCUAAGUAAGAUGUUCUUAAUGGCAACUGGCCCUCUUGUCGUUCAAAAUUCAUCUAAAAAGGCUGCAAUUGGAUUGAAUACACACACGGUCAGAAAGUGAUAUACAUAUGUAUACAAAAUCCCACUUUAACACAAGGUGCAGUCAAAAUGGACCAUAAGCCUCACAAGUUCCCGUUUAAACCAAUUGAGGUAGAAUGGUUAUCUUAUCAUUUUUUUUAUACCACAAUUCGCCUCAUUUACGCCCUGUUUAAAUUUAUUUAUACUAUACUUUUACUUAUUUACACCUCCAAAAUAGAAAAUACUGAAACCAGGAGAGGGCAGCAGAUCAAGUUGGCUUUGCCCAAUCCCAAACCAAACCCCGGCUAAAGUUUCAAUCACGAAUUUCGUUGGGUGGUGGGGUUCAUAGUUAAAGCUACAAAGGCAAAGUACCAUGCAUUAAAUAUUUAGAACUCUCGCCCACCAACAACUCAAAGCGGGCCCAGCCAGAAUAAAUUCCUGUCGCCUUUCCGUCUUCCCCACUUUGGAAGACAUUUAAGGCGUUAGGUUCUGAUGCCCUUUUUUUUUUUUUUUUUAUAAAGCGUCUACGGGUUCUGAUGCCUAAUGCCAUGUACCAAAAUAGUCGAAUAUUAAAUGGGUGCAAUAGUCUAGUACCUGUCUACAGGUUGUUUGUGUUUUUUUCUUUUUUUUUUACCAUGAUAAUAUUUAUUCUAUUUUACGGAGAGGAGAAUUUAAAGAGAUUAUAAAAGGAAUUAAUAGAUAUAUAGAGUUGACUAUAUCAAAUGAACGAUUUGAUAUUUUUUUUGAAUUUUUUUGAAAAAGGAUCAAAGAGAUGAUAUAAUACCUCUUCUUUUUAAAAUAGAUGAGAUUCAAACUCUGAUCUAUGGUCCAAAGACAGACUUAGGUUUGAUGGCCUCUGAGCUUUACAGGUUUGUUUGUGUUCAGAAUUUAUCAACUGCAUUUGGUUGUAUAAAGUUCCAAGGUAAUAUCACACGUGAGACAAGAAGCUGCUCAUUUUGGUACAAACGUACCGGCUGUCGGCUGAUGUUACUAUCAUCAGAUUAAUACUUUCUAUUUUAAGGUUAAAUUAUGCGAAAUUGGGGGCAAUGAAUAAAUUUCUUUCUACAUUUUGGGUGACAGGAAAUUGUAGGGGCAGAUGUUAUACAGAACGAGUACCCUUCCCCGCUCCUUACCCUACUAUACAAAAGUUUUUUUUUCAUCCUCACUCCAUCCCUUGUUGCCCCCCACGCCAUCCCACUACUCUCGCAGGUGCGCCCAUCUCAGUCUACUAUCAUUUUAUUUUUUAUUUAAUUUUACUUUAUAUAUAUAACACUAAUAAUAGUUUUAUUAAUCAGCCAUUUGAAUUUAUUAGCAAAAAAUUGAACGUGAAUUAAAGUUUAAUAAUCACUUUGAUCUUUUGAAUUUAUUUCUCCAUAUUUAAUACCAUAUACAUAAUAAAAUCCAAGCUAAUUGCUAUUGUUUCUUUAUGAACAACACGCAAUAUGUGAAAAAUGGCCAAUGAACAUAAUAAGAUAAUUAUUUUACCACAAUAAAUUUAUAAUAGAAAUUACAUCAUUUUAUCACAACAAAAUAUCAUGUUAUUUACAAUAAUAAUAAUAACAACAACAUAGUACUUAUUUAAUGUUAUACAUAUAAAGAAUAUACACAUAUAUUAUGCUAUAUUAAAAUAUGGGCCGCACCCUUUUAAAGUAGGGGUGGACAAAAUUAUCUGCUAAUCCAAAAACCUGUUAUAUCCAAUCCAAUUCGAUCUGAAAAUUAGCAUACCUGAUUUGAUCGAGUCAAAAGAGGGUCGGGUACCUGCUAAAAUGUAGGGCGGGUUAGGGUCACAUAAUUAAAAAUUCACGGGUACCCAACCCGCUCCGUGUACAUAUAUAUAUAUUUUUUAUUAUUUUUAUAUACAUACUAUAAAAUAAUAAUUUAGAGUUAAAUAAGAAAUUUCAUUGAAUAAAUUACAUUACAAAUAUGAGAUACUAUAGUUUAUUUAUA